rnacentral:lncRNA from 1 species
UAACCUGUGAGAGACCUUCUUCUAUCUAAGUCUCAUGCAUAAUUAGAAACAACAUAUUCGACUAAACCCUUUUGAGUUCUUUCAAACUCUAAGCACAUGUUAGAAGUACCCCAUAAAUAUCUGAAAAUCCACUUAACUGUAUGUUGGUGUAACUUACCAAAUUUGGUCAUGUAUCAACUAAAAACACUAACAACAUGUGAAAUAUCAGGACGAGUGCAUACCAGUGCAUACAUCAAACUUCCAAUUGCACUUGAAUAAGCUGCUUUUGACAAGCACCUUUCAUCUUCUUCAUUUUGUAAGGAAUCUGAAGUUGAAAGUUUAAAGUGUGCAGCUAAAGAAGUACUUACGAAUUUUUCAUCUUGCAUCUCAAAUCACUCAAAGAUCUUCUUAAUGUACCUUUUUUAUGAUAAAAAAUUUUUUCUGGAACAUCUAUCUCUCUAUGAAACACCCCAAAAUAGGGCUUAGAAGUUUUAGGGGUAUUUUAGGAAUUUUAGCCUUAAAGUGUUUAAAAUUUUGUGACAUGGUUUUAUCAGUAAUGUUUUUGACUAUGGUUUUUAGGAAAAUCAAAUCAAUUUUUGAAAAUGAGUUUUAAAGACAUUUAAUUUUAGAAAAAGGAUUUAUUUGUAACAGGAACAAAAUUGUGAGCUUUUCAAUGGCAAUUAGACCAGAUUUUAAAUUAAAUCUACAAUAAACCCUCCACCUUCAACAUAUCAUGUUAUUUCCUCCCAAAACCAUUUCUUUUUCGUUUCUUGUUCUCCCAAGCCAAUCCCGGUCUAUUUUUUUUCUUUAAAUCUUGAUUCCUUGAUUUCCAUCAAUCCCCAAGUAUUAAAGCUUCAUAAAUCUCCAAGAAAACACUCUAAAAUUCCAUAGAUUUCACCAUCUUCUUCACGUGUGAGUUUUUCAGGUUUUCGAUAAAAGUCUAUUUUUCUUCCACCAAAGGUAACCAAUCAUCUACCCAUUAUUUUUUAAUGUUAUUAGGUCUUUGAAACUAAAUUUUUAAUCAUUAAAAUGCAAGUUUUGAUUAAAAGCUGAAAAUAGAAUCGUUAAUGGUGAAUUUUAGAUUUUCGAGUAAAAUGUGAUUUCAAAGUGUUAAUCAAUAGGUUUUGAUAUGAUUAAAACAUUUCUAAACUUGUUUUUUUAAGUUUCAUUAAGGAUUUCUUAGGUUUUAAUGAAUUUUCGAAAAAAUAGCUAUAAACAUGUCGAAAAAGUCGAUACUAUGAACUGAGUGUUUUAGUGUAGUUUAAAGGUUGGGAAUUAGUCAUAGAUAAAUUAUAAGAUGAACGAAAUUUGUUUUAGGCAAAAAGAUUGAGUUUAGACCAAGAUAUUUGAAUGUAAAGAUUGUUAUGUUAAAGAUUUCGGUUACAUGAGAGCAUAGUUUUAGGCUUAUGCUUUUUAUUGCUUGUGGUAAGUUCUUACGUAACACCCCUUACCCGUAUCCGAAGUCAGGAUAGGGUUUGAGGUGUUACCAGACUUAAACAUAACAUUCAUUCAAAAUCGGGCCAUAAAAUUUCAUCCAACUUAACACCAUUCAUUAACAUGCAUAUCGUCCCUAUUACGGACCUACAAGGCCCUGAACAUACAUUGGAAAUGGUUCGGGACUAAACUGAGAACUUUCAGAGCUUUUACAACAUUUAGAAAAAUUUCUUGUUUUGGAGGGUCACAUGCUCGUGUGGGUAGGCCAUGUGGUCAUGCACGCUCAUGUGGAUUGGGACAAGCCCGUGUAACUCUCUGUUUAUGACAUCAUCAACACAAUUAGGAUCACACAGCCAAGUCACACGCCCGUGUGAUUAGGCCGUGUGGCGAAUUAAAUUCCAAAAAUUAAGUGUGGACUUCACAUGGCCUGGGCACAUGCCCAGGUCCUGAGGCCGUGUCUAUCACACAGCUGAGACACAUGGCCGUGUCUCUGCCAGUGUGUUUACUACUGGGCAUACUGUUUUGCCUAAUUAGGGUACAGGGGACACACGGUCAGAUCAUAAGCCCAUGGGGCAGACCGUGUGUCACACACGGCCUAAACAGAUGCCCAUGUGUCUACCCAUGUGGUCAAAUUCUAGGCUAAUUUCCAAGCUAUUUGCCACCUUUAAAUGCUCACUCACUUAUACAUUUUUGAUGCUAUGCAACAUAGCAUAGUUAGUCACUCAAAUACUCACAAUCAUGAUUAUUCCAUGACUUUGUAAUGUCAACAUAGCACAUGCUCAAACCAUCAUGCUUUCAUAUGGCAUUCCACACCAAUUUCAUAUUUACUCAUCCUUAUAAACCCACCUUCAACCUACUCAAUUAUACCAUCAACAUGGUCAUACCUUUUAGUCCCAAUUCAUUCAUUAAGCAUGUGUGCAAUUUAUCACAUCCACUUCCAACAAGCAACCACAUCACAAUAUAACAUCCCGAUUUUGGGCUUAGUCGGAAUAGUGGUUUUAGGACUACAAAUUCGACAGGAGAAAUUUUAUUUUUAUUAUAUUUUUAUGGUCUACAAUUUCACAGAAUGAUUUCGUGAAAAUUUUGUUCAAAAAAUUUAACGUUUGGGCACUCAAUUUAGUCAAAAGGACUAAAUCGUAAAAAGUGCAAAAGUUGAGUUCUACAUGCUAGAGGUGUCCAAUUGUUAUGAAAUUUUAAAUUGGAGGUCCUUAUAUGGUAAUUAGACCAUUGGUUAAGUUGGUGGACAAAAAUGGACAUGGUUAAGCAUGUUUCCACAGUUUUUAUUAAGGGCAUUUUGGUCAUUUAGUUAUUAAAAUGAAUUAAAAACAAAAUUAAAAGACAAUUUUUGUCCAUCUUCAACCUCUUGGCUGAAAAUUGCAUGGAGAAACCAUGGCUAGGGUUUUUCAAGCUUUCAAGCUCAAUUGUAAGUUCGUUCUAGCCCCAUUUUUAAUGAUUUUUAUAUUUUUGCAAUCCCCGUAACAAGAUCUAUCUAUUUCUACCAUUAAUUUGAGCUAGGGUUCAUGUUUCAAAAUUGACCCAUGUGUGACAUGCAUUCAUUUUGAUGUCUAAUGGUAGAAAAUGAGUGUUGGAUGUUAAAUAAAUGAGUUUUACUAAGCGAUUUUCGAUGAAAACGACCGAAAGGACCAUUUUGUAAAAGUCAUAAAAAUGGUAUAAAAGGGUGUUUUGAUGAGAAUUUUAGUUUUCUAUAGUCAUGAAAAUGAUUUGACUCAGCCUAUAGAGUGAGAAAAUUAAAUAAAAAUCACUUUACGAGCCCAGGGGCAAAAAAAUUACCUAAAUGUGAUUUUUGGAUCACAUUAAAUAAUGUGACUAAUAAUUGGACUAAAUUUGAUAUUAUAGAUCAAGGAAAAUGAGGAUUGGACUUAGAUUGGGUGAAAAAUGGAAAAUCGACAGUUAGAUUCCUUUUUGCUAUUUUGGUGUUAAGGUAAGUUCUUGUGUCAAUAAUAUUGCAAUGCUAUAUUUGAAUUGAAAAUUCUAUAUUAUUAUUGCACAAAUGUCAUGAUUUAAUAUAUUGAAAAGUGAUGAAAGAAUGGUAUAUAAAAUUUGUGAGAACAAUGAUAUAUAACUAGUAGCACAUGAAAUGUUUGAUGAUUCAAUCAUUGAUGGCUUGCUAUAUAAUAGCUGAAUAUAUUGAGAAUUUGAUAUAACAUGAUGUUUUAUUAAGUUGGAUAACUUGUGAAAGAGUGAAAAGAAAGGUAAGUUUGUAUGUAAAUAAUAUACCAUUUUUACUUAUGUUAUAAUAUUUUGUUAUUAUAUGAGAGGUGGUUGCAUAUUGAAUUAUCACUUGAUUUAAAUUAUGAAUUGAAAUUGAUUAUGGAUGAAUUGGUAAAAUGUUGAAAAGUGAGGAAUUUCCUAGUUGGACUUUCAGAAUAGAAAAGAUACAAAUAAUCUGCUGUGAGAACACAUGUGUAGUACUAUGUGCAGGCUACUAUGUGUUUAAAAUGGUUUUAGGUCACGUGUGUAGUACAAAGUGCAGGCUACUACAUGUACCAGAUGGUUAGGUCGCAUGUGUAGUGCAGGCUACUAUGCGUACCCAAUAGCGUCGAUCACAUGUGUGGUACUAAGUGCAGGCCAGUAUGUGUAAAAGAUAGCUUUGGUCACAAGUGUGGUACUAUGUGAAGACAACUUUGUGAAGAAGGUAGCUUUGACUACAAUGGUGGUACUAUGUGCAGGCCACCGGGCAUCCGUUAUUAUUUCGAUGUGUUCAACGGGAAAUGACUAGAUAUAAUUGAAUAUGACUAUGUGAUGAAUAAGUGAAGGUUCAUGUGUGUAAACUUAUGAGCAACGUGCUCGAUAUGUGAUCAAACUUUGGUAAAUUUGAUAUGGAGUAAGUGUUACAAUGAAAGUUACUACAAAGAAAACAUGAAAGAGUGAAAUUUAGUAAUAAAACAGUUUUGGACAGCAGCAAUUGUAUGACUUUGAAAAAUUACCAAAAAUGGUGGAAACUAAAUUAGAAGUUGAACAAGAUAUGAAAUAAAAUCUUAUUGAUUAUAUUUUCAUAUAAAGGAAACGGUGUAAGCAAAAUAAUUUCAUAUUAUGAGAUAUUUGAAUUUUUGUGAGAAAGAGUCAGAAUUAUUUUGAAAUCCCCUAUUCUGAAUUGGUAAAAUCAUUAAAAAUUUUAAAAAAUAAAUAAUGGGUUAUAAUUUAUAUGUUUAAAAUCCUUAAUGAGUCUAUUUUUUAAAAAAACAAACGGAAACAUUAUCCAAAUCUUGUACGAAGAGAUAAUUAAUUUUUAGUAUAGAGGGGUCAGAACUGUCAGAUAGAAAAACGUGGGUGAUUUUAAAGAAUAAAAUGUACUUAUUGGCUAGAGAAAAAAUUAUAAAAAUUUUAUGGUAAGAAGAUAUGUGAGUCUAGUUUCUUAUAAAAUUAGCGGUUCUCAAUUUGAAGUCCCGUAGCUCCAGAUAUAAAUAAUUUAGUGACCGUAACUCGAGGAAACAGCUUAACUGGACGUUGAAUUCAAAAAUAGCAUGUUAAUACAUUGCUUAUUAUUAUUUUUCAUGCGAACUUACUAAGCGUAAAGCUUACUCCCUCUUUUCCAUUUCUUUUAGUGUUUUUAGGUUGGCUUGAGGUUGGAGAUCGUCAGAGGUAGCAUUACACUAUCAAGCCAAUACAUAUGUUAGAAAUAUCAAGUGAAUGGCAUGUAUAGGGACCUAGUUCUAUCACAUGUGUUAUUAUGAUUUGGCUAAAUGAAUUGGCCUAUAUAAAGCUAUUGUAUAUGGCCAUGAGAGGUGGCUCAUAUUGAUUAUGGUUUGUAAGUCUAACUAAUCAUGUUACGUUUUAAUGCAUAUGAUGUGAUGAUAUGAAUAUGUUUGUUUGCCAUGCAUGGUUAGUAAUAUGUCAUGUGUGGUGAAUGCAUGUUUUAUGACCAAUCGAGGUGGUCAUGACCAUGAAUUAAAUGUGUAAUAUGGUAAUAAGAUGAUAAUGCCUUGAACAUGGAUGUUUGAUGUAUAAGUUAGUAACCAUAGAUUAAUGAUAUAAGUGAUUAAUAAGAUGACAAGGUCCGAUGAAUGUGUAAUAAUGUGGCUAGACUAGUUUAUCAUGAGUAGGUGGAACAUAUGUAUAAUGACGAGCUAAUGUUGAAUGUGUCUUAAUAAAGGGUUUUUAAUCACUAAAAUGAUUCCAUGAGUUGUGAGUUUGAUGUGUAUAAGGUUGUAAGGGUUUAUGGGAAACAUGAAGGCUUGGAAAAUAGCCUAAGUGUUAGCCACAUAGGCAGAGACACGGCCAUGUAUCUCAGCCAUGUGGAGGACACGGCCUAGCACACAGGUGUGUGGCCUGGCUAUGUGGUUCAAAUUGUUUUGCUGAUGUCACAAACAGAGAGUUACAUGGGCUAAGGAUACGGGUGUGUCCCAAGCCACACAGGCGUGUGUGACCACACGGUUAAACACAUAUGGGCAUGUGGCUCUCCAAAGCAAGAAAUUUGCUAAGUUGUCCAAAGUUUAUUGAAAGUUCUCAGUUUAGUCUCGAACCACCCCGAUGUAUGUUUUAGGCCUCGAAGGCCCGUAUAAGGGAUGAUAUACAUGUGUUUGAAAAGUUUUAAUUUGGACAAAAAUUUUAUGGCCCAGUUUUUGCAUGAAUGAUUGUGUAUGUGUUCGGUAAUGCCUUGUAUCCUAUCCCGGUCUCGGGUACGGGUAAGGGGUGUGACACACAAAGCAUAAACACAUUGUAUGCAUGCAUAAAUAAUUAGGGUUACAACCCGAGAAGCAAAUAUAAGCCACAUCUCAUGGCCAUAUACCAAAUGAAUCAUAAUACCAUCAUGAGCCAAUUCAUUUAGCUAAUCAAUAUGACAUAUAACAAAAUGACCAAGUCCCAUACACAUGCCAUACUCAAAAUGUCGAGACUAACUAUACCCAAAAAAAUGUUGAGACUAACUAUACCCAAAUGUCAAAUUGAUAGUCUGAUCAAAUCUCCAACGUCCUUCGAUCCCUGAGCUAGCUUGGCGACACUAUAAAAGAUGGAAAGGAAGUGGUAAGCAUUAAAGCUUAGUAAGUCCAUAUGUAAAUAACUUGCUAUAUAAACAAGUAUUUAAUAUACAUUUAACAUAAUGAGCAUAACUUAUAUUUCAUCAAAUCACUUACACUUGCUCAUCACAUAAACAACUUUGUCAUAAGUUCAUCACAUACCAAGGCAUUACUCAUGAGUUCGGUAUACAUACAUGUAACAACUCAUAACAUAAUCUCUAACUCAUUCUUCUCAUUGACUUAACCCUUGGGUCUUUUGUCAAGUUACUCAGUAAUUUACCCGUUGGACACUCGAAAAACUAUUGGAUACUCAGAAGGCUCGCACAUAAGUACCACAUACGUAGCUAAAGCUACUUCAUAUCACAUAACACAUGGAGGCUCAUUCUCAAGCUAUUCACGAGUCUGCUCACACAAGCUAUCGGCCAGGACGUAGCUACACGAGCUGCUCACAUAAGUUCUCAGGUAUCCAUAACACAUGCUGGACUACCCAGCCACUGAUAGGACGUACAAGACCAGCACUAGGAACCACAUAAACAUAUCUCAUGAGCUCAUAAAUCACAUGAUUCCUAGUGACAUGUCACUUGUAUCCCAAAUUAUUCCUAAGGUUCUGUAACACCCUAAACCCAACCCGAAUGCUAUGACCGGAUCCAGCGUGUCACAUUGAAGUGUUUUAUCAAAAACCUUGUUUUCAUUGAAAACCCUUCCUUAGAAUGAAAAACCUUAAUUAUUUUGUAAUGUCUCUUUUCAGUUGUAAAAGCUUUAUUUAAAACAUAUGAUUCAUGGAAACUUGUUAUUUAAAAAUUUAGUUAUGGAAUCGUAGUAUUUCAAAAACCCUAAUUUGAACAAUAACCAGAGGGAGGGCCUUAUUACAAUCCAGUCUGAAACAACUUAAUAAACUAGAAACUAUAUGUUUUUUUCAAAACAAAAAUCAAGUUCAAGUCAUCUUGCUAGCUGGCCACCACGGAGUCCCUCCAACCGUCAAUCCUCCUAUUGAGCAUCACUUAAGAAAAAUAAAAGAGGGGGUGAAUUUUCGAAAACUCAGUGUGUACAACCCUCAAACAGUCCUAAGCAAACAUCAAUCACCACAACGUCAUACAUGCAAUGCUGUGCAACCCACCCUAAUAAUCCAACCGCUACACAUCAUCUCCGUCCCCCUGUACACAUCAUGUGGGGAUAUAAAUAUUGACCCACUCAUCCGAUACACAUCAAUGGUAGCCCGAUUAUGGUACUACCUUCAUUGCAGCAAGCUGCUAAUCAAAUAUUGGGCUUAAUAGCCAUCGGUGGAUCCACGGUUGUCAAGCAACCAUGCGAUCCUCAUAUAUUUCCUCCGUUCUAUAAUUCCCAACCCAUAUGUAACCUAAACAGAAUAUCAUAUGAAUGCAGCAAAUAUACAUGUAACAUUCGUAAAUCUUACCUUCAACACAUAGGGGUAUUUUGGUCACUUUUCACCCUUAGGGGCUUUUCGGUGAUUUCUCUUUAUCAUGAGUUUAUUACUUACCUUGGCCCAUUAACAAGUCAUCGUUGAUUAAAGUGAAUAGACACUAUGCACCAGGUAGGAUUCCAGAGAAGAGGAGGUGAGUCAUUAAGACCGCUUAAGUACCAAGCUCUCCCUAGAUCCAAUCCUAGACAUGCAUAUACCCAUUGCUUAAACCGUAAUUUAUACAUAUUUUUACCCCAUGCUUAACGCAUUUUAUGGAUGAUUUCCUAUUAGAAUUGGUGAAUUCGGUGCUCCUAAUGCUUUAAUUUCAUGUUUUAUACUCAGGAGAGCAUAAGAGAGCAAAAGGAAUGAGAAAUGGGCCAAAAACGGAGAAAAUGGGCCAAAGUACGAAAUCAACAAGGCCUGGGCCUCCUUACACGGGCAGAUCACACGGCCGUGUCAAUUUGGCAGGCUCGAGCACGGCCUAAAGUAAUCUUACAUGGGCGUGUUACACGGAUUUGUCCCUACCGAGCCCAAGUUGAGUCCAAUUUAGAAAAGGCUAAUUUUGAGGGCUCUUAGGCAUUCUAAAGCCUAUAAAUACACCCUAGUGGAGGAAGAAAAGGGAGACGAAGAAGAGGGAGUAAGGAAUUACUCCAAGGAAGCCGAUUGAUCCAUCUUAGAAGCUGGAUUCAUCAUCAAGACUGAAGAUCUCUCCUCAAUUCUCUCUUCAAGAGUUUUGGGUUUUCUUUAUGUUCUGUAUUCUUUAUCAUUCUGAGAUGUUUUCUUAUUUAGUUAUGAACUAAAACUACGAAAUACCUAAGGGAAAUGAAACCUAAGGUGAAUCUUGUUAUUAUUUUCUGAAUUGUAUGAUAAAUAUUUAACUUGUUCUUAAUUAUGUGUUCUUAAUUCUUGUUUUGAUAUUCCAGGAUACUGAUUCAGGAUAAGCUCUUAUUCAGAGGAGGAAUAGACCCUGUCUAAGAGUAUAUUUAUCAUAAUUAAGCGGAGUUGAUUGCGCACCUAGACAUAGGGUGACAAGAUUUUGUCGGAUUAGGGUGAAACCUAAUAAGGGGAUCCAUAGAUCGAGUUAAUGUAACCCUAGAGUGUUAAUUAGAGAAAAGUCUCAAUUAUUCAAUCUAUGGAUUAGAUGUUAUUAGUCUUGAAUAGGGAUAAUAACAUAACUUAGGUAUUGUCUUAAUUCAAUCGAUUUUCCCAAAAGCAAUUCCCUAAUUACAUUCUUUGUGAAUUCUUAGUUUAGAUAAUUAGUUAAUUAAAACAAAAGCUCUAUAUUCUUAGGCUAGAUAAUAAAAAGACAGUCAUUACGAGUACUUUUAGUUCCUUUGGGUUCGACAAUCCAGUUUUGCUAAAACUAUACUACUGUUCGAUAGGUACACUUGCCUACAUCGCGAAAAUAGUUAGUUGAAGAACGAGUAAUUAUAAAUAUUUAAAACCUAUCACAAAAUAAUGCGAUCAAGUUUUUGGCGCCGUUGCCGAGGAACUAAGAUAUUAGGAACGCUCAAUUUUUAUUACUUUAGCCAUUUAUUUUCCUUGCAAUUUAAUUUUAUUAUUGUUAUUACUUAUUAAUUUACUUUCUCUUUCUCUUGGCAGGUUUCUAUAGUUUAUGAGUAGAAGAAACUCGUCAGGACCAUUACUUUUUGUCGAAGAAAUUGAUCAUACAGUUCACAGAAAUCAAAGAGAAAUAAGGCGAAGCUUACGAUACAUAGAAAACGAGCAAGAAGACGAUACUCAACUCGCAACCAAAAAGAUGGCUGAAAACCAAGGCAAUCAGCUACCUCUUGCAAUUGCGAUUAAUCAAAAUCCUGCUCCACGUAUUAUGUAUGAUUAUGCUAAACCUUCUUUAACAGGAACUGAAUCAAGCAUAGUUAGACCUGCUAUAGCUGCAAAUACUUUUAAAUUAAAACCUAACACUAUUCAAAUGAUACAAUAAAUUUUUCAGUUUGAUGAUUUGCAGGAUUAAGAUCCUAACGCUUAUUUAGCCAACUACUUGGAACUAUGCGAUGCAUUUAAAAUUAAUGGUGUUUCUGAUGAUGCCAUUCGUCUUCAGCUAUUCCCUUUUUCAUUGAGGAACAAAGCUAAAUAGUGGUUGAACUCGUUACCACGAGGGUCAAUUACUACUUGGGAACAAAUGAUCGAAAAAUUUUUACUAAAAUAUUUUCCGCCGGCUAAAACGGCUAAAUUACGUAAUGAUAUAUGUUUUUUUUGUGUAGAUGGAUUUAGAAACACUCUACGAUGCAUGAGAGAGAUAUAAGGAUCUUUUGAGAAGGUGCCCUCACCAUGGUUUACCGCUUUGGCUCCAAGUUCAAACAUUCCAUAAUGGUCUGAAUCCUUCAACUCGACAAAUGGUUGACACAGCUGCUUGCUGAACCAUCAAUAAUAAAACACCUGAAGUAGCUUAUGAGUUUCUAGAGGAGAUGUCACUGAAUAAAUAUCAGUGGCAAGUCAUGAGGACAAAGCUAACAAAAACAGCUGGCAUUUAUAACGUCGAUUCGGUCACCAUGCUCUCUAAUCAGGUAGAACUCUUGAAUAAGAAAAUUGAUGGUUUUCUUAGUUCUUUGCAGGUUCAUCCAGUAAUGCAGUGCGAAGCAAGUGGAGGUGGAACAAGCCAUUCAGAAUACCAACCUUAUGCCCACAACAUGGAUAACGAGCAAUUAAAUUACAUGGGUAAUAAUCCUCGACCUCAAAACAAUCCAUAUAGUAACACUUACAAUGCAGGUUGGAGGAACCACCCCAAUUUCUUGUGGGGUGGUCAAGGAAAUCAAAGACCACAACCACCUCCAGGUUACCAACAACCCUACCAACAGGAAAAGAAGCAAAACCUUGAAGAGAUACUUUCAAAGUUUAUAUCAGUGUUAGAAACUCAUUUCCAGAGCACCGAGACAACACUUAAGAAUCAACAAGUAUCGAUCCAAAGGCUCAAAACUCAGAUAAGCCAACUGUCCAAAUUAAUUUCAGAAAGACCACUAGGAAGUUUACCUAGUAAUACCCAAUCAAAAGAGCAUGUGAAAGCAGUUACACUAAGGAGUGGGAAAGUGUUAGCGGAAACUUAAAAGAAGCUAACACAAGAGGCCGUGGUAAGCGAAAGAGGGGAAGAAAAAACCGAAAAUAGUGACAAACUAGUGCCGAAAGAAUAUAAACCUCCAGUUCCGUACCCAGCAAACUUGAAAAAAGAUCGCAUUGAUGCGCAAUUCGGUAAGUUUCUUGAACUUUUUAAGCAAUUACAUAUCAACUUACCUUUUGUUGAAGCCAUCUCGCAGAUGCCUACAUGCGCAAAAUUUUUGAAAGGGCUUCUAACAAAUAAAAGGAAAUUCGAGGACUUGUCUACAGUAGAACUCAACGAGGAGUGCUCAGCCAUACUCCAAAACAAGUUUCCAACCAAACUGAAAGAUGCAGGGAGUUGUACUAUCCCUUGCUUAAUUGGUAGUCUGAAUGUUGAGAAAGCACUAGCUGAUUCAGGCGCUAGCAUUAAUUUGAUGCCAUAUAAAAUGUUCAAACAACUUGGCCUUGGGGAACCUAAACCUACUAGGAUGAGUAUUCAAUUAGCCAAUAGAUCUGUUAAAUAUCCUGGGGGCAUUAUAGAAGACGUACUCGUGAAAGGAGAUAAAUUCAUAUUUCCUAUUGACUUUGCUGUGCUUGACAUGGAUGAAGAUGUGGAAGUGCCCUUAAUUUUAGGGCACCCAUUUUUAGCCACUGCUAGGGCUGUAAUCGAUGUGGGUGAUGCUAAAUUGGUACUUAGAGUAGGUGACGAGGAGAUUAUCUUUAAAAUUUAUGAUGCUAUUAGGUUUUCUAGGGAACAGGAUGAUUCAUGUUAUUUUAUUGACUUUAUUGAUCAUACUACUCAAGACUCUUUUCAAGAAAUUAUACAGAAAGACACGAUGGAACUGUAUCUAGCUCAAGAAGAGGAGACAGAUGAUGAACCUAAUGAGUAUUCUUCAAGACAAGUAGAAUAUGAGGGCAUUAAGCUAAACAAUGAACUUAAGCAAAAACCCUCUAUUGAAGAGCCUCCCAAACUGGAACUUAAACAAUUACCAAACCACUUGGAGUACGCAUUCCUUGGAAAUAACUCUACAUUACCAGUUAUUAUUGCUUCCAACUUGUAACCCAAGGAGAAAGAGAAAUUGAUCCAAGUAUUAAAGGAACAUAAAAAGGCCAUAGCUUGGAAAAUUUCUGACAUUAAAGGAAUCAACCCCCAUUUUUGCACCCACAAAAUUUUGAUGGAAGAUGAAUAUAAACCGUGUGUGCAAGCUCAAAGACAACUGAACCCCAACAUGAAGGAAGUUGUAAAAGCCGAGGUAAUUAAACUUCUAGAUGCUGGAAUUAUUUAUCCUAUUUCUGACAGUUCUUGGGUAAGUCCAGUGCAGGUUGUCCCCAAGAAAGGAGGCAUGACGGUUGUGACCAACGAGAAGAAUGAAUUAAUCCCAACAAGAAUAGUCACAGGAUGGAGAGUUUGCAUAGACUAUAGGAAACUAAAUGAUUCCACAAGAAAAGAUCACUUCCCCUUGCCAUUCAUUCACCAAAUGUUGGAAAGAUUAUCCGGACACAUGUAUUACUGCUUUCUAGACGGACUCUCUGGUUACUUCCAAAUCCCAAUAGCUCCUGAAGAUUAAGAAAAGACGACAUUCACAUGCCCAUAUGGUACGUUCACUUAUCGUAGAAUGCCUUUUGGAUUAUGUAAUACUCCUGUCACUUUUCAGCGCUAUAUGAUGGCCAUCUUCGACGAACUCAUGGAAGAUAUCAUGGAAGUAUUUAUGGAUGAUUUUUUGGUAUUCGCUAACUCUUUCCAUCUCUGCCUUAAAAAUUUAAAACGAGUUUUAAUAAUAUGUGAGGAAACAAACCUUGUGCUUAACUGGGAGAAAUGUCACUUCAUGGUUCAAAAAGGUAUUGUAUUAGGGCAUAAAAUUUCUAGUAAAGGAAUUGAGGUGGACAAAUCUAAAAUAGAAACAAUCGAAAAAUUACCAUCUCCUAGUUUGGUUAAGGCUAUUAGAAGCUUUUUAGGACAUGCUGGUUUUUAUAGAAGAUUUACUAAGGAUUUUUCUAAAAUAGCUAAGCCUUUGACUAAAUUGCUAGAAAAAGAUAUACCUUUUAAUUUCGAUGAGGAAUGUUUAGAAGCAUUUAAUACUUUAAAGGAUAAAUUAAUUAAUGCUCCAAUCAUAAUUGCACCUGAUUGGAACAUACCAUUUGAACUAAUGUGUGAUGCGAAUGAUUUUGCAGUUGGUGCAGUAUUGGGAUAGCGAAGAGACAUUUUCAACCUAUCUAUUAUGCCAGUAAAACUUUAACAGCUGCACAAGAAAAUUAUACUACUACGGAAAAAGAGUUGCCAGCUGUGGUUUUUGCAUUUGAUAAAUUUCGAUCAUAUCUCAUAUUGUCUAAAGUUGUUGUUUACACUGACCAUUCUGCCCUUCGCUACCUUUUAACUAAAACUGAUGCAAAACCUCGACUCAUUCAAUGGAUUCUCCUAUUGCAGGAAUUCGACUUGGAGAUUCAGGAUAGGAAAGGAGCUGAAAAUCUCGUGGCUGAUCAUUUGUCCAGGCUCGAGAAAUCCAAUACCAGAGAACUAGAUGAUGUUGAAAUAAAUGAUUUGUUCCCUGAAGAACAAUUUUUCGCUAUAUCUAACUUCGAGGUACCUUGGUUUGCAAACAUCGCGAAUUUUUUAACUGCUAACAUUAUCCCAAAAGGGUUAACACACCAGCAAAAGAAGCGAUUCUUUAAUGAUGUGAAAAACUACUUUUGGGACAACCCCUUUCUGUUUCGCAGAUGUGCAGAUCAAGUCAUUAGAAGAUGCGUUACAAGAUCAGAAACUUCAAAAAUAUUAGAACAUUGCCACUCAGGGCCAACCGGAGGACACUAUAGUGGAACUAAGACUGCACACAAAAUACUUGAAUCAGGUUUUUAUUGACCUUCGUUAUUCAAAGACGCUAACAGGUAUGUUACUUCAUGUGAAAAAUGCCAACGGACAGGUAACAUAUCUAAACAUGAUGAAAUGCCUCAAAACUAUAUGCUUUCAUGUGAAAUAUUUGACGUUUGGGGUAUCAAUUUCAUGGGCCCAUUCCCCAGUUCAUUUGGGAAUAAAUACAUCUUAGUAGUAGUUGAUUACAUGUCCAAAUGGGUGGAAGCCCAAGCUCUACCUACUAAUGAUGCUAGAGUGGUAGUACGUUUCCUUAAAACACUCUUCUCGAGAUUCGAAACACCUAGAGCAAUUAUCAGGGACAGGGGCACUCAUUUUUGUAAUACCCAAUUUGAAAAAACUCUUAAGAAAUACGGAGUUCAUCAUAGAACAGCCACCCCAUACCAUCCUCAAACUAAUGGACAAGUUUAAGUAGCAAAUCGAGAAAUCAAAUGGAUCCUUGAAAAAAUAGUAGAAUCAAACAAAAAAGAUUGGGCAACGAAGUAGACGAUGCCUUAUGGGCUUACAGAACUGCUUUUAAGACCCCCAUAGGGACAUCACCUUACAGACUUGUUUAUGGAAAAAGUUGUCAUCUACCAUUUGAACUAGAGCAUAAAGCUUUUUGGGCUAUCAAAUUUCUAAACCUUGAUCCGGAACUUGUAGGAAAAAACAAGUUGAUGUAGCUGAACGAGCUUGAUGAGUGGCAAGCCAAUGCAUACAAAAAUUCACGCCUAUACAAGGAAGCAAGAAAGCGGCGCCAUGACACUCGCUUAAAGAAACGAAAACAAUUUGAAGUUGGAGAUCUUGUCUUACUAUAUAACUCAAGACUCAGAUUGUUUCCUGGGAAACUUAAAUCACGAUGGUCAGGACCUUCGUAAUUCAAUCUGUUCUUCCAUAUGGCACAAUAGAGGUGAGUCACCCAUCAUAUGGUACUUUCAAAGUAAAUGGCCAUCGUCUCAAACUUUAUAAUGGUGAGAAUUUCAAAGAUGAUGGAGAGGAGCUACGACUCCACAAAUUGCCCUGAAUAAACCAACAAGGUAAUAGUCGAGCUUAGACUAUAAACAAGCGCUUCUCGGGAGGCAACCCAAGUACUAACGGUUUUAAAUUAUUUAAAUUUCAAGUUUUAAACAUUUAGGUCACUAACAGAGUAUUUGAAGCACAAGUUCCCAACUCCACGGAAACACAACCGUGCUUAAGGCCGUGUGACCAACACAGACGGAAACACGACCGUACGAUACGGCCAUGUGAAAACAGGGUAAAAGUUAUCUUUCCCAACACAGGAUGUGAUAAGUGGCCACAGGCGUGCGACCUAGCCAUGGUCAAAUCUGCCAAACGAACAUGGGCGUGCGACACGCCCGUGUCUAGUACCCGUAGAUGACACUGCCAAAAUGACACGGGCGUGCGAAGACCUACACGAACGUGGGAGAAGUGAACCACAUCACACACGGUCGUGUAAUAUGAUCAUGAAGACACAUGCCCUAUACACACGGGCGUUUCCAAAGGCCAUGUGACGACAUCUCAUUUCGCGACAAACACGGGCGAGACACGAUCCACACGGGCGUAUGAACCGGCCACGACACUUAAAAAAAUUAGGUUAUCUAUCCUAUUUUAUUUUAUUUUUUUAUUUUAUUAAUUUUUGAAGAUUCUUUUGUUUUUAAACACGGCUUAUCUUUAUAAUUGCUACCAAAUUAUUUCCCCAAUCCUCCUAUUGUUCUUCAGAAUCAUAUUUGUCCUCUAGCUUUAUUUCCAACAACUCGCUCUUGCUAAUCCAGGAUUCCAUGCAUUUUUAACUCAGGAAGUUUCACUUCUCUCCCUCUCUUAUUCUUAUACUCUAAUAUUAGUCUUUGUACAUUGAGGGCAAUGUACGUCUUAACUGUGGGGGAAUAUUUAUUUCAUUAUCAUAAAAAUCCCUGAAUGACUGCCUUGUUCUCUUGAAAAGCUCUCAUAUCAUAUUUAGGAUAAAUUUUGAUUGAUUUAUGAUUUUUGUUGAUAUAUCUUGAAUUAAAACAUAGGCAAUUAUGCAUUGAUUGUUUAAACUUUAAGACAUUAGAGAAUCAAGCAUGAUAAGUUGAUUUUUAAGAAUUUAAAAUCUUAGGUUGUUUCCCUAAAGUUUAGGUAUUACUUUGAGUUGGAAUUCACAAGUUUUAAACAUCAAAAAGCCAUAAUUUUUGUGAGAUUUUUUAGCCUUUUGAGCAUCUAUUAAUUCUUUCAUGCUCACAUUUAUUAUUGCUUUGAGUGCGUCAGUAUUGAACUGUUAUUCUAGAACUUGCUUGAUUAUGCAUGUCGAGACCACACCAUUUGAUUUGAUAUGUCAAAAUGAUUAAGGCACUUAGGAUUAACCCACUCAUGCCAUGAAAAUCCUACCUCCAUGACUAACCCCUAGUAAACAUCCUUGAGCCCAACAAAGCCAUUCCUUGUAUUAAUCUUAAUAUUAACCCUUAACCCAUUAUUGUUGAAAUCCCCUAAAUUAAUCCCUAUUUUUUGUCGAGAUUUGAGUUGAAUAAAUUGCUUAGCUAUGUCUUGUUAUUAAUAGUUAGUCUAUGUUAUUUACCUUGUUCUAAAAAAAACUAUGUAUACACAUUAGUAAUUCCACUUUUUUUUAGAAGAAGCUCGAUUGUACACAAGUGAUGAUUAACUUCUUUUCUAGUUAGGCAAUUUUUCAAUUCAAUCUCGAUUCUAACCCUUUCUUUCAGCUUGUGACCACACCACCUAACCAAGCCUCAUUACAACCCUCUAAAGACCUUUUGAUUGAAGUAUCAUCUUAAAUUGUAGUGGUGAAGAUUUGAUUUUCAUGCAAGCCUAUGGUAAUGACUUUUCAUUAUUGGCUAUUGAGUGCUUCAUUUAUUGUCCUUAAACACCUCGAGUGAUUUGAGUGAAUCUUUAGUGAGGAUAUUCAACUCUAUGAUAUUCUUAAUCAAAGGUAAUUACUUAGACGAGGGGAGACACCUAUGUUGCAUGACUACAUGCUCAACUUGGAAUGUUUGAAACUUUUAUGUUCUUUUAGUUGAAUUCUCAAUGUGUGAUUACUUAUGGGUUAUUUUGAGAUAUUAUCGAUAGAAAUUAUAAGUUGAGAAGAAUUUAUUUUGAUUAUGAGUUGAGAAUUUUGCUUGAGGACAAGCAAAUGCUUAAGUGUGGGGGUAUUUCAUAAACCAUAAUUUAUACAUAUUUUUACCCCAUGCUUAACGCAUUUUAUGGAUGAUUUCCUAUUAGAAUUGGUGAAUUCGAUGCUCCUAAUACUUUAAUUUCAUGUUUUAUACUCAGGAGAGCAUAGGAGAGCAAAAGGAACGAGAAACGAACCAAAAAUGGAGAAAAUGGUCCAAAGUACGAAAUCAACAAGGCCUGGGCCUCCUUACACGGGCAGAUCACAUGGCCGUGUCAAUUUGGCAGGCUCGAGCACGGCUUGAAGUAAUCGCACACGGGCGUGUCCCUGCCGAGACCAAGUUGAGUCCAAUUCAGAAAAGACUAAUUUUGAGGGCUCUUAGGCAUUCCAAAGCCUAUAAAUACACCCUAGUGGAGGAAGAAAAGGGAGACGGAGAAGAGGGAGUAAGGAAUUACUCCAAGGAAGCCGAUUGAUCCAUCUUAGAAGCCAGAUUCAUCAUCAAGACUGAAGAUCUCUCCUCAAUUCCCUCUUCAGGAGUUUUGGGUUUUCUUUAUGUUUUGAAUACUUUAUCAUUCUGAGAUGUUUUCUUAUUUAGUUAUGAACUAAAACACCUAAAUACCUAAGGGGAAUGAAACCUAAGACGAAUCUUGUUAUUAUUUUCUGAAGUGUAUGAUAAAUAUUUAACUUGUUCUUAAUUAUGUGUUCUUAAUUCUUGUUUUGAUAUCCCAGGAUACUGAUUCAGGAUAAGCUCUUAUUCAGAGGAGGAAUAGACCCUAUCUAAGAGUACAUUUUUCAUAAUUAAGCGGAGUUGAUUGCGCACCUAGACAUAGGGUGACAAGAUUUUGCUGGAUGAGGGUGAAACCUAAUAAGGGGAUCCAUAGAUCGAGUUAAUGCAACCCUAGAAUGUUAAUUAGAGAAAAGUCUUAAUUAUUCAAUCUAGGGAUUAGACGUUAUUAGUCUUGAAUAGGGAUAAUAACAUAACUUAGGGAUCUCUACGAAACAAGUUAAAUGAAUAAAUCGUCCGAUUUGGAGCCAGAAUAACAAGUACAGUCUAGGUGGAUUUUUCGUUAUGUAUUGUCUUAAUUCAGUCGAUUUUCCCAAAAGCAAUUCCCCAAUUCCAUUCUUUGUGAAUUCUUAGUUUAGAUAAUUAGUUAAUUAAAACAAAACCUCUCUAUUCUUAGGCUAGUUAAUAAAAAGACAGUCAUUACUAGUACUUUUAGUUCCUUUGGGUUCGACAAUCCAGUCUUGCUAAAACUAUACUACUAUUCGAUAGGUACACUUGCCUACAUCACGAUAAUAGUUAGUUCAAGAACGAGUAAUUAUAAAUAUUUAAAACCUAUCACGAAAUAACGCGAUCAAUUGCCACACCUUAACUUUAUGACUCGUCUGCGGUCGCAAUCAAUUAAUUAAGUUUUAUGUCAAUUCAAGCAGUUUCAGAUACUAAACCCAAAACCCCUUACAAAGCCCAAACAAGACUACAUACAUGCAUAUGGCCCACUAGGCCCAAUCUCAUUCUCAUGGCCCAUUAGGUCCAAAUCACAUUCGUAUGGCCCAUUAGGCCUAAAUCACAAUCGUAUGGCCCAUUAGGCCCAAAUCACAUUCUUAUGGCCCAUUAGGCCCAAAUCACAUUCGUAUGGCCCAUUAGGCUCAAAUCACAUUCAUAGUCAUGCUUUCAUACAACUUCUCAUCACUUACUAUCAAGUUGCCCAUUUUGCCUAUUUUGGGCCUACAGCCCAUCGGCCCAUUUAGCCCAUUCUGGCCCCGUUGGCCAAUACACGGUCCAAGUCCAUGGUAUCGCCCAUGGGGCCCCUGAUAACCUAUCGGUUUCCCCUUACGAGUGUUCGUGCACUCGCAGGUCUAUUAUAGCCACAAUUUUGGCAUUUCAGCAUUUUGGCUUUUCGGCAUUUCGGGAUUUGUCGAUCUACUGUGUGUGUGCAGUGUAUGUGCACACCUGGUAAUAUAGCAUCCUGUGAUCCCCCCUAGCCAUGAACCUACAAUCGAUAUCACUCAAUGAUUAACCACACAUACUUAUCGAAUACCUUGCCAAAAGCUGAGGUCUUACCUUAACCUUACCUGGAACGCCAAGCCUUAAUGGCUUUUUCUUGCUCACUAAUCACGAGCACUUCCUAGAUCUGCAUUAACCUUAUUGUUAAAAACAUAAUGGGUGACUUAUAUCCAACAUAUGUCACCCUUUCCCAUUAAAGCCUAUUCGGCCAACCUUUACCAAAAUGAAGAACACUUACCAAAGUUUCAACACUUAGGGAGCAAACCGGCAGAGAUCCAAAAGACUGAGGUUCGAUACUAAUCCUACCAAAACCGAUUCAGAAGGAGUGAGGGACAGGAGUAAUCGAUACUUAGCAAAACCAACUGAAAGAACAAAACACUUACACUAGAAUUGGCUGAGGUAGAAGGAGUAGUGGCAGCACAGAGGAUAUUCGGCUUCUAAGGUUUGUAUGAUGGAAAAGGUUAUUCGGCACAAAGUAAAACAGUAGUAGCAACCGUUUACAACCAGUGGUGAAUCAAAAAAGAAGUAUUGAGUAGGGGAAAGAAUGGAAAAUCGGCACAAAGUAAAGAAAGAAGAACAAGGGAUUUCGACUUUUUGAUCCUUGGAGAGAAAAAUGUUUUCUGGUAACAAGGAAAGGGAGAAUUUGGCAUUAGCCUGGAAUCCUCACAUUCGACACCUAUAUAUAGUCUAUAGUCGAAUUUCCUAUGCCAAAAUUCCUAAUUCGACUCCACCUCUUCUUCACUCCUCAUCUCCUAAUUUUUCUCCCUGAUAAAUCCCUAAUCCCCACCUCAAAUUUCUCCUCUUAUCACUCCCUACAGUGUUCAUAUCCAACGCCAACACUGACCAUCUCUUAAACAAAAAUAAAUCCUUCUUUUGAGCAAUGAGGGAUUCAAACCCCAAACCCCAUUGCCCUGUAUGUGACACCACUUGCCAUUCCACCACAAGGCUUUCUUGUGUCCAAUUCCUCCUUCAUUUAUUCAAAAGCUCAGCUACUUGCCAUCGGGGUUCUUUUAAGUAUUAACCUAUAAUUUCCUUCACCCUUAAGUUCGAACUCAAACCUUAACUAAGACCUAUUAUCACAUAAAUAAAACUUAACUAGGAAUAUUAAGCACACUUCUUAUCAAAAUCGAAAUAAGAAAAAGAAAAUUUGGGAUUUCGAGACUUUUGGGGCGUUACAAGUUCAAACGAGAUUUUUUUAUAUCACAUCUCUGUUAAGCUUGCUCGUAAUGUCAAUCUCAAUGUCCAUAACACUCAUCACUUACUCGUGGAGUAAUCAAAGCAUAACUCGUAAUAACAUUGAAGAAUUUUAAUUCACGUAAUACUCAACAUCAAAAAUAUAACAUAACAUCACAUUAUUUUAUAUGAACUUACCUCGGUACAAAAUGAUGAAAACGAGCCUAUUCUUCGUAAACCUUGUUUUUCCCCCGAUCAAAACCCGAAUCAUGUUUUUCUUGAUCUAUAAUGCCAAAUUUAACUUAUUUAAUACAUACAUUGUUUGAAUCGACCCAUAACACAUACUUUGAUAAAAUUACCUUUUUACCCCUAACUUUUUACUUAUUUACAAAUUGGUCCUUAGGCUCGUAAAAUGAAAUACAUGCAUUUUCUUUACUACCCAAGCCUAGCCGAUUCAUAUUCCUACUCUUAGCAGCCUACGUUUUUCUUUAUUUCACAUAUUUACUACCCAUUUUACAACUUUUACAAAUAGGUCCUUUACAUGCAUUUCCAUCAAAAAUCACUUAGUAAAAGAUGUUAAACACACAUCAAAAUUUUAUAUUCCUCCAUUAAAUAUCGAAAAUACAUGCAUGUCACACAUGGGUAAGUUUUUGAACAUGAACCCUAGCUUAAAAUAAGGGUAGAAAUAACUAGAUCAUGUUUCAAAGAUCUCAAAAACAUGAAGAACAUAAAAAACAGAGCUAAGAUGUACUUACUAUUGAGCUUGAAAAGUUGAAAAACCCUAUAUAUGGAACCCUUAGGAAUUUCAGCUAUGGCAUGGAGAAGAUGAGCAAAUUUUGCUUGAUUUUUCCCUUUUUUAUUCUUUUAUUAACUAAAUGACUAAAUUGCCCUUUAAUGCCUUUCUUUUAAAUUUUCCUUAGCAUGCCUACUUUUUUCUAGAAUUUUAAAACUUGGCCAAAUUACUAUUUAAGGACCUCUAGUUAAAAAUCCAUAGCAAUUUCAUGCUUAAAGCUUCUAGAACUCAAGUUUUACAACUUAUUCAAUUUAGUCCCUAACUUCAAAUUAGACACUUUAGGCAUAAAAUUUCUUCAUGAAAAUUUUACACAAACAUGCAUUCAUAUCAUGGAUCAUCAAAUAAUCAUAAAAUAAUUAUUUCUACUUCAUAUUUUUGGUCUCGAAACCACUGUUUUAACUAGACCCUAAUUUUGGGAUGUUACAUCUUAGUUGAUUUUUGAAUGUAUUGUUGUGUGAAUUGUUGUGUUGAAGUUUCGGAUUCACAAGGACCAUCUACAAGCUAGAAAAGGCUAGUUUUAGCUUUCAGCAUUUCGGCAAAAGCGUAGUGGUAAAUCUUUAGAUUAAUUGCUUGUGGACAUGAUUUAAUGCGUUAUUUGGGAAUUUAGUGGUACUAAACCCUUACUCUAAAUUUUGAGUGUAAGCUUUCUUGUACCCAGGUUUAUCUUGUGCGAUAUGUGCUUGUGUUAUUGUGAAAUUGUGAACUAAAAUGAGAUGCUAAAUAUGUGCUAUAUAUUUAUGAUUACUAUUGUGAAAGAGUAUAUGUGUAAGCAUGUCAUACAUGCUAAGUGACAGUGAUAAUAUUGUGCAAAUGAUACAAAUGUGCAGUGAAAGUAAUAAAAAAUCGAUAAGUAAUAUGUAUGUUUAAAUACAAAUAUUUUGACCUUGUGAUACUUGAGACCAUUGGAUAUAAUUGGCAUGCCAUAAGAUUGUGAGUACUCAUCAAUAUGUUUGAUAAAUCGUAAUUCAUACAUAUUUCUAUCUCAUGCUUAGCACAUUUUAUGGAUGAUUUAUCCUUAAAUUUGGUGAAUUCGAUGCUCCUAAUGCCUUAAUUUCAUGUUUUAUACUUAGGUGAUCAUAGGAGAGUGAAAGGAACGAGAUAUGGGCCAAAAACGAAGAAAAUGGGCCAACGUACGAAAUCAACACAGCUGGUCUUCCUUACACUGGCAUACCGCACGGUCGUGUCAAUUUGGCAGAAUCGAAGCACGACUCACAGGGGUAGACCACAUGCCCGUGCCUAUUUAACAGGCUUGACCACGGCCUGAAGUAAUCGCACAUGGGCGUGUCCUUGUCGAGCACAAGCAGAGUCCUAUUCGGAAAAUGUAACACCCCUUACCCGUAUCCGUCGCCGGAACAGGGUACGAGGUAUUAACAAAUUAUAGUAUAUUCUAUUAAAUAAAACCCAACAAAAAUAUGGCGUGCAAUUUGAUCAUGAAUCAUUAUAACAUAUGCCAUUAACAAUACAAACCAAUUUCAAAGGCUUCGUACAAAAUGAUUAGUUUGAUACUAUAAGUAGUAUUUUAUACCUAGACAAUUAUGACACAUAACAAAAUAACUAAGUCUGCUAUACAUGCCAUAUUUCAAAAUGUUGAGUUCAGAUACCAAGAGUAUUGAUAGUGCGGGCGGAUCUUCAACGAUCUCUAACUCCUGUGCUAGCUGGAUGACACUAUAAGACAAAGGAGAGAAAAGAAAGUAAGCUUAUAGCUUACUAAGUAAGUAUAUAAAUAACUGAUAAGGAAUCUAAUAUGUUUACAACAUAACUCAAUUAUAUCAUAUUUUUAAUUUUUUUACUAUUUACUCCGGUUUGAUCAAAGUGUCCCUCCUGCGUCAUAAUCACUAAAUAAAUCAUAACUCGAGUUAAAAAACUCCAAAUUCAAAUCCGUAAAAUUUCCCUAAAUCUAGACUCAUAAAUAUUCUUACUAAUAUUUUCUCUAGAAUUUUUGGUUCAGCCAAUUAGUACAGUUUAUUAGUUAAAAUUUCCCCCGUUACACAGCUCAACUGAUCUGACCUCUGUUAACUACGAAUUGAAUUUCUCUUAGUACACAAUUCAAAUAACCAUGAAACCUAUUUCAUUUAAAACUAGACUCAAUAAGGAAUUUAGGAAUAUAAACUAUAUUUCUUAAUUUGUUUUGUAGAAUUUUUAAUGAUUUUUCAAAGUUGGAACAGGGGAUCAUAUAGUCAUUCUGCACAAGUCACACACAAUUGUAAAUAUCUCAAAAUAUAGAAUUCCUUUGCUUGCUCUGUUUCUUUUAUAUGAAAAUAGACUCAUUAAGAUUUAAUUUCACAUCUCAUUCAACCUCGAAUUAAAUUUCUUCUAUUUUUGAUGAUUUUUAAAAAUCACAUCACUGAUACUGUCCAAAACAGUUUUAAUGCUAAUUUCACUCUUUCACACAUUCUUUGUACUAACCUCAUUUUAACUUAUAUAUAUAUCACAAAUCAUUUUCACUACAUUUCACACAUCACAAGUAUAGGCCCAUAACUACAAUGUCACCACAAAGCCAUCCCGUUGAACAAUUUGGAUUAAUCCUCGAUACUUGACGGUUUCAGCACACAGCCCCACAAUCAUAUUUCAUUUAAUUCGGCUCUCUUGUACACAUGGUGAACACUUAGUACCACUCAUGCAACCUAGACGAUUUGUCUCGUAGCUCUCUUGUCUACAUGGUGUCCUUCACUUGGAAUCACGCAUGCGACCUAGCUACAUUUAUCUCUCACGUAGCUCUCUUGUCUACAUGGGAUACAUCCCGUAUCACACAUGUGACCUAGCUACUACAUAGUAUCUCGUAGCUUUCUUAUACACAUGAUGUGCACUCGGCACCAUACAUGUGACCUAGCUACGCCCCCUCUAUUUUAUUCGAUCUUUCCGAAUGUUCAACCGGGAUCUCUCUCUAUUACUUAUUUCCAUUCUUCCAAUAGUCGAUUUAUACUUCAACAUCAUCUAAUAUAUAUAAUAGGCUGAAAUAUAAGAAUGUAAAUGAAAUUAAUGUAUUAUUUACGUACAAACUUACCUCGGUGCAAAAUAUGGGAAUUUUGCAAUUUAGUCCAAAACUUUCUCCUUCCCCCGUUCGAGGUCGAUUCCACGCUUUUCUUGAUCUAUAACAACAUAUUUAGUUCAUUUAACAAUCGAACUAUUUAUUUUAAUUCAAAAAUCACAUUAUACAAAAAUUACAUUUUUGCCCCCUAACUUUUACAAAAUUAUGAUUUUUCCCCAAGGCUCAGAAAUUUAAUUUCAGCCCUUAUUCUUAUGUUUAAUGACCUACUGAUCAUUUUUCUCUUCUAUGGAAACAUCAAAUUCUCACUCUAACACAUAGUUAUGAAUAAUAGGUAUUUUUAUCGAUUAUGCUGUUUUGCUCGUUUUCGUUAAAAAUCGCUUAGAAAAGAUCGUUCUCCUAACUUCAAACAUUCAUAUUCUACCAUCAAACAACACAAUACAUGCCUAUCAUUCAUGGGUAAAUUUUUAAGCAUACACCCUAACUCGAAAUAAUGGUAGAAAUAAGUAAAUCGAGCUACGAAGAUUUCAAAAAUGUGAAGAACAUUAAAAACGGGGCUUGAAAUCACUUACUAUGAAGCUUGAAAAUUGAAGAAACCCUAGCUAUGGAGGAGAGAAAAUUUCGGCAGCAACUAGUGAAGAUGAUGACCAAUUUUGUGUUAUUUUUCCCAUUUUAUUUCAUUUAAUAUACAAAUUACCAAAAUGCCCUUACUACUAAACUUUCCACAAAUUCCCUCCAUGUCCAACUUUUGUCCAUAACUUAGGAAUGGGUCAAAUUGCUAUUUAAGACCUCCUAGUUAAUAUCCCAAAACAAUUUCAUACUAAAAACUUCUAAAACACAAGUUUUACAAUUUAUUCGAUUUAGUCCCUAAUCUCAACUUAAGCGCUCAAUGCAUAGAAUUUCAUCACGAAAUUUUCACGAAAUCAUGAAAUCAUAUCAUAAACCCCAAAAUAAUUAUAAAACAAUUAUUUCUAUCUCAGAUUUGUGGUCACGAAACCACUAUUCUGAUUAGGCCCUAAUUCGGGUUGUCACAAUUCUCCCCCCUUUAGAGAUUUUCGUCCCCAAAAAUCUUACCGGUAAAGAGGUUUGGGUACUGUUUCCUCAUAGCUUCCUCAGGUUCCCACGUAGCCUCUUCUAUCCCAUGUCUGUGCCACAAUACUUUCACUAAGGCUAUACUUUUAUUUCUUAACUGUUUAAUUUCUCGAGCCAAAAUCUUUAUUGGUUCCUCCUCAUAGGUCAUAUCCGGUCGAAUCUCAAUUUCUGUUGGAGAAAUCACAUGUGAAGGAUCAUAACGAUAACGUCGCAACAUUGAUACAUGAAACACGUUAUGAAUUCUUUCUAACUCUGUCGGUAAGGCCAACCGAUAUGCCACUGGCCCAAUCUUCUCACUACUUUAGCCAUUUACUUUUACUGCAAUUUAAAUUUUAUUCUAAUUUUUAUUACUAAUUCUUCUUUUUCCCUUUUUCUGACAGGUUCUUAUAGUUUAUGACUAGAAGAAACCCUUCAGGACCAUUACUUUUUGACAGUGAGAUCGAUCGCACAAUUCGCAGAAACCAAAGAGAAAUAAGGCAAAGCUUAAGAUACACAGAGAACGAGAAAGAGGACGAUAUUCAAACCACAACUAACGAGAUGGCUGAAAAUCAAGAAAACCUGAUACCUCCUGCGAUUGCUGUUAAUCUAAUAAAUCAGAAUCCUGCUUCGCGCACUAUGUAUGAUUAUGCUUAACCGUCUUUAACAGGAACUGAAUCGAGCAUAGUUAGGCCUGCUGUAGCUGCAAAUACUUUUGAACUGAAACUUAACACAAUUCAAAUGAUAUAGCAAUUUGUUUAGUUUGAUGGUUUACAGGACGAGGAUCCCAACGCUCACUUAGCAAACUUUUUAGAACUAUGUGAUACAUUUAAAAUUAAUGGCAUUUCUGAUGAUGCCAUUCGCCUUCGGUUAUUCCCUUUUUCAUUAAAAACAAAGCUAAACAGUGGUUGAAUUCUUUACUGCGGGGGUCAAUCACUACUUGGGAACAAAUGACUGAAAAGUUCUUAUUAAAAUAUUUUUCGCUGGCUAAAAUGGCUAAAUUACGUAAUUAUAUCUCUUCUUUUGUACAAAUGGAUUUAGAAACACUCUACGAUGCAUGGGAGAGAUAUAAGGACCUUUUGCUAAGAUGCCCUCACCAUGGGUUACCACUCUGGCUAUAGGUUCAAACUUUUCAUAAUGGCCUAAAUCCUUCGACUCGACAAAUGGUUGACGCAGCUGCUGGUGGAACCAUCAAUAAUAAAACAGCUGAUGAUGCCUAUGAAUUUAAUCCAAGGUAGCCUGCCAAGCAACACUGAAUCUAAUCCAAGGAAGCAACUCAACGCAAUUUCCAUUCAAGAUGAGGAAGGGCUAGUGGCAAAACCAAGGCCAGAACUAGUGGUAAGCGAAGGUAAGAAUGAGGUAGGCCAAAACGAACAAAAAUCGGUAAGUCCAGAAUAUAAACUCGUGUGCUAUACCCCAAUGCGACAAGGAAAGACCGCUCAGGUGAAAAUUUUGGUAAAUUCCUUAAACUUUUAAAGAAACUACAUAAUAACUUACCGUUUAUUGAAGCACUUUCACAGAUGCCAAACACAAUCAAAUUGUUAAAGGAGCUUCUGGCAAAUAAACGAAAGUUAGAUGAAAGGUCGCAUGUGGAGCUGAACGCUGUUUGCUCAUCCAUUCUUCAGAAUAAGCUACCCAACAAACUAAAAGAUCCAAGGAGUUUUACGAUUCCUUAUUUAGUUGGUAGUUUAGAUGUUAAUAAUGCGUUGGCUGAUCUAAGGGCUAGUAUCAAUGUUAUGCCUUACAAAUUGUUUAAGCAACUAGGUCUAGGGAAACCCAAACAAACUAGGAUGAGCAUUCAAUUAGCAGAUAAAACUGUCAGAUUUCCUAGGGGUAUUAUUGAAGACGUACUCGUUAAAAUUGACAAAUUUAUAUUCCCAUUUGAUUUUUUUUGUUUUAGACAUAGAAGAGGAUAGUAACGUUCCUUUAAUUUUGGGAAAGCCCUUUUUAGCAACUGUUAGAACAAUUAUUGACGUUGGCAUAGGUGAACUCACACUUCGUGUAGGAGACGAAACAAUCACCCUUCAAGCUCGCAACCCGAACAACACAUCAAAAAUUGAAGGUAAUUGUACAAAUUGUUCCAGUAAGACUGAUCAUAAGUUCGAAGGACACACAUGAGCCAUGUUCAAUCCACAACAAAGAAUCUACCCAUGAAGAACGAAGGUUACGAAUCAAGGAGUUAGAUGAAUGGCUAACAUUUAAACUGAGAAAACACGAUAAACUAAAACUACGUCAGAAUGAGUGCCUCACCAAAUUAACUUAAGGUUGGAGAUAAAGUUUCAUUAGAUGCCGCAGAUCCUCAUUGACACUGCCAAACCGAAUGAAGAAAUUCCUCUUACGGUACUUAGCAUUUUCCCAUUUGGUACAGUCGAGGUAAGUCAUCCCAAAUUCGGCACCUUCGGCACCUUUAAGGUAAACAAUACCCGCCUAAAACCUUAUUUUGAUGGGAUUCAUAGCAGGAAUGAGGAAUAUAAACUCCUCGAACCACCAUGACCAUUCACCAGAAAGGUAAGUCGAGCUUAGACUAUAAAUAAAUGCUUCUCGGGAGGUAACCUGAGCACUAAAAAUAUUAAUUUCUUUAAAUUUUAGUUUUAACAUCUAACAUACUAACCGACUCAUGGAACGUAGGCUUUCUAAAGCACACACGGCCAGGCACACGGGCGUGCCUUAGGCCGUGUGAAAAUAGGGUGAAAUUUUCCCCAACACGGGAUGUGAUAAGUCACCACGACGUGCAUUAGGACCGUGGGCGAAUCUGCCAAAACAAUGCGGGUGUGUGACACGCCAGUGUCAUAGAAACGUGGUUAAACCUGAGAAAAUAGCACGGGCAUUCGCCAUGCCCGUGUCUAAAACCCGUGGCCGAACUUUUCAAAUUAACAUCGGCGUGGGCCUACAUACACAGGCUUGGGAGAAGCGAUCGAAGACAGACACGGCCGUGUGCACCCACAUGCCCAAGGAACACGGGCAUGGGCCAAAUGUCAGACGCGCCCAAACUCAAAAUUCACGAAUCACACGGGCAAAAAUUGGGGAACACGGGCGUGUCCUCUGGCUGUGUGUCUCAAAAUCUAUAAAUACCCUUCACUAUUCAUCAUCUUCUUCACCCAAAAUCCCUAACCCUAGCCGCUGCAAGUCCACAUGGCCUCUCUGCCAUGGCCAUGCGCCGCAUCCAACUCCAUUUUCGACACCCAUUCUCAUCCUUUUAGCAUUAGUUUACUCUUUUCUCUCUAUUUCCUUCAUCCCUUUUAAUAAUUCUAUGAUUCUUAUGGUUUUAUUUGGCAUAUUUUUUAUUUUUUUUCAUAGUUCUCACUAUAGUCAUGCUUAUCGUUUAUUCUUUGCCAUUUUAGUCAAUGCUUUCUGAUACAUUCAUUCUUUUCGUGUGUUCCCAUAAGAGUCUAGUUCAGUCAUUUUAUUUUGAAAAUAAUCAUGCUUUUAUUAUGUCAAUUGCUAUAUAAACUUCUAUCAUUUAGAUUAAACUACUGAGUAUUAUUGGUUGGACUGGUUAGUUUAACUAUAUUCAUGAUUACUUCUUAAGUUAAUUAUUUAUGUUAUAUUCUUUGUUCUUCUUGCAGGUAUACCAUCACAAGCUCACGUGGUAAGAAAACUGUCAUUCCCGCUUCGAAAAAGUAGAAAGAGGCGUCUUCCUCAGGCCCUACCGCGGAAAUUCACCACCCAUACCUCCAAUUUCCACCCGACAAUUAGGAGGAACUAUUCCAAAUUCUACGGGCCCAACCUUUAGGUGUGGGCCACUGCAUUGACUGGACAGUGCUUGAACAAGUCCAGUUGGCUGACAAUGUACGAGCACUCCUGACAACCGACCCAUGAGACCUCUUCUUUGCGAUCAUCGAGCCGACGUACCUUAAGCUCACACUUGAACUUUGCUCGACAUUCCAUGUUCAAGACGUCAUGACCAACUUUGAUGAUCCUGGAAUAGUCUAGUUCCGUCUCUGCGGUUUAGUCCGCUAGUUGAAUGUGCCCGAGUUGGGUAUAGCUUUGGGCUUGUACACAGAAGAGUUUAUGGAUUAGAACGACCUUGACACUCUCUGUCGCCAUAUUCACUACUUUUCCUCGAAGUGCUGGUAUGCUUUGGUCCCCAGUUCAGCCACUUACUACCCAAGCCACUCCAAGGCAUCGGCUCUCUCUCCCUCCUUGCGGUACCUACAUGCCAUCUUGGCACACACUUUAACAGGACGUCAAGAGAGCACCGGUAUCGUCAACACUCACAAUGCUUACUUUCUAUGGAGCAUGGCGAAUGGGCAUGUACUCGACCUCGCCUAUUUUAUUACCCUCGCCAUUCGCCACCAGACGGAGCGACAUCGAAGGGGGGUCAUCUCGACUGGCCCCUACGUGACUCGACUGGCACGGCACUUCGGGCUCCUCAACACAGCAGGCCAAUCAUCCUCCCUUACUCUUAUUGGCCAGAUGUCCCCACAAGGCAUCUCGAGCAUGUUCAGUAUGAGGAUGAUCAAGAAGCCCCGAAUAACCCACCCUCCUUAGUAUCGCCUCUCCCAAUCAGUCGAGGAGGGAGACCUUGAGAAUAUUACUGAUGAUGUCCCUCCACGUCAUGAGGACCUACCGUCUCAGCCACCACCACCCUCUCAUCCAGUUCAUACGGCGACUUCGUACGCUGACAUCUCUGAGCGCCUUACCCGAUUGAAGCAACAGUGUUUUCAGUGGUUCGAUAAUAUUGACGCUACUUUACAGCAAAUUUUUCAACACUUCCAGAUCUCAUCGCCACCCCCACCUCGAUAAAUAUUUAUAAUGAAGAUCAAACCUAGACUAACUAUUAUCACGAUGAAAAAGCAAGUACACCUAUCGAACAAUAGUAUAGUAAUGGCAAGACCGGAUAUCGUACCUAAGGGAACCAAAAGUACUAGUAAUAACUAUCUUUUUAUUAUCUAACCUAGAAAUAAAGAGGGGUUGUUUAUUAAACUAAUUAACUAAACUAAUUAACUAAUUAAACUAAAGUAAAGAGAAGAGUUGGAAAAAGACUUGAAGAAAAUUAAUUUGAUAAAAACGACACCCAAGGAGGAAUCCACCUAGAUUUCACUUGUUAUCUGACUCUAAACCAGAAGAUUUAUUCACUUGACUUGAUCCGUGAGACUCCCUAACCUAUGUUAUUAUCUCUUUCGAGACUAAUAAUAUCUAACCCUCGGUUUAAUUAAUCAAAAUUUCAUUCUUAAUUAAAACCCUUAGGGAAGCAGUAAAUCGAUCUAUGGACUCCCAUAUUAGGUUUCACCCUAAUCUGGCAAAAUCUCGUAACCCUAUUUCUAGGCGUUCGAUCAACUCCGCUUAAUUAUGCCAAAUCUACUCUUAGACAGGGACUUUUGCUCCUCUGCAUAAGCACAUCAAAUCAUGAAUUAAUACCUGGAAUAUUAACUCAAGCAUUAAGACACAUAAUUAAGAACAAGUCAAGUAUUUAUCAUAUAGUUCAGAUAAUAAUAACAAGAUCCAUCAUAGGUUUCAACCCCCUUAGGUAUCUAAGGGGUUUAGUUCAUAAUAAGAUAAGAGUACAUCUCAAAAGUAUGAAAAUAACAAAACAUAAAGAAAGCUCUAAAACCCCUGAAGGAAUUUUGAGAGAGAUCUUCAGUCUUGAAGUAGCUCCGGCUUUUGGGGUGGAUCGUCUGGCUUCCUUCAAGUAAUUCCUAGCGUGUGGUUCUGUAUUCCAGAGAAGUUCUGGAAGAGGGCCCCUUUCUAAGUCAUACUUAGGGUGUUUAUAUAGGCUUUGGAUUGGCUUUCUUCCUCCCUAAGUAUCAUUUUUCGUGUAAAAUACAACUCUUUGAGAAAAGGGACACGCCCGUGUGCCACGGCCGUGUGACGUGAUUACCACGUCGUGUUUGAUCCAUUAAUUUUCACAUGACCGUGUGGGUCAAUGGCCAGGCCAUGCGAAUCGUGAAAGCCCUUGGCCGACACCCUCGAAAGACACGAGUAUGUGAGCAGUUCGUGUGGAAAGGCUUAGGCCGUGUCAUCUUCUCGAUUUGGUCUGUUUUGUCCCUUUUUUAGCUCAUUUUUGGCUCCUUUUGACUCUUGGUGCUCUCGUAAGUACAAAACAUGAAAUAACCGAACUAAGAGUUCCAAAAUCCAAAAAUCUAGUGAUAAACAUCCAUAAAUAUGCUAAGUAUUUGGGGUAAAAAUAUGUAUAAUUUGGCAUUUAUCAAAUACACCCACACUUAAGCAUUUGCUUGUCCUCAAGCAAAACUUUCAUUUAUUGCUAUAAUUCCUUCCUUUCAAUCACACAAUCAUUACUGAUAAUGUUACAAACUAUUCCAUGGAAAAUCAUACAGUGAGAAUUCAACCAUAGGGGCAUUAAAAGCCUCAAACAAUCUAAAUCGAAUAUUUUGAUAAUAAAAUUAUAGGUAAUCUCCUUCCUCUAAGUAAUUGGCUUUAGUCCUAAAUAUACAAAAGAUGACAUCCUCACUAGCGAUCCACUCAAAUCACUCAAAGUGUUUAAAGUUUAAGAUUAAGCACUCGGUUGUCUAACAUGAGAAGUUAUUACCAUAGGCUUGCAUGAAAAUCAAAUCUCCACCACUUGUAAAUGAUAUGAUACACAAAUCAAAAGGUCUUUGUAUAGUUGUAACAGGGUUUAAGGGACGGGUAUAGAUACAAACUGAAGAGACAAAGGUUAAAAUCGAGAUAAUUUCAAUAUAUUACCCCACUAUCAAAAACUUAAUUAUUGAAUCACAAACAAAUAUCUAGAACUAUAUUACAUGAGCUCAUGACAACUUUAGCUUGCUGAGGAUUACAAUAACAAUACUGAGAGUUUUUUUUUGGUUUCAAGAACAAAACAAGUCAAUACAAUAUAAAAAUCAUACUUCAUGAUUCAGUAACAAAAAAUGGUGAACAUAGUGAGGUAACAAUAUUAAAUUUAAUCUCGAUAAAAAAAGUAAAUUAAUUAAGAGGAUUUCAACAAUAAUGGGUUAAUGGGUUAAUGAUAAGGGUUAAUCAAUAAAAAAGUUUAGUAGGCUCAAAAGAGGUUCACUAAGGGUUUAAUUAUGUGGGAAGGCUUUUUAUGGAAUAAGUGGGUUAAAUCCUAAGUGCCUUUAUCAUCUCAGUAUAUCAAAUCAUACGUGUGAUCUCGACAUGUAUAAUUGAAGAAAGUUCUAGAAUAACAGUUCAAUGUUGACACACUCAAACCACAAAAUAAGUGAGCAAGAAAGAAAGCUUAUAUGCUCAAAAAGCUCAAAAAUCUCACGAAAAAUUUGGGUUUGUGAUGUCAUUCCUGUAUACUUAAGAUUUCAAGAUAAUACCUCAAUUUAGGAAAGUAGUCUAAAAAUUUUAGUUAUCAAAAUAUCAACUUAUCAUGCUCAAUUCUCUAAUGUCCUAUAAUCAAAUGAUCAUGCAUAAUUCCCAUGAUCUAAUUCAUGACAUAUCAACAAUAAUUAUAGAUCAAUCAGAAUUCAUUCGAUUAAGAUUAUGAGAAAAUCACUUAAGCACAAAACCAAAUUCAGGGAUUUGAGAAUAAUGCAAAAAGUUAGGUUUCAUGUUCAUGUUCACCCCCCACACUUAAGAUGUACAUUGCCCUCAAUGUACAAAGAUAGAUUAAUCAAAAUAAAGAAAGUCAUAAGAGGGAAAGAGGUGAAACUCCCUGUUAUAUGGAUGCAGAGGUUGAUUCUGAGGCUGGAGUGUUUGGGGAAAGUGGUAGCUGCCACUGUUCUUGGCUAGAUGAAGAAAUUGGGUCAUUGAACAUGGCACUCGUUGGGUAUUGUCCCUAUUUGUUUCCUCAGUUCGUAAAAUAUUCCUAGCAACUUUGCUUGGAAUUCUGUAGAAUCAUGAAGAGCUUAUUAAGAGUUGGUGUGGAAGAGAGCGUAGUAGGAUUACUUGUUAGAAAUACCAGAAAAAAAUGAAGAAAGUAAAAUUUACUAAUAUAGAUAUGUCUUUCAAAAGAAAAUAAUAAGAUUGAAAUGAAAAUAAAAAAAGAAAAAGAAAAAUAGAGAUAAAAAUAAAAAGAUAGAAGGAUUCAAUGAUCCUCAUCAGUGGGGCCCUCAGUUGGUGGCGCUGGAGUGGCAAUGUGAAAGUGCUGGCACAGCUACUGCAUCAUGGCUUGCAUGUCGUCCAUCUGUCUAUCACAUCGCCGAUCUCGCUCGUGAAUCAUCUCGAACUGUUACUGCUCAAAGUGAGCGAGUCGGUCAGAAAGGUGUGCCAAUGAAAAAGCCGCAUGAACUGGUCGUUCCCCAGAUAGCGUGAUAGGAGGCUCCUCGUGCUGUGGUGGGACAUCAUCAGGAAUGUCCUCAAGAUCCUCCUCAUCAAUGGCAUGAGUGAGACGGUACUGAAGAGGAUCGGUCCCACGUCGGCGCUCAAUCAUCCUUAUGUGUAACAUAGUAGUGAUGCCCUGUGGGGACAUCUGACCUAUCAGUGUAAACGCUGAUGACUGGACCACAGUGUUGAGGAGGCCGAAGUGUCUGGCAAGGUGCGUCACGUAGGGGCCGAUAGAGAUUACUCCCUUCCAAUGCCGCUCGGUCAGAUGGCGAAUGGCGAAAGUAAUGAAAUAUGCCAAGUCAGUCACAUGUGCAUUCGCCAUGCACAAUAAAUAGUAGGCGUCGUGGGUGGUGACAACGCCGAUGCUCUCUCUCCUUCUGGUCAAAGUGUGUACCAAUAUGGCAUGGAGAUAUCGUAGGGAAGGGGGAGAGCUGAGGCCUUCGAGCGGCUGCGGUCAUAAGUGGAAGAGAGUGGUGCCAAAACCUUCCAGCACAAGAAGGGAGAAAUAUGGAUAUUGCGUGGUAGUGCAUUCAUGUCCUCCUCCUCCAUAAACUCAUCAACGUAAAUUCCCAAAGCAACUCCAAACUCUGGGACACUCAUCGCGUGAACUAGACCGCCUAAUCGGAAGUGAAUGGUGCCGGGGUUAUCAUUGUUCGUCAUCACCACCUGUAAAUGAAAAGUAGAGCAUAAUUCUAAAGUUAGCUCUAAAUAAGUGGGCUUGAUAAUAGCGAAGAACCGUUCCUAUAGGUCUAUGGACAGGAGGGCGUGGAUGGCAACAGCUAGCUGGACUUACUCUACGGCAGCCCAGUGAUGCAGAGACCUGUAGAGAAGGGUCGUGCGCGUAGUAUCUGAAAUAGCUCCUCCUGCGAAGCUUGUGGAAAUUUAAGGAAUGGGUGCCGAAAUUCAACUGUAGCACGUACCGAGGAAUAACCCGAUCCCCUAUGUCUCUUUGAGGAUGGGACCGCGACCUUCUUACCUCUCGAUGAUGACAUAAGGUACCAGAAAAUGUAGGAGCAUUGAUAUAGUAGUUUCAAGAUGUGGUAACAUUUAUCGAUAUCAAGCGAGAGGUGAAAAUUUUAUAUGAUUAUUCAAAAACAUAUACUGAGAUAAAAAAUGCAUGAUCGGUUAAGCAAGAAUCCUAGAACUAGUAUAUGCUAUUUAGUAGCUUAAAAAAUUUAAAUAUAGAAAAUACUAAAGCAAAUUCUUAACUUAUUCAGAACAAAUUGGUAACAGAAACAAUAUCUUUGUAAGGCAUAUAGAACACUAAUGUAGUAACACAAAUUGGAAAAACAAGGUUGACAAAGUGAACCAAAAUUGCUGUAAGGCGGCGCACGAGUGUGUUGAUGGCGAGCACGGGCGUGGGGCGUGAGUGUACAGUCGUGUGGAGGAAAAAUAGAGGGAAAAGUGAGGAUUGAUGCAGGGGGAGUGGAUUUGAGGGUGGUUUGGGGGUUGGGGAAGUGAGAAUCUAGGGAAUGGUGGUCGGAAUAAGGAUUAGGGAGUGGAGAAGGAUAGAUUUCAACUGGGGUUUUGAAAGAAGGAAGAAGAUGAACAGUGGUUUGCUUAUAUAAGGGAGAGUCACAAGGCCUAGGGCCACACCCGUGUACUCUGAGGGUGAGCCCGUGUUUUUCAAAUUUUACGAUUUAGGUCGUGCCCAGCUACUAUCCCACGCAUGUGUGUCUUGGGCGUGUGUGGCACAUGGCCAUGUCGCACGCCCGUGCCUAGCUUUGUUACCAUACCCGUGUAUUGUUGUCCACAGCUUAAAGGCAUAGGCGUGCCUCACACCCGUGUCAAAGAAACAGAAUCGAGCCUUGCCCUUGGCACGUCCGUGUUGUUUCAUUCCCACGCCCGAGUUCACCUAUGAAGUUCAUCCACGGCCAUUUCGCACAGCUGUGGGGAGUUUUUGCAUCCCGUGUUUGGGGAAAUCAUGUCCUGCUUUCACACGGCCGUAUAGCACGGCCGUGUCUCUUCCCCUGUUUUCCACGGCUUUAGACACUCCCGUGUUCCUGGCCGUGUGUGCUGAAAAACUUUGCUAUUCAAAGAUAAAGUUAAUGAUUUAACUUGUUAGAAUUUAAAAAUAAAGAAAUCAAAAUAUGUUAGUGCUCGGGUUGCCUCCUAAGAAGUGCUUAUUUAUAGUCUAAGCUCGACUUACCUCUCUAGUGAAUGGUCAGGGUGGUUCGAGGAGUUUAUACUCCUCAUUCCUGCUAUCAACCUCAUCAAAAUAGGGUUUUAAUCGGGUGUUGUUUACCUGAAAAGUGCCAAACUUUCGGUGAUUCACCUCCACCGUAUGGAAUGGAAAUAUACUGAGUACCGUAAGAGGGAUUUCCUCAUGCGGUGUGGUAGUGACAAUGUGGGGAUCUGCGGCAUCUAGUAAGACUUUAUCGCCAACCUUAAGUUGAUUAGGAGAGGUAUUGGGCUUGUUUUGGCGUAGUUUCGAUUUAUCAUGUGUUCUCGAUUUGUGUGCUCACCAUUCAUCUAUCUCCUCUAUCCGUAGGCUUCGUUCUUCAUGAACGUAUCCUUUAUCAUUUCCAGAACAUGGCUCAUGAAUGUCUUUGAAGCUCAAUUUCUACAAAGUCAUAUUGUCAAUUUUAGUAUAUUGGUGUGGACUAUUACCUUCAAUGUUCGAUGUAAUGUCAGAAUUAUGAGCUUUAAAGGUGAUCGUUUCAUCUCCCACACAAAGUGUAAGUUCACCUGUGCCAACAUCAAUAAUUGUUUUAGCAAUUGCUAAAAAGGGCCUCCCUAAAAUCAAAGGGGUGUUAUUAUCCUCCUCUAUGUCUAGAACAAUGAAAUCAAUGAGGAAUAUGAACUUAUAUCCUUUCACGAGUACAUCUUUAAUAAUACCCCUAGGAAAUCUUAUAGUUUUAUUUGCCAAUUGAAUGCUCAUCCUAGUUUGUUUAGGUUUCCCAAGAGCAAGUUGUUUAAACAUUUUGUAAGGCGUGACGUUAAUACUAGUCCCUAAAUCAGCUAAUGCAUGACUUAUAUCUAAACUACCAAUUAAACAAGGAAUUGUAAAACUCCCUGGAUCUUUCAAUUUGUGGGGUAGCUUAUUCUGUAGAAUAGCUGAGCAGACUGCGUUUAGCUCCACAUGUGAUGCUUCGUCCAACUUUCGCUUAUUUACUAAAAGCUCUUUCAAAAAUUUCAUUGCAUUUGGCAUUUGCGAAAAAGCUUCAAUAAACGGUAAGUUAAUAUGUAAUUUUUUCAAAAGUUUGAGGAAUUUACCGAAUUGUUCGUCCUUGUCACGUUAGUGUAUGGCACACGAGGUUCAUAUUUGACAGUCACUGGUUUGUUUGUAUUUUGAUCUACCUCAUCUCUCCUUUUUCUUACCACUGUUUCUUGCCUUGGUUCUAUUUUAGGCUCCACGACUCCUUCGUUAUUCUGGAUAUUAAUUGCGUUGAGCUAUUCCUGUGGGUUGGGUUCAGUGUUACUUGGUAAGCUACCUUGUGGUCGUUCGGAGAUUAGUUUGGAUAGUUAGCCUAUCUAAGUUUUGAGCCCUUGGAUCGAUGCUUGUUGAUUCUUAAGUGUUGUCUCGGUAUUUUGGAAACGGGCGUCUGACACUGAUAUGAAUUUUGAGAGCAUCUCUUCAAGGUUCAGUUUCUUCUCUUGUUGAUAAGGUGGCUGUUGAAAACCCUGAGGAUUUUGUGGCUUUUGAUUUCCUUGACCACCCUAGGAGAAAUUUGGGUGGUUCCUCCAACCUACAUUAUAAGUAUUACAGUAUGGGUUAUUUUGCGAUCUGAAGUUAUUGUUACCCAUAUAGUUGACUUGUUCCUCUUCGGUUAUGAGAUUGAAGGAUUGAUAUUCUGUAUGCACACCUCCUCCACUUGAGUCACACCUCAUUACUGGAUGUACCUACGUAGAACUAAGAAAACCAUCAAUCUUUUUAUUGAGAAGUUCUACCUGAUUUGACAGCAUAACAAUUGAGUCGACGUUAAAAACACCGACUAUUUUCGUUGGCUUAGUCCUCAUGACUUGCCACUGAUAAUUAUUCAGUGACAUCUCCUCUAUAAACUCAUAGGCAUCUUCCAGUGUUUUAUUGUUGAUGGUUCCGCCAGCAGCUGCGUCAACCAUUUGCCAAGUCGAAGGAUUCAGACCAUUGUGAAAUGUUUGUACUUGCAGCCAAAGUGGUAACCUAUGAUGAGGGCACCUUCUCAGUAAGUCCUUGUAUCUCUCCCAUGCAUCGUAAAGUGUUUCUAAAUCCAUCUGCACAAAAGAAGAGAUAUCAUUACUAAUUUAGCCAUUUUAGCCGGCGGAAAAUAUUUUAGUAAAAAUUUCUCGGUCAUUUGUUCCCAAGUAGUAAUUGACCCUCGUGGUAACGAGUUCAACCACUGUUUAGCUUUGUUCCUCAAUGAAAAAGGUAAUAACCAAAGACGAAUGGCAUCAUCAGAGACGCCAUUGAUUUUGAAUGUAUCGCAAAAUUCCAGGAAAUUUGCUAAGUGAGCGUUGGGAUCUUCAUCCUACAGACCAUCAAACUGAAAAAACUGCUGUAUCAUCUGAAUAGUGUUAGAUUUUAAUUCAAAAUUAUUUGCAGCUACAGCAGGUCUAACUAUGCUAGAUUCAGUUCCUGUUAGAAAAGGUUUAGCAUAAUCAUACAUAGUACGUGGAGCAGGAUUUUGAUUAGCUGUAAUUGCAGGAGGUAGCUGAUUGUCUUGGCUUUCAGCCAUCUCUUCAGUUGGGGGUUGAGUAUUGUCUUUUUGCUCGUUCUCCGUGUAUCUUAAGCUGCGCCUUAUUUCUCUUUGAUUUCUACGAACUGUACGAUCGAUUUCUUCGUCAAAAAGUAAUGGUCCCGACAGGUUUCUUCUAGUCAUAAACUAUAAAAACCUGCCAAGAGAAAGAAAAACUAACUUAAUAAAUAAUAAUAAUAAAAUUAAAUUGCAAGAAAAAUAAAUGGCUAAAGUAAUAAAAAUUUAGCAUUCCUAAUAUUUUAGUUCCCUAGCAACGGCGCCAAAAACUUGACCGCGUGAUUCGUAACAAUUAAUAAAUAUUUAUAAUGAAGAUCAAACCUAGACUAAAUAUUAUCACGACGAAAAGGCAAGCGCACCCAUCGAACAAUAGUAUAGUAAUUGCAAGAUCGGGAUAUUGUACCCAAGGGAACCAAAAGUACUAGUAAUAACUAUCUUUUUAUUAUCUAACCUAGAAAUAAAGAGGGGUUGUUUAUUAAACUAAUUAACUAAACUAAUUAACUAAUUAAACUAAAGUAAAGAGAAGAGUUGGAAAAAGACUUGAAGAAAAUUAAUUUUAUAAAGACGACACCUAAGGAGGAAUCCACCUAGAUUUCACUUGUUAUCUGACUCUGAACCAGAUGAUUUAUUCACUUGACUAGAUCCGUGAGACUCCCUAACCUAUGUUAUUAUCCCUUUCGAGACUAAUAGCGUCUAACCCUCAGUUGAAUUAAUCGAAAUUUCUUUCUUAAUUAAAACCCUUAGGGAAGCAGUAAAUCGAUCUAUGAACUCUCAUAUUAGGUUUCAACCUAAUCCGGCAAAAUCUCGUACCCCUAUUUCUAGGCGUUCGAUCAACUCUGCUUAAUUAUGCCAAAUCUACUCUUAGACAGGGACUUUUGCUCCUCUACAUAAGCACAUCAAAUCAUGAAUUAAUACCCGAAAUAUUAACUCAAGCAUUAAGACACAUAAUUAAGAACAAAUCAAGUAUUUAUCAUACAGUUUAGAUAAUAAUACAAGAUCCAUCAUAGGUUUCGACACCCUUAGGUAUCUAAGGGGUUUAGUUCAUAAUAAGAUAAGAGUACAUCUUAAAAGUAUGAAAAUAACAAAACAUAAAGAAAACUCUAAAACCCUUGAAGGAAUUUUGACAGAGAUCUUCAGUCUUGGAGUAGCUCCGGCUUUUAGGAUGGAUCGUCUGGCUUCCUUCAAGUAAUUCCUGGCAUGUGGUUCUAUAUUCCAGAGAAGUUCUGGAAGAGGGCCCCUUUCUAAGUCAUCUUAGGGUGUUUAUAUAGGCUUUGGAUUGGCUUUCUUCCUCCCUAAGUAUCCUUUUCCGUGUAAAAUACAACUCUUUGAGAAAAGGGACACGCCCAUGUGCCACGGCCGUGUGACGUGAUUACCAAGCCGUGUGAAUCGUGAAAGCCCUUGGUCAACACCCUCGAAAGACACGGGCGUGUGAGCAACCCGUGUGGAAAGGCUUAGGCCUUGUCAUCUUCUCGAUUUGGUCCGUUUUGUCUGUAAUAUCCCGAAUUAGGGCCUAAUCAGAAUAGUGGUUUCGUGACCAUAAGUCCGAGAUAGAAAUAAUUAUUUUAUAAUUAUUUUGAGGUUUAUGAUAUGAUUGCAUGAUUGUGUGAAAGUUUCGUGAUGAAAUUCUAUGCCUAAAGUGCUUAAAUUAAAAGUAGGGACUAAAUCGAAUAAGUUGCAAAACUUGCAUUCUAGAAGUUUUUAGUAUGAAAUUGUUUUGGAAUAUUAAUGAGGAGGUCUUAAAUAGCAAUUUGACCAAUUUUAAGUUCAUGGACAAAAUUAGGACAUGGAAGGAAUUUUUGAAAAGUUUAGUAGUAAGGGUAUUUUGGUCAUUUAGUUAUUAAAAUGAAUUAAAAAAAAAUUAAAAGCCAAUUUUUGUCCAUCUUCUUCAUUAGGCCGAAAUUUCAAGGGUUCUCCAUAGCUAGGGUUUGUUUCAAGCUUCCAAGCUCCAUAGUAAGUGAUUCCAAGCCCCAUCUUUAAUGAUUUUUACGUUUUUGAGAUCCCGGUAACUCGAUAAAGCUUAUGUUAGCAAUAAUUUAACCUAGGGUUUAUAUUUGGAAAAAUAUCCAUAGGUGAAAUUUGUGUAUUUUGAUGUUUUAUGAUAGAAUAUGAAGUUUUAAAUUAUGUUAGACAACUUGUACUACUCGAUUUUAAGCAAAAACGAGUAAAAGGGCUUAAUCGGUAAAAAUACCUAAUAGUCACAAGUACAUGUUAGAGUGAGAAUUUGAUGUUUCCAUAGAAGAGAAAAGUGAUCAGCAUGUUGUAAAACAUAAGAAUAAGGAAUAAAGUUUAAUCCCGAGCCUAGGGGCAAAAAUGUAAAUAUGCAAAAGUUUUUGUAAUUUUGCCAAAAUUUGAGUUAAGGAUUAAUUUGAUAAUGUGAGUAUUAAAUAAGCUAAAUGUGUUAUUUUAGAUCAAGAAAGACGUGGAAUCGACCUCAAUCGAGGAAAAGAAAAGAUUGUGGACUAAAUUGCAAAAUCUUUGUAUUUUGGUACCAAGGUAAGUUCAUGUGUAAAUAAUGUAGCAUAAUGGUUAUUUUUAAGUUAUUGAUGUUAAUUAUAUGUUAUGCUGAAUUUUAUUAUGAAAUGUAUGCUUUGUGGUUAAUUUCAAAUAAUAUGUAAAUUAUGUGAACUACUUGUUAAAUAUAAUUGUUACCGAGUAUUGAUUUCGGCAUUCUACGGAAGACGGAAAGGAUAAGUGUUCGAGGAAAAAAGCCAGUUUGAACCUUAGGAAUAGAUUAGGACACAAGUGACAUGUCACUAGGAUGGUUGAGCAUCCGAACUCGUUGAGUUGAGUCCGAGUUCACUUAUGGAUGCGAAUGUCCGAACUCGUUGAGUUGAGUCCGAGUUCGUGAGAUGUAACUAGGCAUCCGAACUCGUUGAGUUGAGUCCGAGUUCACUUAUGGAUGUGAACGCCCGAGCUCGUUGAGUUGAGUCCGUGUUCGCUUAUGGGCGGGUUACAUGAUUGCUUGAUUGCAUAUAUGGCACUUAUGUGCAAGUUAUCCAUGUAUCCGAAUUAUAUUCCGAUGUGUUCAACGGGUAAAGUUCUACUGAAAUGGAGGAAUAUUCGAGAUGUAAGGAGACGUAUUGGUAAGUGAUGUGAAAUGGAUAUUUUGGACAGGUAUGUAUUUAACCCUCGGGUUGAGUAUUGAUACAACCACGAUAAGGUAAUAAGAUGAUGAAAAAUGAUUAAAAAUGUGAUAUGUGUUUUAGUGAUACAUGCUAAUGUUGAUUGGUAUGACUGUUUGUUAUGUUACUUAUUAUUUGCAUAUGAACUUACUAAGCAUUUAUGCUUACUCUCUCCUUCUUACUCAUUGUAGUUUUGGACAAGCCAGCUCAAGAGUCGGGAUAGGUCGAAGGCUCAGUCACACUAUCCGGAAGACUUUUGGUAAUGGCUUGUAAAUUUAAGUAUGGCAUGUAUAGCAAUAUACCUUUUUUGUGUAAAUGAUCUUAUGGUAUGGUGAUGGAAUGGUUGAGGAAAUGCUUGAUAAUGAUAAAUUAUGAAAAUAGUUAGUUUAGAUUAUAUUUGAUGUUAAGGAAAAUUAUUAAGAUACUUAGUGCAUAAAAACUCAUAUAAGGGAUGAAAUUUGCCAUAAACAGAAUACUGCAGCAACACUGAUGCGAGUUUAAAAAUAUACUAAAAAUCAGAGAAAUUGAACUUGGUGAUGUACUACAUAUCAAAUUGAAGCUUAUUAUGUCUAGUUUCACAUGAAACAAAUGAAACAGGUAAAGGAAUUAUAUGUUACAAGAUAUUUGAAUUUUAGUGAAACAGGGUCAUAGCAGUUUCUGAUUCCCCUAUUCCAACUUUAGAAAUUCACCAUAAAUUUUAAAGAUAUAAUUAGGUAGUGUAUUUUAUAUUCUCAGAAUCCUUAUUGAGUCUAGUUUCAGUAGAAACAAACCUCAUAGUCAUAUCGAUUUUUUACAGAGAUAAAUAUGGUUUGUAGUAAACAGAGGUCAGACCAGUCAAGUCCUGAAACAGGGGUAAUUUUAACUAAUAAAAUGUACUAAUUUACCCAACCAAAAAUUCUAUAAAAAAACUAGUAGAUAGGUAUAUGAGUCUAGAUUUAGGGAAAAUUUACGGAUCUUAAUUUCGAGUUUCAUAACUCGAGAUAUGAUUUUUCUUGUGACUGUGAUGCAAGUAGCUUAAAAGCUGUGAAUGUAGAAAUAAAUAAUCCAAAGUUCUAAAUAUGUUAAAUUAAGCUUAGUAACACCUCAUACUCGACUCCGGCGACAGUCUCGGGCGUGGGGGCGUUACAUUGUCCCUUUAUUUUAUGUUUUUAUUUUUAUUCUAUUUUAAGACUACUUUUUCUUUUUACUUUAAGCUUAUUUCUAUUAGAUUUUAUAAUUUUUAUUUUACAAUUAUCAAUUUCGGCUAUUCCAUUACAAGUAAUUAUGCUUCCUUAUAUUUCCUAAAAUAGUUCUUGAUUCUGUCACAGUUAUAAAGUGCACCUCAGCUCAUCAUCACAUAGGAACUAAAAACUCCACCAGGAAAGGUUCUCCAUGACUGCCAUGUCCUGCUUGACCACGACCAUAGCUACCACCAUAUAAAAUUCUUUUGGUGCAGGACUUAUGGACUAAUAAAACUCUACCACCACCGGAGAUUCCCCUCCACUCUCACGCCGAUUAUUCUCCAAAACUCCAGUUCAAGGAAUUCAUUCAUCAUUCAAGAAGUUUCACUUCCCUCCCUAUCUUAUGAUUAUAAAUCUAUCUUUUUCACUAUAUCUACCUUUGUACAUUGAGGGUAAUGUACAUCUUAAGUGUAGGGGGUCUUUUAUAUCAGAAAAAAUCCCUGAAUUUUGUUUUAUUCUCAUGCGAUCUUCUCAUAUCAUUAUUAGACUGAAUUCCAAUUAGUCUAUAAUUUUUAUUAAUAUAUAUUGAAUUAAAACAUAGGCAUUUAUGCAUUGAUUGUUUAAACUUUAAGACAUUAGGGAAUCAAACAUGAUAAGUUGUUUUGGAAGAAUUAAAAACUUUUAGGUUGUCUCCCCAAGUUUAGGUAUUAUUUUGAGUAGGAAUUUACAAGUUUAAACAUCAAAAAGUCAUAAUUUUUUGUGAGAUCUUGAGCCUUUAGAGCAUUUAUUAUUUCUUUCAUGCUCACUUUCAAUAUGAGUGCGCUAUUAUUGAAUUGUUAUUCUAGAACUUGCUUGAUUAUGCAUGUUAAGACCACACCAUUUGAUUUGAUAUGUCAAAAUGAUAAAGGCACUUAGGUUUAAACCACUCACUCCAUAAAAGCCUACCUUCACAAUUAACCCUUAGUGAACCUCCUUGAGCCUAACAACCCAUUCAUUGAUUUACCCUCAAUAUUAACUCAUAACUCAUUAUUGUUGAAAUCCCCUAAAUUAAUUUGAUCCCUAUUUUUGUCGAGAUUUGAGUUGGAAUAGUUGCUUAGCUAUGUUUUAUUCUAUUUUGUAAUUUGACUUGUUCUUAAAAUAUAUAUAAUACAUGUAUACAUAUUAGUAGUAGUGAUAUUCUAAGCUAAAGAAGUUAGAUUCCAUAUUCUGAGAAAAAGCUCUGUUGUACGUAAUUGAUGACUAGUCAUUUUUCUAGUUAGGAAAUUUUUCAAUUCAAUCUCGAUUCUAACCCUUUCUUUCAGUUUGUGACCACACCUUCUAACCAAAGCCACGUUACAACCCUCUAAAGACCUUUUGAUUGAUGUUUCAUCUCAAUUUAUAGUGGUGGAGAUUUGAUUUUCAUGCAAGCCUAUGGUAAUGACUUUUCAUUAUUGACUAUUGAGUGCUUCAUUUAUUGUCCUUAAACACCUCGAGUGAUUUGAGUGAAUCUUUAGUGAGGAUGUGAAACUCUGUGAUAUUUUGAAUCAAAGGUAAUUACUUAGAUAAGGGAAGACACCUAUGUUUUCAUGAUAAAAUGCUCAACUUGGAAGGUUUGAAACUUUGAUGUUCUGUCAGUUGAAUUUUCAAUGUAUGAUUACCUACAGAUUAGUUUGAGAUAUUAUUGAUGAGAAUUAUAAGUUGAGAAGAAUUUAUUUUGAUUAUAAGUUGAGGAUUUUUCUUGAGGACAAGCAAAUGCUUAAGUGUGGGGGUAUUUGAUAAACCGUAAUUCAUACAUAUUUCUAUCCCAUGCUUAGCACAUUUUAUGGAUGAUUUAUCCUUAAAUUUGGAGAAUUCGAUGCUCCUAAUGCCUUAAUUUCAUGUUUUAUACUUAGGUGAGGAUAAGAGAGUGAAAGGAACGAGAAACGGGCCAAAAACGGAGAAAAUAGGCCAACGUACGAAAUCAACACGGCCUGGACUUCCUAACACGGGCAGACCGCAUGGUCGUGUCAAUUUGGCAGAAUCGAAGCACGACUUACACAGGUAGACCACAUGCUCGUGCCUAUUUAACAGGCUUGACCAUAGCCUGAAGUAAUCGCACACGGGCGUGUCCCUGUCGAGCCCAAGCAGAGUCCUAUUCAGAAAAGGCCACUUUUGAGGGCUCUUAGGCAUUCCAAAGCCUAUAAAUACUCCCUAGAAGAGGAGAAGAGGGGGGACACAGAUUAGGAAGCAAGGAAUUACUCAAGAGAAGCCGAUUGAUCCAUCCCAAAAGCCAGAUUCAUCAUCAAGACUGGAGAUCUCCCUUCAAGUUCCUUCUGGAGUUUUGGGUUUUCUAAUGUUUUGUUAUCUUUAUAUUUUUAAGAUGUUUUCCUUCAUAAGUAUGAACUAAACCCCUAAAUACCUAAGGGGAAUGAAACCUAUGACAUAUCUUGUUAUUAUUAUCUGAGUUGGAUGAUAAAUAUUUGACUUGUUCUUAAUUAUGUGUUCUUAAUUCUUGUUUUGAUAUUCCAGGAUAUUGAUUCAAGUUAAGCUCUUAUUCAGAGGAGGAAUAGACCCUGUCUAAGAGUAAAUUUGUCAUAAUUAAGCGGAGUUGAUUACGCACCUAGAGAUAAGGUGACAAGAUUUUGUCGGAUUAGGGUAAAACCUAAUAAGGGAAUCCAUAGAUCGAGUUAAUGCAAUUCUGGGGUGUUAAUUAGAAAGAGAUUUCAAUUAUUCAACCUAGGGUUAGACGUUAUUAGUCUUAAGAGAGAUAAUGAUAUAACUUAGGGAUUUCUCCAGAUCAAGUCAAAUGAAUAAAUCGUUUGAUUUAGAGUCAAAUAACAAGUGAAGUCUAGGUGGAUUUGUCCUUAGGUAUUGUCUCAAUCAAUCGAAUUUUCCCAAAAAGUAUUUUCCCAAGUUUUUCUUUCUGUGCAUUCUUAGUUAGUAAUUAGUUUAGACAACCAAACCUCUUAAAUUUUAGGCUAGAUAAUAAAAAGAAAGUAAAUACUAGUACUCAUAGUUCCUUUGGGUUCAACAAUCCGGUCUUGCUGAACCAUAUUACUGUUCGAUAGGUACACUUGCCUUAAUCGUGAUACUAAGUUAGUCUCAAGAAAAUUUCAUUUAUAAAUCUUUAAAACCUGUUACAAAUAUCACGCAUCAAUGUUUAUGUGAUUUGGGCAUUGAGGCCCUGGGACAUGUUUGGAGAGAUAAGGAAAUGUGAUCUAAGCUCCAUUCAACGGGACAUGUUUGGUGUGUUGGAGAGUGUUAGUUUAAUUCUUCACUUACGAGACAUGCUUGACUCUAUGAGUCUACGUGGUGUGUUGGAGAUCCGUGUAUCCGAUGAGUGGUGGUAAUGCCCACUUUUACGUUUCAUAACUCAAAUGCCAAAUUAUCUCAAAUUAUCUAUUAAUGUGAUUGUGAAUUGUGACGUUUACAUGAAUAUGCAUGUACUGAUUCUGUAAAUAAACUAUCGAAUAUGCAUGUGAAGUAAAAUAUGUCAACUAAGUUAAGGUUGCUAUAAUUAUGAUAUGUUUCACUAAUGCUUGAUGAAAUGUUUGCAUGGUAGUUGUUUUAGGCAUUCACUGAGCUUGUUAAGCUCACCCACUCCUUUUAAAACCAUUGCAAAUUACUGUGUCCUAGUGUGAGCGGUGUGAUUUUGAGGGGUGAUUCCAAGCAAUUCCUUUUCUAUUAUUUCAUAGGUCUUAUUGUUAUUUGUUUUCAUUUCGAGAAUAAGGCAAUGUGGUAGACUUUUACUGAUAUUUGCCAUGAUGUUUUGGAUGUCUUCAUAGACUAUUUGUUCCUAGGUUUAUGAGAUUCAUUUCGUAUGAUGUUGAUUAUUUGUCAGACUUAUUUUGGAUGUUUGAGACUAUUAUAAUAGUCAUUUUGAUAUUUAUGUAAUGAUGAUAUGAUGGCAUGAAGGAUUGGUGCAUGUUGGAAUGAUUUAUAUGCUCAAGUAUGUUGUAUUUUUCUGGUUUGGAGCAGAGGUAUCGAUAUUCAUGUUGUAAAAAUAAUACCUCUGUGAUUUUGGAACAUGUAGGGAGGCAACAAUGUAAUUUGGUAUCGAUACCCAAUAAAAAGUAUCGAUGCUCAAGGUAGAAAUAUCAUUACUUUGGCCGAGGUACUGAUAAUUUUCGAGGUUUGGGUUUUUAAACGAGAAACAAUAAGCAGUUUUGGUUUUAAUUUUCCCAACAAUAUCAAUACCACUUGAGAGAAUUAUCGAUACCUCACCUUCAGUUUCGAUACCUACGUAGUUAGUUUUUGGAUUUUGCUAAAUGGACUUUAUGCAUAUUUAAUUAUUAUUAUUAUUAUUAUUAUUAUUAUAAGACUAUUUGAUGUAUGUUUAGCAUGUAACAAUGAUGUUAACAGUAUGACUGACUUAAAACCUAUACCAAUACUAAAAUGGAAGUCAUUUCAUUUAGAAUGAGCUUUUACUUAUUGUGUAUAACAUGAGACGGUGGUGUAGCAUCCUGAUAUUCAGGCUUGGAGACCAAGUUGGGUAUAGGGUGUUACACUUAAAAUUUCCAUCCCCCAAAUUUUCUUUGCUGCACCUAAAUCUUUCAUCUCGAACUUAGAGUUAAGCAUAGUUUUAAGACAACAAAUAUCAAAUGGAUUCUUAGCUGCAAUUAACAUAUCAUCAACAUAAAGUAAUAAAUAUAUAAAAGAAUCAUCAUCAAGACGUUGUAGAUAAACACAACUAUCAUACUUACUUCGGGAAAAACCAGUACUCAACAUGAAGGAGUCAAACUCUUUAUACCACUGUCGAGGAGAUUGCUUCAAACCAUACAAAGACUUUUGUAAAAGACAAACAUAAUAUUUUUUACCUUCAAAUUUGAAGCUUUCUGACUAUUGCAUGUAGAUGUCCUCCUCAAGGUCACUGUGAAGGAAAGUAGUCUUUACAUCUAACUGCUCUAACUCAAGAUUAUUUGAUGCAACAAAUUCCAAAAGCGCUCAAAUUGAUGUAUGUUUCACAAAAGGAGAGAAAACAUCAUGAAAAUCAAUUCCUUUCACUUGAUUGUAGCCCUUUUGCAACUAGUCUUACCUUGUACCUAGUGUUAUUAGGACCUGAACCUUCCUUCUUUUUAAACACCCAUUUGCAACCAAUGAUUCCUUUACUGAUGGGUGGUUUAACUAGCCUCUAAUUCUCAUUCUUUUGAAGUGAUUUCAUCUCUUCUUCCUUUGCAACGAACCAUUGGUUGGAGUCGAAGGCUUGAACUGCCUCAUAAUAACACGAAGGUUUGGUUGAAACAAUGCUCUCGGCAACACUUAGAGCAUAAGCCACUAGGUUUCCUUCACAAUAUUUUUGUGGUGGUCGGAUUUCUUGCCUUUUCCUUUCACGAGCCAACUUAUAAUUAGUUAACUGAUAUGGUGAGGGUACCUAAGGGUCGGAUGAAAACCAAAACAAAUCCAAAACAGCUUCAAACAAGCAAAAAUUAGAAUUUUUUUGUGUCGACGUGACAUUGUGAGACACUUUAUCGGGACAAGUGAUAAACUGUAAUUUAUACAUAUUUUUAUCCCAUGCUUAGCACAUUUAUGGAUGAUUUCUCCUUGGAUUUGGUGAAUUCGAUGCUCCUAAUUCUUUAAUUUCAUGUUUUAUACUUAGGUGAGUAUAGGAGAGUAAAAAGAGCGAGAAACGGGCUGAAAACAGAGAAAAUGAACCCACAUGGGAAAUCAACAUGGCUUGGACUUCCUCACACAGGCAUGUCACACGGCCGUGUCCAAUUGGCAAGAUCAAAGCAUGACUUACACGGGUAGACUACACGCCCAUGCCUACUCAACUGCCUUGACCACGGGUAGGAGCAAUCGCACACGAGCAUGUCCCUGCCAAGCCCGAGUAUAGUCCUAUUCGGAACAGGCCACUUUUGAGGGCUCUUAGGCAUUCUAAAGCCUAUUUAAACACCUGAGGAGGCACUUAGAAGAGACAUACGGAGUAGGAGACAAGGAAUUACUUAAGUGAAGCCGAUUGGUCCAUCUCAGAAGCCGAAUUUAUCAUCAAGAGUGAAGAUCUCCCUUUAAUUUCCAUUCAAGGGUUUGGGGUUUUCUUUAUGUUUUGUAUUCAUUAUUCUUCUGAGAUUUUUUCUUUUAUAAUUAUGAACUAAACCCUAAGAGGAAUGAAACCUAAGACAGAUCUUGUUAUUAUUAUCUGAAUUGUAUGAUAAAUAUUUGACUUGUUCUUAAUUAUGUGUUCUUAAUUCUUGUUUUAAUAUUCAAGGAUAUUGAUUCAAGUUAAUGCCCUUAUUCAGAAGAGCAAAAGUCUCUGUCUAAGAGUAAAUUUAUCAUAGUUAAGCGGAGUUGAUUGCAGCCUAGAGAUAGGGUGACAAGAUUUUGUCGGAUUAGGGUGAAACCUAAUAAAGGGGUCCAUAGAUCAAGUUAAUGCAACACUAGGGCGUUAAUUAGAAAGAGAUUUCAAUUAAUCAACGUAGAGUUAGACGUUAUUAGUCUCAAGAGAGAUAAUAAUAAAACUUAGGGAUUUCUACGGAUCAAGUCAAAUGAAUAAAUCGUCUGAUUCAGAGUCAAAUAACAAGUGAAGUCUAGGUGGAUUUUUCCUUGGGUAUUGUCUUAAUCAAUUGAGUUUUUCCAAAAGCUUUUUCCCAAUUUUCUCUCUGUGCACCCUUAGUUUAGUUAAGUAGUUUAGAUAAACAAAUCCUUUAAUUUUUAGGCUAGAAAAUAAAAAGAAAGUAAUUACUAGUACUCUUGGUUCCUUUGGGUUCAACAAUCUGGUCUUGCUAAAGCUAUACUACUGUUCGAUAGGUACACUUGCCUUCAUUGUGAUAAUAGUUAGUUUCAAGAACGAUUAAUUAUAAAUUUCUAAAACCUAUUACGAAUAUCACGUAUCAACAAGACCUCUAUUCGUCACGUCAUUGCGAUGUUAGGCAUUUGCUCGUUAUGUCGUCACCUUUUUAUUUCGGCUUUUGACUCCACCUUGCUCGAGACACUCUGAUUUGUUAUGUCUUUAAAAUUAAAAGUCUUAUUUUGUUAUCAAAGCAUAGUAGAUUUAUCAAACGUAACAUCUCUGCUAACAAUGAUCUUUUCAGAUUCUAAACAUCACAACUUAAAAACUUUUGUACUAGCAGCAUAUCCCAAAAAGAUGCUUUUAACGACCCUUGGUUCAAGCUUUCCCUAGCUACUUUAGCAUAAGUAGGACAACCAAAAAUUCUAAGAUUUGAUUAAUUUGGAGGAUUACCUAACCAUAUCUCCUUUGGAACUUUACCAUUCAAUGCUCAAUAAGGAGAUCGAUUUACCAAAUAACUUGUUAAGUUUACAGCUUCAGCCCAAAAUUCCUUCCCUAAGCAUGCGUUAGAAAGCAUGCAUCAAGCCUUUUCUAGCAAGGUUCUGUUCAUUCUUUUUGCAACUUCAUUCUAUUGUGGAAUUCUAACAAUGAUUCGAUGUCUUUCAAUUCCUUCCCGUUUGCAAAAUCACUAAACUCUGACAAAAAAAACUCAACACCAUUAUCUGUUCUCAACUUCUUCAUGGAUUUUCUGAUUUGUUUUUCUAAUAGUGUCUUCCACUGUUUGAAAAUUUCGAAGACUUGUUCUUUUCUAUUUCAAGAAAUAAACCCAAACUUUUCUGGAGUAAUCAUCAAUAAAAGUUAGGAAAUAUUUAUUAUCUCCUUUUGGGAUGUUAAAAGAUGGACCCCAAAAAUCAGAAUGAAUGUAAUAUAAAGUCCCUUUUGUUCUAUGCACUGCUAAAUCGAAACUAACUCGGGUUUGCGUAACACCCCGCACCUGUAUUCAUUGUCAGAAUAAGGUUGCAGAGCAUUGCCAAACUUCUUUCACAAAUAAACACACAUUUCUCAUACAUUUUUCCAUUAUAAAUAUAAAACAUUUACAAUCAUUUAUAACGCCCCUAAUAUGAGCCUACGAGGCCCAAAACAUGCUUUAGAAAUGGUUUGGGAAUAAACCGAUAACUUAGGAAACUUUUAGAAAACUUAGAAAGUUUUUCAAAAUACAGGGAACAUAGGCCUGUGUGGCCUGACCGUGUGUCUCACAAGGCCAAAUACACGCCCAUGUCACAAGCUCAGUGGACAUUCGAAAUGGGAUCACAUGGCCAUGUCUCAGCACAUGUCCGUCCCCGUGUAACUCCCUGACUUCGGUCACACGACCAACCACAUGCCCGUGUCACCAACCCGUGUGCCCUUCGGAAUGGCCUAACACACCCAUGUGCUAGGCCGUGUGCUAGGCCAUGCCAAACCUGUAGGGUAUUCUAACUAAUACUACACGGCCAAGUCACACGCCCGUGUGUUGGGCCGUGUGGAGCAUACUAACUUGGUUUCUAAUUAAACACCAGGGGACACACAGCCGUGUCACCUGACCAUGUGUCACACACAGCUGAGACACACACCCGUGUCUCUUCCCGUGUGGACAAAAAUAGGCUAUUUACCGAGCCAUUUUUUUCACCCAAUUUGUAAUCACCUACACUAAACCAAAGGCAUAUAAUAUGGUAUAAAUAAGCAUUCCAACCAAUCUCAACCAAGCCUAAUUCAUGCUAAAUCCAUACUAUCAACCAUAUGACUUACAAGUAUAACAAAUAGUCAUUCAAUUUCAUACCAAAUUCACACCAAAUUCACAUUCUCAAAUUGCCUAAAUGGUCACUUUCAUUUAUACAUCACUUUACCUAAAAUCACAAGCAUACUAAUUCUCAAUUAUCAACUAUUUGAUACUCAAAUUACCAAUUCAUAAAGAACCUUUCACCAUAAGCAUUUACAUGAUAAUUACCAAAUGCAUAACAAAGGCCAUUUGCACAUAUAUAUAUACACAACCAAAUCAACUAAAAUAAGCCAAAUCACAUGGCUAUACACAUAACAAACCAUUCAUCAUUUAUAAGCCAACUCAAAUGGCUAAACCUAUUACCAAACUAUAUACCAAAAUGACCAUAACUCCUAUACAUGCCAUAUAACCAAAUUACAUAAGUUCAAAAGUACCAAAGUAAUAGCUUGAUAGUGUGAUGAGAUCUCCGAUGACUCUUGAAUCCGAGCAAGCUUUGAUAAUCACUAUAAAACACGAAAAAGUAAAUAGAGUAAGCUACAAAGCUUAGUGAACUCGUAUGCUAAGUAAGUAAAACUUACCAACCAACAAUUCAAUAACAUAAACAUCAUAUAAUGCAAUUCAACUUUGAAGCAUAACUUAAUACAUAUAUUCAACCCAAGGAUUAAACACAAUUUCCAUCAACUUCUUCGAUUUUAUGAUUGUAUAGUUCACGUACAUACAUGUACAAGCUCUUAUUAAUCUCAUACUCGUCCAUAUCCUUGAUAUACCUAUUGAACCAUUUGGAAUACUAUCAGGUACCCGGGAAUCUCACACACUAAGUGCCAAUACAUAGCCGAAGCUAUCUCAAUCUCAUAUCACAUAUAAUGUUCACUCUCGAGCUAUCAACGGGUCUGCUCACACAAGUUGACGAUCAUGACAUAGCUACACGGUGCUGCUCACACAAGCUGACUAGAAUCCGCAACACAAGCCGAGUAACUCAGCCACCAGUAGGACGUACGGACUAGCACCCAAAUCACAUAACCCUUAAUGACAUGUCAUUUGUAUCCUAAUUUAUUCCUAAGGUUCAACUGGGAAUUCUCAUUACCGAAUCUUAGUCGAACAUUUUUGUACAAUCAUAUUCAUCAACAAUUCAAAUAUAAAAAAUUUAGAAACACAAUUAAAGUAAUGCUUCUUAACAUACAAACUUACCUCGAUUCACAAAAAUGACGGAAUGAAUCGAUUAAUCCAACACUUUGUUUUCCCUCAAAUCUAGAUCUGAACUUUAUUUUUCUUGAUUUAUAUAAUAUCAAAUUCAAUCUAUUCAUUAUUCAUUCUAUUCAAUUUAGCCCAAAAUGCAUAUUAUGGAAAAAUUACACUUUUGUCCCUAACAUUUCAAUAUAUUUACAAUUUAGUCCUUAGCUCAUAAAAAUAAAAAUUCAUGCAAUUAGGUCCCUACCCAUGCUAGCUGAAUUUCAUAUAGACCCAUAACAGCCCAUAUUUUUCAUUUAUUUCACAAUAUAAUCACAAAAUUUACACAUUUCACAAUCUAAUCCCUAAUUGGCAAUUUUACAAAAAAUCACUUUACAAAUGUUAUUUAUCUAACAACAACCAUUUAUUUUCUAUCAUCAAACAUCACAAGUCACACAUAUUCAUCAAUGGUAAAACCUUAAACCUUUCACAAUUUUGUAAAUUAGUCCCUAAGCUACCUAAAUUAAGCUGCAAUGAUCUCAAAACAUAGAAAUCAUUAAAAACGGGACAAAAAUCACUCACCAAUUUAACAAUAAAGUAGUCGAACCCUAGAAAGCUUCCAUGGAGGUCUCUCUCUUUUAUUUUUCGGUAGAAGAAGAUGACUAAAAGAUGGUAUCUUUGGUUUUCUUUAUUUUACUAAUUACUAAAUUACACUUUUAACCUUGGCUAUAAAACAUUAAAAUUACCUAAUACAUGUCCAAGUGUAACAUCUCGAAAUAGGGCCUAGUCGGAACAGUGGUUUCGAGACCAUAAAUCUGACAUUGAAAUAUUUUUUUAUGAUUAUUAUGAGGCCUGGAAUAUGAAAAUAUGCAUGUGUUGAAGUUUCAUGAAGAAAUUCUAUGAGUAAGGUGUCCAAUUGGAAAAUAAGGACCAAAUCGAAUAAUUUGUAAAACUUGGGUUCUAGAAACAAUUUGCAUGAAAUUGCUUUUAAUUAUAAAUUAAAAGGUCUUAAAUAGAAAUUUUCCCAAUUUCUAAGUUUUUGGACAAAAAUGGGCAUACAUGGAAAAUUUUGGAAGUUCAGUAAGGAAGGGCAUUUUGGUCAUUUGGUAAUAAAAUCAAUAAAAAGGGAAAAUGAAGGCAAAAAUCAGCCAUCUUCUCCCUUGUACCAGCCAAAAUUCUCAAGCCUUCCAUAGCUAGGGUUUUCAACAUUUUCAAGCUCAAUAGUAAGUGACUCCUAACCCCGUUUUUAAUGUUCUUUGUAUUGUUGAGAUCCUUGUAACAUGUUCUCUCCAUUUCCACCUAUAUUUUAAGCUAGGGUUCAUGUAUAAAAAGUGACCCAUGUGUGACAUGUUUGUUCUUUAAUGUUUUAUGGAGGAAUAUGAAAGUUAGAUGUGUGUUAAACAUCUUCUCCUAAGUGAUUUUCAUGAAAAGCCCCUAAAAGGAUGUUUUUGCAAAAGGUACAAAAUAUGUGGUAGAAAUGUGAAAUAGAGAAAAAUUUGGGCUAGUAUGAGUUUAUAAUGCAUUCGACUAGGCUUGGGUAACCAAAGAAUUGCAUGUAUAUCAUUUUACGAGCCUAGGGAUUAAAUCAUAAAUAAUGUGAAAGGUUAAGGGCAAAACAGUCAUUUUGUCUAGGGGUGAAAUUUAGGCUCAAAAAGAAUAAUGUGAGAUAUUGAUAAUUCAUUUUUAUUGUUAUAGACCCCAAGAAACAAAUUUUGGAGGUCGAUCAAGGAAAAUGAAAUGUUUCAGAAUAACCAAAAUGCGAAAUCGACACAAAUACCAGGUAAGUUCAAAUAACUUAAAGUAAACUCAUAAUAUGCCUAAAUGCAUGUUUUAUGAAUAUUAGAUAGUUUUAUAUAAUGAUGGCAUGAAAAUCCAUGAAAUGUGUUAAUAAUAAUGACAAGAUGAUAAAUGUCUCAGUUGAAGUUAAAAGGGAAAUUCGAUGGAAAAACCAUGGCUUACGUGACUUGAGAUCCUGCAUGUGUUGCAGAAAAGGGUUUAGCCCAGACGGGUAAUCCGUUGAUCUCAAAUAUAGAAAGGAUCUAGCCCGAACGGGUUUUCCUUGAAUGAUCAAGUCUCUUGAAGAAUAUGUGUGCAUUAAGGAUUUAGCUCAGACGGGUAAUCCGAUUAGGGUCUGAAUUUAGCCUGGACUGGUAAUUCAGACCUGAGCUCAUUAAGGUUGUUUGUCACUAUAAGGGAUUUAGCCUGGACUGGUAAUCCUGAAAACACUCCAUGAGUUUAUAUUACGGGGGAUUUAGCCUGGACUGGUAAUCCCGCUGUAAGAUAUGAGGUUCGUAGGAGUGCGUACUUAAGAAGAUCACUCUUAUGACUUGACGGUAAAUGGAUAAUCCAUCAAGAUUUUCGAGGUACUCAAUGGGAUUAACAUGAGAUAUCGAAAUGAAAAUAUUGGAUGAUGAGCUCAUCUAAGACAAAUUACAUUAUGAAUUAUUAUGGGACUAACUUGAUGCUUGAGUGUAUGUAAUAGGAGGCUAUCCUAUAUUUAUUGGAUUGGUUGCCUAACAUGGUUGUAUGCUAAUUAAUCGGUAAGUUUACUUUCCAAUUAUUCGGGCUUACUAAGCAUGUAAAUGCUUACCCCUCUCUUUUCCCUGUCUUAUAGAGCUCGAGGACUCGUAGAGAUUGGAAGACGGUUGGAGUAUUGUUGACACUAUCCACUUCUCCUGUUUUGGUAUAUAGAUACUUUUAUUUUGUUACAAUGGCAUGUAUAGAUUUUUGGUUAUUUGGUGUUAUAUGUCAUUGGUUGGCCAAUGUAAAGGCUUAAAUGUUAAACUUAUUCUUUUUGUAUAUGGCCAUAAGACAUGGCUCAUUUCAUUGUAGAUUAUGACCUACCAACCAUGCAUGUUUAUGUUAGAAAUGUUUUUGUGAUGAUUAAAUGUUGUAUAUCAUAAAUAAGCAUUCGUAAGGUGGCCAAAACAUUUGGAAAUGGUUAGGCCAUAAUUGGAAAUGAAUUGUAAUAAUGAUCCAAGCCUAAAAUAUGUUUCAAUAGGAUGGAAAUCCUUAUUAUGAAAAGGGGAUAAUUGAGUAUGUAUUUAACUGAUGAGAUGAGGUUGACAUGCAAUGGAUUCAUUGAUGAUAGUCCUUGAGUAUAUUUAAGUCAUGUUAAAUGCAAUUGGGGUUUUUAUAUGUGAGGAAAUGAUGAGGGUGACCAUUGGCUUGAAAUUAUAGCCUAAAAAGGGUCCACACGGGUAGACACACAAGUGUGUGUCUAGGCCGUGCGUGACACACGGUCAGCCCCAUGGGUGUGUGGUACGGUCGUGUGUCCCCUGCACCUAAAGUUUUUUCAGUCAAAAUGCAUGGUAGUAAACACACAGAAAGAGACAUAGUCGUGUGUCUCAGCCGUGUAGAGGGCACGGCCUAGCACACGGGCAUGUGUCUUGGCCGUGUGCCCCUAAAUACAUGCUGACAUCAUAAACAGAAUGUCCAGGUUUUUGGACAUGAGCUAUCACACAGGCGUGGCUAGGCCAUGUGAAAAACACGGGCCAGGGACACGGGCGUGUGCUUGGCCAUGUGAAAACCCUAUAGGUUCAAAAUAAAAAAUAAAUUUAAUUAAUUCCACACGAGUUAGGGACAUAGGUGUGUCCCCAAAGCACACGGGCGUGUGCAUUGUCUCCACACUGGUGUGUGAGGCUUAACCUAGAAAAUUUUCCUAAAAUUUUCUUAGGUUCUCGGUUUAGUCCCGGACCAUUCUCAAUGUAUGUUUUGGAUCUCGUAGGCCCAUAAUAGUGAUACUAAGAUGUUGUUUAAUUGGUUUUAAUUUGGAACAAAAUUUUUUAACCCGUAUUUUUCGAAAAUGUCUAAGUAUGUAUCUCGUAACGCCUUGUACUUGGUCUCGGUCUCAGGUACGGGUAAGGGAUGUUACACCGAGAAUGUCCACUAACUUUAUAAAUGGGCUAAUUACCACAUAAGGACCUCCACUUUCAGGUUCCAUAGCUAUAGAUACCUUUAGCUAAUAGAAUUCAAGUUUUACACUUUAUGCGAUUUAGUCCUUUUUAUCAAAUUGAACAUUCAAACUAUAAAAUUUCUUAAAGAAAUUUUCACACAAUCAUACUAUCGUACUGUAGACAUUAAAAUACUAAUAAAAUAAUUAUUUUGACCUCAGAUUUUUGGUCCCGAAACCACUGUUCCAAUUUGACUAAAAAUGGGUUGUUAUAGUUUGUUUCCCAAAAAUGUAAUGCUCGUAAAAACCUAAUUUGUAACGCCCCUCACCCAUAUCGACGCCAAAAUAGGUUCAAGCCGUUACCUGAGAUUCUCAUUCGUAAACAUAUUAAAUCAAGUCACUAAGUUGCGCUGUAAUUUAGAACUUUUCAAAUAUGUAUAUCCUUUCCCUUAAACAGGCCUUCGAGACCUAAAACAUGCCUAGAGGCGGUGCGGGACAAAACCAAGAACGUUUGAUAAACAUGGAGCACAUUGGAAAUUUUCUUUUAACUUGAAGUGUCACACGCCCGUGUGACUUGGGACAUGCCCGUGCAAUCACCCUGUGUCCAAGACUUGAACAUUCUAUUAAAUUCACACGGCCAAGACACACGCCCGUGUGUCUAGCCCGUGUUCAUUUAACAGACCUACCAUUUUAGAUGAAAUGGACACACGAUCAUGCCAUACACCCACGAGUGUGUCCCGUGUGUCACACAUAGCCUAGGCACAUGCCCGUGUACCCAACCGUGUCAACCCUAUUAGGCUAUUUUCGAAGCCUAUGGUCACCCCCUUUUAACACUUAUACUUAAUGAAUAUUAAAAACGAAGUAAAACAAGAUUAUGUUCUCAUAAAUGAUCUUUGCAAAAAACUUAUUGCAUGGAAACCUCAUAUCAUUGGUUUCGUACAUGCUAGGUUAUUUCCCAUCUUGUAUUUAUGUGUUGUCAUACCACUUUAACACAUUCAAGAUUGGCUCGUUCUUAUGACUCAUUGCUAAUUGGAAUUCAACCCUCGCACAUGAUUCUAAACUUGAAUGGAAAUUUUGUAGGUCAUAGCCUAUUUCAAAAUAAGCCAAUCUCCAUGGCGACAUACAAAAAGAUAGAAUUCUCUUUCAUGCCUUCAUUUGGUAAAUUAAAUGGCACAUAUAACAAAUUACUCAAAAGACCUAUACAUGCCAUUGAACAAAUCAAAAAUGUCUUUAUACCAAAGCUGAGCUAUUUGAUAGUAUGCUAACUCUCUAACCCUCUUCCAAUCUUUACAAGUCCUCGAGCUCUGGGAGAAACAGGGAAAAGAGAGGGGUAAGCAUUUUCAUGCUUAGUAAGCUCGAAUAACCAGACAGUAAACUUACCAAGUAAUUAGCAUGCAAUCAAGUUGGUUAAUAAAUUCAAUGAGCAUAGGAUGGCUUCCCUAUCACAUACACUCAAUCAUUGAGUUAGUCACAUAACAAUGCACUAUGAAAGAUAUCUUAGAUGAGCUCAUCAUUCAACAUCUCAUUUAGUAAAUAUAAGUCAUGUUAAUCUUGUUGAGUUUCUAGGAAGUUUCAAUGAUAUACCCAUUAACUGUCAAUUCGUAUGAAUGAUCAUUUCCAGUAUGCACUCCCGCGAACCUCACAUCUCAUGGCGGGAUUACCAGUCCAAGCUAAAUACCCCAUUUUAUGAACUCAUAAGUUGAUGUCGGGAUUACUAGUCCAAGCUAAAUCCCUUAUAACGAAAAACACUUUUAUUGAGCUCGGAUCUAAAUUACCAGUCCAGGCUAAAUUCAGAUCCUAAUCGGAUUACCCGUCUGGGCUAAAUCAAUAAUGCACACAUAUUCUUCGGGAGGCUCGACUAUUCAAAAGAACACCCGUCUGAGCUAGAUCGUUUUAUAAAUGAGAUCAACGGAUUACCCGUCUGGGCUAAAUCCUUUCUGCAACACAUGCAGGACCUCAUUACACAUGUCAAUCAUGGUUUAUCUUUCGAAUUCCCUUUUUAACCUCAACUGAGACAUUUAUCACAAUUCAUACUUAAACAUGCAUUUCAUAAAAUUUCAUGUUAUUAAUAAAUGCAAUCACCAUGUAUUCAUAAAUCAUAUAAUUAGGCACAUUGAGUGUUUACUUUAAGUUAUCCGAACUUACCUGGUAUUUGUUUCGGUGUCAUGUUUCGUUUAUUCUGAAACCUUUUGUUUUUCUCGAUUGACCUCCGAAAUUUGUUCCUCGAGGUCUAUAACAAUAAAAAUAGAUCAUUAACACUCCACAUUAUACAUUUCAAGUCUAAAUUCCACCCUCGGUCCAAAUGACCAUUUUGCCCCUAACCUUUCACAUUUUUACGAUUUAGUCCCUAGGCUCGUAUGAUGAAACACACGCAAUUUAUACUUUACUCAAGCCUAGCCAAACACUUUUCCCUCUUAUGGUAGCCUACAUUUUCCAUUAUUUUCACAUUCCUACCACACAUUUUACAACUUUUGCAAAAAGGUCCCUUUAGGGGUUUUUCAUGAAAAUCACCUAGGAAAAGUUGUUUAACACACAUCAAACUUUCAUAUUCCUCCAUAAAACAUCAAAAUACAAUUAACUCAUGCAUGGGUAAAUUUUUAAACAUGAACCCUAGCAUGAAAUAUUGGUAGAAAUGGAGAUAGUAAGCUACCGGGAUCUCAAAAUUACGAAGAACAUUAAAAACGGGGCUUGGGAGCACUUACUAAUGAGCUUGAAAAUCUUGGAAACCUUAGCUAUGGUGGCUUAUGAAUUUCAGCUGGACAAGGGAGAAGAAUGGCUGAUUUUUGCCUUCUUUUUCCCAUUUUAUUUCAUUAAUAUGCCACAUGACCAAAAUGCCCUUACGCCAUUUCUUUGAAAUUUCAUCCAUCCAAGCCCAUUUUUUUCCAAAAACAUAGAAAUUGGGAAAGUUGCUCCCCAAGACCUUCUAUUUUAUAAUCUAAAUCAAUUUCAUACAAAUUGCUUCUAGAAUCCAAGUUUUGUAAUUUAUUCAAUUUAGUCCCUAAUUUUCCAAUUGGGCACUUACUCAAAGAAUUCCUUCAUGAAACUUUAACACAUGCGUAUUCUCAUAUUGUAAGCCUUGUAAUAAUCAUAAAAUAAAUAUUUUGAUGUCUGAUUUGUGGUCCCGAAACCACUAUUCCAACUAGGCCCUAUUUUGGGAUGUUACAUUUCUCCCCCCAAGGACUUUCGUCCUCGAAAGUCUUACCAGUGAACUGAUUCGGAUAUUGGCUUCUCAUGGAUUCUUCUGGUUCCCAUGUAGCCUCUUCUACACCAUGUCGAUGCCAUAAAACUUUUACUAAGGCCACAUAUUUAUUCCUCGGCUGUUUAACCUCACGAGCCAAUAUCUUAACUGGUUCCUCUUCAUAGGUCAUGUCUAGUCGAAUUUCAAUCUCAGUCAGUGAAAUCACGUGAGAGGGGUCUGAUCAGUAUCGCCUUAACAUAAAUACAUAGAACACAUCGUGAAUCUUUUCCAAUUCAGGUGGAAAUGCCAAGUGAUAGGCUACCGGUCCAACUCUUUCAAUGAUCUCAUACGGUCCGACAAAUCGCGGAUCCAGUUUGCCUUUUGGGGCAAAUCUCAACACCUUUUUUCCAUGGAGAUACUUCCAAGAAUACUCUAUCUCCAACUUGAAACUCAAUUUCCUUUCUUUUCAAAUCAACAUAUGAUUUUGCCUAUCCGAUGCCGCUUUCAAACAGUCUCGUAUCACUUUAAAUUUCUCUUCAGUUUCUUUAAUCAAAUCAACUCUGUGAAUCUGAUUUUCCUUAAGUUAUGUCCAGUACAAUGGAGUUCAGCACUUCCUGCCAUACAAGGCCUCAUAAGGUGCCAUCUUCAAACUCGUCUGAAAACUAUUGUUGUAGGCGAAUUAUACUAGUGGCAAAUAUUUUUCCCAACUACCCUGAAAUUCAAGGACGCAACAUCGCAACAUAUCCUCAAGAAUCUGAAUCAUCUGCUCAGACUAACCAUCUGUCUAAAGGUGAAAAGCUGCACUAAAGCUUAACUUCAUACCCAAGGCUUCUUGUAAUUUCUUCAAGAAUCUCGAAGUGAACCUCGGGUCUCAGUCGGAAAUAAUUAAUAGUUGUACCCCAUGAAAUCUUACAAUCUCAGAAAUGUAUAAGUCGGCAAAUCUAUCGAGGGAAUAAUAUGUCCUCAACAGAAUAAAAUAAGCCAACUUCGUCAACUUAUCUACUAUGACCCAUACGGCAUUUUUCUUCUUCGAAGUCAAUGGUAAUCCUGUCAUGAAAUCCAUAGUAACUCUAUCCCACUUCCAUUCGGGGACAAUCACAGGCUGUAGAAAACCUGAAGGCACUUGAUGUUCAACUUUAACUUGCUGACAUACCAGGCAUUUCGACACAAAUUUAGAAAUCUCUCUUUUCAUGCCGUUCCACUAGUAUGUUUUCUUCAAAUCAUUGUACAUCUUGGUACUUUUCGGGUGAAUUGACAAACGGCUGUUAUGUGCUUCUUGCAAAAUUUUCCGAAUAAGUUAAUUGUUUUUGGGUACACAAAUCGUAUCUCUGAACAUCAAACAUCCAUCAGAAACAAUCCAAAAAUUUGAUUCAAUACCUCACUCACAUUGAGUUUGUUUAGCUUGAAAGCUAUCAUCAUUAGUUUGAGCAUCAUAGAUUUCAUGAAGGAAUGUCGGCCUAGCCUUUAGCUCAGCCAAGACUGAACCAUCAUCAAGCAAUGCCAAACGAGCAUCCAUAGCCCUUAAUGCAAACAAGGAUUUUCUGUUCGACACGUCAGCGAUCACAUUCGCCUUUCCCAGGUGAUAAUCAAUAAUUAGUUCGUAAUCCUUGAUUAACUCUAGCCACCUCUGCUGCCUCAAAUUUAAUUCUUUUUGAGUUAUCAAAUACUUCAAACUCUUGUGGUUAGUGAAUAUGUGGCAAGUCUCACAAUAUAAAUAAUGUCUACAAAUUUUCAAAGCAAAAACGAUGGCGGCAAGUUUUAGGUCGUGUGUAAGAUAGUUCUUCUCAUGCGGCUUCAACUAUCGUGAAGCAUAGGCUAUUACUUUGCCAUCUUGCAUAAGUACACAACCCAGUCUAUUUGAGGAUGCGUCACUGUAGACUACAAAUUAUUUUCCCGACUCAGGUAAUACUAAAACAGGAGCUUCAGUUGACAGUGUUUUUAACUUCUAAAAACUUUGUUGACACUUUUCCGUCCAUUCAAACUUAAUGUUUUUCUGUAACAAUCUCAUCAUUGGAGUUGCUAUCAUGGAGAAUCCUUUCACAAAUCUUCGAUAGCAACCAGCUAAGCCCAAAAAGCUUCUAACCUCAGUUACAUUUUUAGGUGGUUUCCAUUCAAUAAUAGCAGAGAUCUUACUUGGAUCGACUAGGAUGCCUUCACCAAAAACAAUAUGACCUAAAAAUCCAACUUCCUAAAGCCAAAACUCACUCUUGCUAAACUUAGCAUACAGCUGCUUUUCCCGCAAAGUCUGCAACACAAUUCUCAAGUGCUUCGCGUGCUCUGUCUUAUCUUUGGAAUAAAUCAAUAUGUCGUCAAUGAACACAACGACAAACUUGAUCAAAUAUGGCUGUAAGAUCCUAUUCAUUAGGUCUAUAAAUACAGCUGGUGCAUUCAUCAGCCCAAAUGGCAUGACAAGAAAUUCAUAAUCGCCAUACCUUAUCCUAAAGGCUGUCUUAGGUACAUCCAAUUCUUUAACUCGCAACUGGUAAUAGCCAGACCCUAAGUCUAUCUUAGAGAACACGGUGGCUCCUUUCAACUGGUCAAACAAAUCAUCAAUCCUUGGUAAAGGAUACUUAUUCUUGAUAGUUACCUUGUUCAGUUGGCUGUAAUUUAUACAUAACCUCAUCGAACUAUCCUUCUUCCUUACAAAUAGAACGGGAGCACCCUAAGGUGAAAAGCUCGGCCUUACAAAACCUUUAUCCGUCAGCUCUUGCAACUGUGCUUUCAACUCUCUCAGCUAGGUUGGUGCCAUCCUAUACGGAGCAAUUAAAAUAGGAUCUGUCCUUGGCACCAGCUCAAUACCAAAUUCUAUUUCCCUUUCAGGAGGUAAUCCGGGUAAUUCUUCUAGAAAUACAUCUGGGUACUCACAUACUAUAGGCACAGAUUCAAUCUUCAACUCUGUUUCCUUAGUGUUCAAUACAAUUGCAAGGUAGGCUUCAUACCCUUUUCUCAUAUAUCUCUGAGCAACCAUUGCCGUGAUCACAACCGAAAGCGUACCCAACUCUCUUGAAUCAACCCAUAGAAAUUCACCAUCCGGACAUUUCAAUUUAAUAUACUUACCACCAUAAUUUACAAUUACAUCAUGCAGUGCUAACCAAUCCAUACCAAAUAUUAUAUCAAAUUCAUCAAAUGGUAACAACAUAAGAUUAGCCAGAAAACAAUGACCCUGAAUUGUCAAAGGACAAUUCUUACAGACUUUAUCAACUAUGACUGAUCUGCCUAGUGAGUUCGACACUUUAAUAAUAAAUUCCGUAGGCUCAAUGAGUAUGUUCAUUCUAGAUACCAAGCUCAUACAAAUGUAUGAAUGCGUCGACCCCGGGUCAAUUAAGGCAAUAACACAUGUAUCGAAAAGAGAAAAAGUAUCCGUGAUAACAUUAGGAGCAGAGGCUUCCUCUCGGGCGCGUACCGCAUACGUUCUUGCCGGAGGUUGAGCCUCUAAUUUUGCAGCAUCUUUAACCACAACUCAACUGUCACUGGCACUUCCAAGAUAUCUCGGAGGUCUACCUCAUGAAAUGGGAGUACUCGACUUCAGGGCUACUUUCACUUCUUUCUCGACUCACUCUAGGCAGUCCCUGAGAAAGUGGUCAAGAGAUCCACAUCUGAAACAUGCACGUCUCUUCACUCGGCACUCUCCGAAGUGAAAUUUGUUGCAACUCCUACACUUCAGCUUUUGAUCAUCUACACUCCCCACACUAGUUACCAUCAGGGAGGAAGACUUUUGGCUUCUUCGUUUAGAGCUUCUCGCUCUACCCAAAUAUCCUACUGAUGAAAUGGAGCGUUCAUGCUGGCUCUUUGAUUUCUUGUGGGAAACAAGAGUGUUCUACCACUAGACCUCUUGCUCGCGGCUUAGGCCUCUCUCUUUGUUUGCUUUCUUUCGUUGUUAAGCUCCCCGACCUUCUUGGCCCGAUCAGCCAAUGCAACAACCUCUCAUAUUUCAAGGAUCCCAAUCAACAACUUAAUUUGCUCCUUCAGACCUUCCUCGAAGCGUUUACACAUUUUUGACUCGGUUUGGAGCCAUUCAGUUGCGUGCUGACUUAGCCUCACGAACUCUCGUUCAUAUUCUGCUUCAGUCUUGUUCCCUUGUUUGAGUUUUAGGAACUCAUUUCGUUUCAAGUCUAGAAACCGUUGGCUAAUGUAUUUCUUCCUAAACUCUAUUUAGAAGAAAUCUCAAGUGAUAUUUUCCUUUGGCACUACCGAGGAUACAGUCUUCCACCAAUGAUACGCAAUAUCUUUUAGGAGGGACACGGCACACUUCAAACGCUCCUCAGGUGUGCACGACAAAUCAUCUAACACUGGUGUAGUAUUCUCAAGCCAAAACUCGGCUCUUUCAGCAUCAUCAUCAACUUUAGCUCUGAAUUCCUCAGCCCCAUACUUUCUAAGCUUAUCAACAGGGGCUUUACCAAUUCUUACCGGUGCCCUACCUCGUGGCACAUCCUCAUUAGGUUGGUUAGGGGGCGGGGGAGGUCUUGGUAUGUUGGGGCGAUUCCUCAGGUAAUCCCCAAACCAUUCGUCCUUCAUAAGCCUUCUACUACUACUAGUAGAUACAGCUCGUUGUAUGAAAGCUGGAGCAUGGCUCUCAGCUCCCUCGGACUCAUCUUGUGUUUGAUUGGAAGACAUUUACUAUAUUCAAAACAAUUUAAACAGUUAGGAGACGUCAUACUAUCAAUAUUCGAAUGAUGGUAUGUAUAGCAAACCUCAAUACUCUCUACGAUAGUCCUAGAACUGACUAAAUCGUAGCUCUGAUACCAUUAAAUAUAACACCCUUUACCCGUUACUUGAGAUUCUCGUUCAUAAACAUAUUAAAUCUAAUCACUAAGUUGCACUCUAAUUUAAAACUAUUCAAAUAUGUAUAUCAUUUCCCUUAAACAAGCCUUCGAGACCUGAAACAUGCCUAGAUGCAGUACGGGACAAAACCGAAAACGUUUGAUAAACUUGGGGCACCUUGGAAAAUUUCUUUUAACUUGAAGUGUCACACGCCCGUAUGACUUGGGACACUCCCGUUCAAUCACCCCGUGUCCAAGACUUGAGCAUUCUAUUAAAUUCACACGGCCAAGACACACGCCCGUGUGUCUAGCCCGUGUUCAUUUAACAGACUUACCAUUUUAGAUGCAGGGGACACACAACCAUGCCACACACCUACGGGUGUGGCCCGUGUGUCAUACACGGCCUAGGCACACGCCCGUGUACCCAACUGUGUAAACCCUAUUAGGCUAUUUUCCAAGCCUAUGGUCACCCCCUUUUUAACACUUAUACUUAAUGAAUAUUAAAAACGAAGUAAAACAUGAUUAUGCUCUUAUAAAUGAUCUUUGCAAAAACUUAUUACGUGGAAACCUCAUAUCAUUAGUUUCGUACAUGCUAGGUUAUUUCCCAUCUUGUAUUUAUGUGUUGCCAUACCACUUUAACACAUUCAAGAUUGGCUCGUUCUUAUGACUCAUUGCCAAUUGGAAUUCAACCAUCGCACAUGAUUAUAAACUUGCAUGGAAAUUUUGUAGGUCAUAGCCUACUUCAAAAUAAGCCAAUCUCCAUGGCAAUAUACAAAAAGAUAGAAUUAUCUUUACAUGCUUUCAUUUGGAAAAUUAAAUGACACAUAUAACAAAAUACUCAAAAGACCUAUACAUGCCAUUGAACAAAUCAAAAAUGUCUUUAUACCAAAGCUGAGCUAUUUGAUAAUAUGCUGACUCUCUAACCGUCUUCAAUCUUUACGAGUCCUCGAGCUCUAGGAGAGACAGGGAAAAGAGAGGGGUAAGCAUUUUCAUGCUUAGUAAGCUCGAAUAACUGGAAAGUAAACUUACCAAGUAAUUAGCAUGCAAUCAAAUUGGGUAAUAAAUUCAAUGAGCAUAGGAUGGCUUCCCUGUAGCACCCCAAACCCGGCCUAGACGUUAUGGUCGGAUCCGACAUGCCACAUCGAAGCAUUCAAAACAUUUUAUAUUAUUGGUCCAGAAAAUCUUAUUUAGUGUUUUAAAAGAUAAUUUUAUUAUAGGUUAAAGUGAAUGGAAGCUAUGCACCAGGUAGGAAACCGAAAAAGAGGUGGUGAGUCCAUCGGACUGCGUAAGUACCAAGAUCCCUUCGGAUCCAAUCCUAGACAUGCAUACUGCCAUUGUCACACCUUAACGUCAUGGAUAUUUCUAGGAAACCGAUUUGAUUAAGUCAUUUUUAGGAAAAGUGAUUAAUUUUGGAAAACACUUUCAUUGCGGAAGCUUUAUUUGUUGUCGUGUUAUUUUGAAAUCAAUUGUUGUUUUUGAAAACGCACCCUAAAGCUAUCCAAUUUCAACAGUUAAAAUAAGUAAUACCUAUCUUAGUAAUACAUAUUAAAACCAUCAAAAAUAAUUAAGUGGCCUUAUUACAUUUAAAAACCCAAAACUUCAAACGUAAAUAACAGGAUAUCCAUUUCACCGGAAGAAAAUCAAACUUUCAGAAUGGGUGGCCACUCCAAAUUCCCUCACAACUCUAAGCCCACUAUGGUUGGGGAUUUCCUGCGUGGAUGAAAAUAAAAAGGGUGAGUUUGGGGAAACUCAGUGUAUAAGGAAAACCCAUUCAAAGCCCAAGUCAGCUCAAGCCAUUGGGCCUAAGCCCAUUCAGGUAACAGUGGUACUGGGCCAGAGCCCUUUUCAGAUUACAAUAAACUGGGCCUUAGCCCCUUAUUCAGAUAACAGUAUGGCCCAUAGGCCCAUUUCAAAAUACAUGCAACAUCAAUAACAUAUGCAAGCCCAUUUGGGGAGACUACUCAACCCACCAACCACUACACUCCACCCGUACCAGUCAUACACUCCAUGUGGGGAAUAGCUCAACCCACCCAGCCCAACACUCCACAGUUGCAGCCUUGCUGCUCAGUUAACAGUAAAUUGAGGCAAAGCCUCCAGUACGUGGACAAGCCACUUUCAGUACUUCCUCCGUCAAUAUCCCAGUCCCAUGCAUCAGAUAAUAACAACAUGGCAUGCAGUAAAUAACAACAGUCAAACAUGCAUUUAGGUCAAUUUAACCCUAGCGGUAUUUCGAUAAUUUAUCUCCUAGGGAUAAAACUGUAAAUUUUCCACUUUUAAAGGUAUUUCAGUAAUUUAUCUAUUUUAGGGUUUUUCAUGCAUAUUCCUACCUUUCACGUACUAACAGAAUCACGUACCGAGGGUUCUUACCGAAUUGGGCCCGUUGGUCAAUCAUUCCAAUUUUGGCCCAUUAAGCCCAAAAAUAUCGAGGGCACAAAAAUCAUGCACUUUGCAGUCCAAACACUGCAGCUUACCAAAAACAUUAAUCGAUUUACCUCACGAGCAUUCGCACACUCGCAAAUCUACAAAAUAUCGAUUUUUGACAUUUCGGCUUUUUGGCUUUUGCCGAUCUAGACUAAGAAAGAGGGUGUUAGUUACACACCUGUUUGCGACGAUAUGCUGACGAGAUCCACACACGAACUGCCUACAAUUGGAUUACUAACACGUUAAUCUAACUAUUCAAAUACAAACUACGUAUUAACCCCUUACAAUAUUCGGCCAACCACACCUACAAAUCAUAGUAAGCUUAUAAGAAAUCAAUAAGCAACUCAUUAACAAAUUUUUAUCAAUGUUUACCACAUAAUCAUAAUUUCACUGCAAGCUAUCUUCCUGAGCAAUAGUCACUAAAUUAUUUAUAACUGGAGCUACGAAACUCCAAAUCAAGUGCCAUUAAUUUUCCAUGAAAAUAGACUCAUAUAUCUUCUAUCCAUAAAAUUUCAGAAUUUUUUGGUCUAGCCAAUCAAUACCAGAUUUUUCUCAAAGUUUCCCAUGUUUCACUAUUUGACUAAUCUGACCACUCUUCAUUACGAAUCAAAUUUCUCAUUGUACAGAAUUUAAAAUAUGUUCUUGUUUAUUUCAUUAGAACCUAGACUCAAUAAGCUUUAAUUACAUAAUUUAUUCAGCUUCAAAUUCAUCUCCCACAAUUUAUGGUGAGUUUCCAAAGUCACAUUACUGCUGCUGUCCCAAGCAGAUUUAUUACCAAAUCACUCUUUCACACAUACCUUGCAUGCAUGUUAUUUAAACAUGUAUAUCACCAAUCAAUCAUCACAUAUCUAUGAUUUUACUUAAGAAUAAUCUCCAUUUCAUCAUUUUAAAGCACAACAUGUUAGCUGAUUUUUCCCUUUAACAUCUAAGGCACAUGCAUGCUCAUUUGUUUGGCUCAACUUCACCUAUCUUCCAUUUUUUUCAUCAAAAGAACAUGAAAAAACAACCAUUUCCUUAAUUUUAAUUCAUGACUAAAUGCUCACAACACAACUAAAAACCAAAAUAUGCUUCAAGAGUUAAGGUAGAAUCAAGAAGAACUCAUGAACAUCAAGAUAGAAGCCAACUACCAUGAACUUACCUUCAAUUUUCUUCCCCAAGUGACCGAACACUCAAGAGCUUUCUCCUCUCCUUUCUCUUCUCUAACUUUCAGCUAUGAUGAACAAAGAUGGACAAGACUUUGUUCUUUUCACCCCUUUUUCUUUUAAUAAAACUUCAUAUUUCAUCCAUUUAAUUCUUUAAUACAAAAGACAUGAAAUUCUUAUCAUGAAACAUUUACCUAACCCAUUAUCAUGAAACAUUUACCUAACCCAUUAUCAUGGAACAUUUACCUAACCUAUUAUCAAUUUAUAUCAAUUUGUACCAUAAAUUAUGGAUAUCAAGUGUACAUUUUGUCUACAACAACAUGAUGGCUGGCCACUUCAUGUAAAAUGGGAGGUUUGUCAUGCAAAUCCUCCUAUUUUGCACUCCUAUUUAUUUGGUCACUUCAAUUUAGCCUAUAGCAUUUUCAAACAUUUUCACAUAGGUCCUAUUUCAUAAUUUCACUCACAAAUGACAAAAAUUAAGCAUGAAAUUUUGCCAACAUUCACAGAAUUCCCGAAAAUUGGGGCGUUACAUUCCCUAUCACAUACACUCAAUCAAUGAGUUAGUCACAUAACAAUGUAUAAUGAAAGUUAUCUUAGAUGAGCUCAUCAUUCAACAUCUCAUUUUGUACAUAUAAGUCAUGUUAAUCUUGUUGAGUUUCUAGAAAGUCUCGAUAGAAUACUUAUUAACCGUCAAUUCGUAUGAAUUAUCAUUUCCAGUAUGCACUUCCGCGAACAUCACAUCUCAUGGCAGGAUUACCAGUCCAGGCUAAAUCCCCCAUUUUAUGAACUCAUAAGGUGAUGUCAAGAUUACAAGUCCAGGCUAAAUCCCUUAUAACAACAAACACCUUUAUUGAGCUUGGAUCUGAAUUACCAGUUCAGGCUAAAUUCAGAUCCUAAUCGGAUUACCCGUCUGGACUAAAUCCAUAAUGCACACAUAUUCUUCGGGAGGCUUGACCAUUUAAAGGAACACCCGUCCGGGCUAGAUCCUUUUAUAAAUGACAUCAACGGAUUACUCGUCUGGGCUAAAUCCUUACUGCAACACAUGCAGGACUUCAUUACACAUGUCAAUCAUGGUUUAUCCAUCGAAUUCCCUUUUUAACCUCAACCGAGACAUUUAUCACAAUUCAUACUUAAACAUACAUUUCAUAAAAUUUCAUGUUAUUAAUAAAUGCAAUCAUCAUGCAUUCAUAAAUCAUAUAAUUAGGCACAUUGAGUGUUUACUUUAAGUUAUCCGAACUUACCUGGUAUUCAUUUUGGUGUCGUGUUUUGGUUAUUUCGAAACCUUUCGUUUUCCUCGAUCGACCUCCAGAAUUUGUUCCUCUAGGUCUAUAACAAUAAAAAUAGAUCAUAAACACUCUAAAUUAUAUAUUUCAAGUCUAAAUUCCACCCCCGAUCCAAAUGACCGUUUUGCGCCUAACCUUUCACAUUUUUACAAUUUAGUCCCUAGGCUCGUAUAAUGAAAGGCAUGCAAUUUCUACCUUACUCAAGCCUAGCCGAACACUUUUCCCUCUUAUGGUAGCCCACAUUUUUCAUUAUUUCCACAUUCCUGCCACACAUUUUACAACUUUUGCAAAAAGGUCCCUUUAGGGGUUUUUCAUGAAAAUCACCUAGAAAAAGUUGUUUAACACACAUCAAACUUUCAUAUUCCUCCAUAAAACAUCAAAAUACUAGUAACUUAUGCAUGGGUAAAUUUUUAAACAUGAACCCUAGCAUGAAAUAUUGGUAGAAAUGGAGAGAGUAAGCUACCGAAAUCUCAAAAUUAAGAAGAACAUUAAAAACGGGGCUUGAGAACACUUACUAAUGAGCUUGAAAAGCUUGGAAACCCUAGUUAUGGUGGCUUGGAGAUUACGGCUGGACAAGGGAGAAAAAUGGUUAAUUUUUUCCUUCUUUUCCCAUUUUAUUUCAUUAAUAUGCCACAUGACCAAAAUGCCCUUAAGCCCUUUCUUUGAAAUUUCAUCAAUGCAAGCCCAUUUUUGUCCAAAAACUUAGAAAUUAGAAAAAUUUCUCCCCAAGACCUUCUAUUUUAUAAUCUAAAGCAAUUUCAUACAAAUUGCUUCUAGAAUCCAAGUUUUGCAAUUUAUUCAAUUUAGUCCCUAAUUUUCCAAUUGGGCACUUACUCAAAGAAUUCCUUCAUGAAACUUUAACACAUGUAUAUUCUCAUAUUCUAAGCCUCGUAAUAAUUAUAAAAUAAAUAUUUUGAUGUCGUAUUUGUAGUCUCGAAACCACUAUUCCGAUUAGGCCCUAUUUUGGGGUGUUACAUAAUUUACCAACUCCAAUGUCUUUGGGAAAAAUUUUAUUGCACAAGACUAUUAUAUCUUCCUCACUCAUAUGACCUAGUUGCAUGUGCCAAAGUUUUGUUGAGUCGGAAUCGAUGAAGAAAGAGUCACGUCGUGUCGCCGUGACGUGGUGGGAAUUUCGACUUUUCUUCAGUAAUCGCAGCCACACCAGUAAUUGUUGACCCUUGCAAAACGUAUAGGCUGCCCUUUUCCUCUCCCCUCAUCAUAAAAGAGCCUCAGAGAAACUUUUAAGUCAUUUGACUCAAUGACUAUCCUGCAACCAUUAGAAUCCAAAAUUCCCAAUGAGAUAAGAUUUUUCUUUAAAUCAGGAACAUACCUGACAUAUGAAAGUGUUUGAAUAAUCCUGUCAUGCAUCUUAAUUUGUAUCGUUCCAAUUCCGAAUAUUUUACAUGGGAGAGUUAUUCCCGAUCAGCACAACUCCACCUUCAACUUAACUAUAUGUAGAGAACCAGUCCCUGUUGGGAUACAUGUGACAGGAGUACUCUGAAUCUAAGUUCCAUUCAGAAGUAAGAUGAUAGCUUUUGCUCGUUGACACCAACAAGAAAUUAUCACAUUUAUCCUCAACUACACUAGCAUCAACAACGUCGGCUUUUUGCUUAUCUUUCUUAUCGUUUUCAUCAUCAUUUUUUAUAUUAUUUUGAAAUUUCCAACAUUCUGCCUUAACAUGGCCCGCCUUUUUACAAUAACCACAAUAUUUGUGAUGAUUUCUGGAGUUGGACCUUGCUUUAGACCUAUUUUGAUCUGUCUUUCUGGUUUGUCAUUUGCCUCUUGCAACUAGAACUGAGGUUUGCCCGUAUGAUUUUUUGUUUGGGCUUAACUCAUUAUUGAGUUUAUCCUUACUCAGAAGAUUCCCCUUCACAUCCUCGAACGAGUGAUGGUAUCUCCCAUAAAUCAAAGUUUCCCUGAAAGUUUUAUAAGAAAAAGGCAAAGAGCAUAACAAUAACAUAGCUUGAUCCUUAUCACUAAUAUUUGCUUCGAGAUUCUAUAAGUCUUUAAAAAGGGUAACAAACUCGCUAAUAUGAGUUUUGAUGGACUCACCUUUAGCCAUUCUGAACAUGUAGAAAUGUUGUUUUAAUACUAACCUGUUGGCUAGAGAUUUUGUCAUAUAUAAGGUUUCUAGUUUCUUCCAUAACAUAAACGAUGUUUUCUCCUUCAAAACCUUCUAUAACACAUUAUUCGUGAGAUAUAAUUGAAUAAUGGAUAGAGUCUUUUCAUCGAGCUCUUCCCAUUCUGACUGAUCCAUAUCUACGAGCUUUUUCCCUGUAAUGACCUUUUUCAGACCGUUCUAAACCAAUAUUGUUGUCAUUCAAACUUUCCACAAACUAAAAUUUACAAUUCUUCAAACUUCUCAAUAUCAAACCUUGACGUUGCCAUCUCUAAACGGGUUGACUGUAAAAAUUAAACUAGCUCUGAUACCAUUUUGUGGGGGAAAAACCCAUUAAGCAAUGAAUAAAGUAAAUAAAAUAAGAAUCGAAAAGAUCGAACAUGUAAAUUUUGCAUGGAAAACUCCUCAAGAGAGGAUAAAAACCACGGGAAAAAACAAAUUUCACUAUAAUAAAGGAGAGUACAAAAGAUGGAGGAGAGAAUUAAAAGAAAACCCGAAGCCCUUCAAGAAAAACCCUUCAAAACAAAGAAUAAAAUUCUCUCAAUCUAAAUAAAUUUUUGUUAUGUAAAACCUAGAGUAACUAAGGACUAUUUAUAGUUGAAAUUUGUAGCAUAUAUGACUACAACAAUUAGAGUUUAAGUGGGAAAGUAGAAACAAAGUUUAACUAGGAGAAAAAUAAAUUUUGGUCAAAAUAAGAGGCAUUCUUCCACACCUUUCCAAAUAAUACCUUAAGAGAGUGUCACAAAGUUACCCAAUGGAAUAGCAAGAUACAAAAGCUUAAGAUACUCCAAAACAGCAAACAAAGUGAGACCACACUAUUGCCUAUUUAUAGGCGUCUACAAGUGAUUAUAAGAUAGUGUUUUGAUAAGCUUUAAACUCUCCUUUAAAAGUUGAAAUUAUCAAAUUAAUUAUCUUGAAUAUUUAUCACAUAAAAGACUUUAUAACCAAGUUUUCCAAUAGCUUCAAACACUCUAAAAGGUAAGGAUAAGGAUAAGUGCCCAAAUUUCGAACUCCUCUCCUUCCUAGGCUAAUCAAAUGGAUGAUAAUCAUAUUCCAAUUUACCAAGAAAUUCUCUUAUCAUUUGUUGUUAACUAAUAUUAGAACAUAAGCCAUUAAAAGUCAAACAUGCCAACACCCAAAAAUGUUGAUUGCUCCAAAAAGCUUGUUUUAAUUGUUGUUCAAACAAGUCAGUACAAUUUCCAACAAAAAUUAAUAAUAACUAAAAAAUAUUAAAAAAUAAAAAAAUAUAUUUAAUAAAUGAAAAAUCAAAUAAAACCUAAUAAAAAGCUCAACCUUUUGUUAAAAAAAAUCAAAUAACUGAUAGUGUCUAGGAGAUGAGGAGUUAUACAUUUAAAUAUAUUGUAUUAUAUUAUUAUGUCGUAUAUUAAAUUAACAUUUAUAAUCUUUUUUUUUAAGGAAACCGUUAGUCUCAUAUUUUCGUCUUCUGUUUUUUUUUUCCGGUUAACAACAAAACUAGAAAAUACUGCACUUACACAUGUAUAUAUGUUGACCAUAUCUAAGAAAUAUGUUACUGAAUCAUGUGAAAUUCAUUCCCUUGAGCCAAGAAAAAGGAACGUAAAAUCAUGUGAGUUCACGUGGCAAUUAGGUAGAAAUUAGACAACUUGUCUAUGCUUCAAUCAUUAUGAGGCAAACCAAGACAAGUUCAACUUUUUUUUUAUCCUCUCACUGUGAAACCUUUUGCAGGAAGACUUAGGAACAAUAGCUAAGCCUAAAUCCUGCUAGAAUCACAACAUAUUGUUUUGUUUAUUAAAAAAAAAAGAUGAUAUUGGUCUUUGAUAUGUAAAAUUGAUCUAUACAUGCAUUGAUGUUGAGCAAUUUUUGUUUGAGGAGUUAACCGCUACAUUAUAUAGAAGUAAUUAACGUCUUGGGGAUUUUUUAUGCAAAAAAAUAUAUACAUAAAUUUAUAUGAAAAAUACAUGGUUAAAAAAAUUUGUAAAUAAAGCCUUGACAUGGUAGGUAAAAGUGGAAGCUAUAGGCUUUGAGUAACCAUAUUCAAGACCCACCGUACACAGUUGAAUGUAUGGGUUUUAAAGUCCUAUUAUUAAUUGUUAUGUGUUGGUUUUAGUUUGAUUAAUUAUAUUAUAACUUACAUUGUUUCUGUUUAUAAUUUAUAUUUUAUGUAAUAGAUUGAUUUUUUGUCUUAAUUUUUAGUCUAUUUAAAUGAUAUAAUUGUUUAAUUCUACACUUAAUAGUUACUUUGACCUAUAUUUAUAUUUUAAUUUUUCUGUAUUUUUAAACUUUAAAAAAACAUAUAUUUAUAUAUAGAAAGUUUAUGAAUAAAAUUUCUUUUUUCGAAAAACAAUAGAAAGCAUACGCAUUUAAUAUUUGGCAAAAAUAAAGUGAGUAAUGAAAGAUUGAAUUAAGGCAAACUAUAUUUGAUAGCAUCUUUGAUUGGUAAAGCCACCAAUAUCAGAAAACCGGAAACACUAAGACUAAUACGAUGCAUUAAUCAGCGGAGUAGUUCAGCAUUAGUGAUGAAGAUGAAAGUGGUAGAUACAAACCUUUUUCAAAGCAUUAAACACACUCAACCAUAAGCUGAAACAUGAAAAAGAAAGAAAGAAACCUUGGCAUUGAAUUGGGCCAACUACCAACGCCUAACCAUAUACUAUUCGUACGUGUUUCUCAGUUCUUUUGAUAUCCCUUCACUCAACUUUUGGCUAUAAAAACCCUCCUACGCUCAAGCCCUAACCACGACAAUCAGCUAUAGUACUUCUACUCCAAGCAAGCAUUUUCCUUUUCUUGUGAUUAAUCGAUAUGGCUAGCUCAAUGUCCCUUAAGCUUGCAUGUGUGGUGGUGUUGUGCAUGGUGGUGGGUGCACCCCUGGCUCAAGGGGCCGUAACCUGUGGUCAAGUCACAAGCUCCCUCGCACCCUGCAUUAAUUACUUGAGAGGGACUGGUGCUGGUGCUAUUCCCCCAGGUUGCUGCAGCGGCAUCAAAUCUCUCAACUCCGCCGCCCAAACAACACCAGACCGGCAAGCAGCUUGCAAAUGCAUCAAAAGUGCGGCCGCCGGCAUUCCUGGCAUCAACUUUGGCCUUGCAAGCGGACUACCAGGCAAGUGCGGUGUCAACAUCCCUUACAAGAUCAGCCCUAGCACUGACUGCAGCAGGUUCGUAUGAGUUGUUUCAUUGCUUAUGCUUAUUAAUUGCUCAACAUUUAAUGGUGUGUCUUUUGUUGUUUCAUUUGCAGCGUCAAGUGAAAUUUUGGCAUGGAAUGUUCAUCAGCUAGUGGAAGCCAAAAUAAUGAUAGCUACAGAAUAAAAAUGGAUGUUUAAAAUCCAUCCGUAGGGAUAGCAGAGGAGUUAUCCUAAUUUUAGAGUUGUGCGUUGUGUACUAGGUCGGUUUUUGCGACUAUGUAAUACUAUCUUUAUCUACAAAUUAAUAUCACUCAUUAUUUUGUGUUUCUUCUAUAUGAUAUUUAUCUAUAUACCCUUCUCUCAAGCAUUUUAUAUCAACAUUCACGUGGUCUAAUAAUAAUGAAAAUCAUGAUUACUCAACCCUAAGUUUAAUUAAAUCAAUUUAUGCACCGGUUCUGUUCUUUAGUUGCAUGUACCGGAUGCAAUUCCCAUUGCAAUCUGUUUUGUAAUUGAAAGGUUAUACAACUUGCUAUAUAUAUCGACAUAUUUUUAAUUGAAAAAUUUUGGGCUCAUUCUUAAUUUACUUUAAAUCUUUAAAGUGGACUACUCCUUUGGAGACAUUUCUUUUUAAAUGAAAAUAUUAGAAAUACAAUUAAGAGAGAUUAUUCAUCUGAUCAUGUUGAAACACGGAUCAAAGUUCAAAGUUCAUGAUCAUUACGCACAAAACGUUUUAUGAAGAUUAACUGAUUAAACGAGAUUAUUAUUUGAUCCACUUGAACUUGCCUGACUCGUGGAACACAUGGAAAAGUCUAUCUACUUAAACCUUUGGAGGUUCAGUGAAACUCUCCAGUAAAAUUAGAGUUACCAGAGUAAUUAAUGUAAAGCCUAAGGGAUAAAAAUGUAUAGAGUUUAAAUCUCAUAGGACUCUCAUCUUAUAAAUAAGUACUAAUAUCAGUCGUCGAUAUAAUUUAAUCUGUAUCAUUGGAUCUAGGGGAGCUCAACUAUAAAUAGAGACCUCCUUCAUUUGUAAUCAUCUCAUUGUACUCAUGAACAAAGCCAAAAAUAUUUUUUUGGGAUAGAAUUAAAUUAUAUAUUUUUACAAUAGUAAAAAUACAAUUUCACUAAUUUAAUAGUUAUCUUUAUAAUUUUUAAAGAAUUAAAUCAAAUUUUUAUGAUGGGGAAAGUGAAAUUUUACCAUUAUUAAUUUUAAAUUUUAUAAAUUAUAAAGGGAUAUAAAUGAAAUUUUUUCUAUUUUAGAAGGGAGGUCCCUACCAGCCCUCUUAGUUUCACCACUAAUUGUACUUCAUUCCUUCUUGAGUUAAAGAAUUUAUUAAGAGUAUUUACUCAAACACCUUGUAUACAUCGUUUUCUUAUAUCUUUUCAAUUCUCUUAUUGCUCUUUCAUUUUAAGUUACUUCCACAAUAUUUUUUGCUAACAUAGAGAAUUUUUAGGAAAAUUAUCACUUUUCGAGGGUUAGGUUGACUUAGGCAAAUUUAACGAAAAGAAAUCACUUAAAACCACACGAUUUAUUUAAAUUCUAAUCCCAUAACAGUAAAGUUUUGAUAUUUGAGUAACUCAACAUUUAUGUUUCAUGAAAAUAAAAAUAAUGAGAUUCACUCCUUACAAUAAAAUUUCUAUGUUGCACCUAAUUUACCAUUCACAAUAUGAUACUCAUAAUUAAGAUUAAUACAAUACAUGGGUUUGUCAUAAUGUAAUCUGAAAUAAGAAAGUAACAUUUUUUAAAUAAAUAUAAUUAGAAUCUAUUUUAUUAGUUCUGAAUUUUCAAAGUUUAUAUUAGUUUAAAACGGUUUUAAUAAUUCUUAGUUACAUAUCGCUGAUUAAACUUUUAAAUUUAAAUUCAACCGAUUCAUCUAAUAUAAUUCUAACAACAUUAAUAUAUAAUUUUUGUAUUUUUAUAAACACAUAAUUCUAAAUAUAUAAAUUCUUAAGUUGGUGAAUUGUUUAUUUUACACUAAUUUUAUAAUAAACUAUAUGCUAAUGAGAUAAUUUAUUUUACUAAAUUAUCAUUAAUGCUCCCUGAUUAGGAAUGUGCAUACAAAUUUGAAUAUCGCUGAAGAGAUAGCGAUUGUUUGUAAUAGAGAUUUAUCGUAUAAGUCUCAUCAUAAUUUCAUUAUCUUAGAAUCUAAACACAUUUUAUACAAAAAUGUUAUUUUAAAAUUAAGUGAUGUUUUGGUUGAAAUAAUUAAGUCAAAAUUUUAAACUUAAGUUUCAAUUUUAUUAUAGUAUUUUUUUAUUUAAAAAUAUGAAAAGGCAAAAAAUACUCUCUUAUUAAUAUUUUUUUUUAUUUUAUAUUAAAACUAUUUAGUAAAUUCUCAAUAGAGUUAGUAGCCGGUUGACUCGUGACACCAACUCAACUAAGGCUUAAUAUAAGUAUAAAUAGAUGAGUAAAUUUAGAAUAAUUAUUGUUAAUGUAACUGUAAAAAUUUACCAUUACAGUGUAAUGGAUUUUAAAGGGUUGAUUCUAAAAUCUGACUCUAAAUUUUUCAUCGAGCUUUGCUCUAACAACACACUUAGACGAUGGGAUCUCUCCAACAUUCUCGGUGAAAUUAAUUUUUUUGCUACAAGUAACCAACGAGGAAAGGGUGGAGGAGAAGAGUCUCGAUUCACCUAUGAUAGGAUGAGUUAAGGAGGGAGAGAGCGAGAGAGCUACAGUUGUUGUCUAGGUUUUCAGGGGAGAAAGAGUCGAUGCUUGGUUCCUCAUGCACCAGAGCUUACAUAGGGGAUCACCCAUUGUCCUGUAGUGUCGCGUAACUGACAAUGUUGUGUCCUACAAGAUUGUGCGUGCCAGCCAAGUGACAAGGCCGUCAUAGGUCAAUUGUCAUUAUAUAGUGUAUUGUGUGAUCCUACUCUAACAUUCUUGUCUUUGGGGUUGUACGAGACUAUUACGCUUUAGUGGUCCUCACGGAACUGCGUAACGAGCUAUCUCUAGGUAGUUUAGAUAGGGUUCAUGGGAGGUCAUUUGUGAGCAAUCCUAAGCGAAGGAUCGCUACGAAAGGUUCUUAACGAAGAGUCAUACGCAAACUGCUUCCAAUGGAGAGUUGUUUGCAUAUUGCUUCAUGUCUUGCCACGUAUUGAGAUGGAAAUAUAACAAUAACAUUAAAUUUUUUUCACAUGGACUCAGAGAAGCUAAUACAAUCCCAGACGCACUAGUUAAAAUUGGCACCCAUAGGAGUCAUUUAUUUCAUGUAUUUUGGGAUAAAUUUUUGGUGUUGUUGUAUGUGUUUCUUUAUAGCAGUGGUAUGCUAGUACAGCACUUGAACAUGCCUUGCACGGAUACUUUUUAUGAAACUGUAAGUCGACUAAUAAAAACGAAGUUAUGAAUAAACUGUACAUCUAUCUACCCACCUUCUUCCCUACCAUUUAUCCCCCGCCUUACUUUGGAAAAGAUUUAGGAGGGUUUCAGAUUUUACAUUUUAAAUUUUAGAUUUAUAUUUCAAAAUCCAUAAUCAUUUUUUAAAUUUGUGGAUCUACUCUAUUUAGUUGGAAUUUUAAUAAAUCUAGAAAUUUAAUAUAUUUAUGCUAAUAUACGCAUUACAUUCAUUUAAUUUAAAUAUAAAAUGACAUUAAAAUAUACAUGAUCUGAAACAUAUUAUUAUUAGACUUUUAGUCCCACCAUUUGCAAAUGUUAUUUGUGAGUUUAAAUCUCAUCAUGUAUUGGUUCUCUUCAAAAAAUUUUGAUUUAAAUCUAAAUAUAUUUAUGUUAUCAGUUAGUUAUGCUUUGUACUAUAUAUAUUCUAUUUUUAAUUGAUCAAAUAUAUAUUAUUUUUUAUUGCACUAGUAAACUAUUUAAAGAAAAUGUUAUUAUUAUUAUUUCCUUGGCUUUUCUUUUAUUUAUUUGGAACAUUAAAAAAUGAAAGGCUUUUCUUUAACUCCAUAUUCGUAUAACUUUUUUUUUAAAUAUUAUAACUAAUUUUAUAAUGCACACAAAAAUAGACAAAGAAUUUAUAAUUUUUUUUUAAGAAGACAGAAUUUAUAUUUAAUAUAAAAUCAAUCCUCGUUGAAUAGGAUUGCUUAUUACGACACACCUGUAAGCUCAUUAAAAUCAAUUUGGGGUUAGUAGAGAUAUAAAUCAUAUCAUUAAUUAUUUUUUUAUAUUGAGUCGGUGUGAUUUAUGUAAUUUAUUAUUCUAAUUCAUUUUAGGGAAUUUUUUAUGUAUAAAUCUUGUGUUGAAAUCAUAUAAUUUAUCUUACAAUUAUGAAUUUAUCUUUUGACGCGUCGAAAAUUAUUUAUUUGAAGGUUUUAUUAAAAAAUAUUAUUUAUAUUAUUUAAUAUUAUCGUCAAUAACUUUUUAUCCAGUGACUAGAAUAUUAUGAUAUAAAUAUUAGAGUUUAGGUUUGAUGACAAAUAAUUUUAUUCUCCACCCUUAAUUAUCCAAUAUAUAUAUAUUUCAUAUUACUUAAUUUUUUUAAAGUCAAAUUUUAUUAAAGAAUGAAUAUGAAAAAAUUAAAAAUAUUUCUUUUCUAAAAUAAUUUGACAAGCAAUAAAGCAUAAAAAAAAUUCCAUAAACAAUAAUUUCGAAUAAUAAAUUAUAAACUUUUGAUAAAGAUGUACUCAAAUAUCUUAAUAACUAAUAAUAAAAUAUGUAUAUAUUUUUUAAUUUCAUGUUUAAUUUAAAAUUUUUAAAAUAUUUCUUCAUAUUACAAAUGUAAUUUGUCUCCCUUUUUUACAAUAGUUGGAUCACUCUUCAUAAUAUACACAAUAAUAUAUUAUAAAGCAAUUUAUAAACAAUAAUAUAUUAUUUAUAAAAUCUUUUAAAAAUUAAAAAUUAAUUCACACGAUGAAUCUGUGCAUCUAAACAUAUCAACUACUUAAUAAUAUAUUUUGCAUACAAUUUGAUAAUAGUCCAAUUUGAAAAAAUAUAUAUUUUUGUGCUUUCUCAUAAAAUUCUUAAAUAACCCAUAAAAAGAUAUUAUAUGUUUUAAGUGCAUCUGAAUUUUUUCAACUUUAGAGUUAUUACAAAAGCAACAAAACCAAUUAAAUUAAUAUUUGGUUGGUUAAAGUUUAGGCGUUAAUAACUUAUUUUAUAUAGAUAUAAAAACAUUCAUACAUUCGUAUAGUGUUCAUAAUAUUUUUAUGCCAUUUAAUGUAUGAAUUGAUUUUCCAUAUCUUCUUUGUAUUGUUAAUUUUAACACUAUAUUUUUUUACAAAAAUUUAAAUUUUUAUACAUAUAUAAUAUUAAUAUAAAAUUUAAUUUAAUUUUCAAAAAGCUUUGAGCCAACAUAUUCAAAUUAGUCAACAACCUAACAAAACAAGUGGUUGAGGUUGCUUGUUGGCGCUGAUAUAGAUCCGACUAAUGUCAUUCACUACGAAAAUAAUGGAAAAGGCCACCUGUGGGGCCAACUAGGUAGAUAUAUUAUGAAUUGAAUGACAUGUGGCUGGUUGUAAUACCUCAUUGCAUUCAUUGCUUCAUUCACCCCCUAUUGAAAGUGAUAGAUUUUUUCUUUUAGGGAGAUUUAACUUACAAAUUCAUACUCUCUUUUUUUUUUUAUCAUAAGAGGUGUUUAAACUGUUUUUUUUUAAGUUUGGUAUUUCGGUUUAAUCAAAUUAUUAAGUUAAAAAAAUUUUAACCCAUUAAUUAGUAUCUAAGCUACAUAUUUUUUUCAAAUUGAUACCUAAACAUUUUUUUAUCCUACGUGGUACUUAAAUUAUUCUUUCAUUUUCCAUUUAAUACCAAAAUAUUAUAUUCAUUAAAAAAAUCUAAUCAAUAAUAGAUUGACAUGUAAAAUUUUAAAAAAAUAAUUAAUUCUUCUCUUCUCUUCUCUUUUUUUUUCAAUUAUUUCCCUCAUUUUAACUUUUUAUUUUUUUUUUCUUUCUUCUUCCUUUAUAAUGUCUAACAAUGACAACAAAUGCAAUGCUCAAAAUUCGCCCUCGUGAGGUUAAGACUAUGGAAAUUAAUUUUCUUUUCGAACUAUAUCGCUUGUAUGUUAGACCUGACGAGAUCGUAAAAAUUCUUUCAUUGAUCAAAACCAAUUUUUUUUCAGAAUCAGGCUAACAGGUCAUACUUUUGUAGGGGUGAGCGUCUAAUCGAAUCAAAUAGAAAAAUUUCGAUUUAAUCAAGUUGACGAGUCCUAUUUUAUCAUCUUAAAAUGAUUUAAAAUUUUAUCGAAUCGAAUCGAAUAUAUUUGUCUCCAGUUAAUUGAAAAAAAUUCUUUGGAUCCUUGUAGCCACUGUCACUCAUCAUAAUCAAAUUUGUCCAUCGUAAUCAAAUUUGUUAUUAACUUUCAUCCCUUCAUAAUUUAUUUAUUAAUCUUUUAUAUACGGGUUAGCUUCUUUGCUUGCUUAGUUGCUUCAAUUAUCUUUUAAUUCUUGUCACUGUGUAUUUUGAAAUUAAAAAAUAUAUUAAAUGUAAAAAAAUAUUUUUUUAAUAAAAUUUAUUUUAAAGAUAAAAUGUGAAAUUGGUACCAAUAGAAAGUUUUAACACAAAUAUUGUAUGACAUCACCAAUGAUACAAUUUUAACAGAAAUUGAUAAAGAUUCAACAUGAUUAAACAACUUAAUAAUAUAAAUAAUACAAAAUGUGAAAUUUAAUUUAUAAUAUAAAUAAUAGCCAUAAAUAAAAUUAUUACUAUUUAGGUCUAAGGAUUUUUUUUGGAGGAUUUUGAUUUUUGAUUUGGGGAUAAAGGGUGAGAAGUAAAAGUUUUGGGGGAAAAGUAGAAGGGUUUGGGACGGGGUAGGGGUGGGGGUGGGGUUGAGGCUGGGGGAAGGGGAAUAAAAGUUUCGAGGGUAAAGUUUGGAGGUUUGGGGUUGUAACACCCCAAACCCGGCCUAGAUGUUAGGACCAAGCCUGGAAAGCUACAACAAAUCAUUCCAAAAAAUGUCACUUUUAACUAAUUAAAGUUUAAUUGUCAGAAAAUGUUUAAAUAGUUGAACUAAUGUAGAAAUAUAAAUUUGCAAUCUGUAAUUCAAGAUAAACAACUAUAGUAUAAGUUUAAUUAAAGCGGAAAAUUACUAAGUAAGAAUGACUGAGCUCCCGCCACGGCGACCGGCCUAAGUCGAUGAGUUACCAAAAAUUCAGUCAACAGACAAAAUGAGUCGGUAAACACAACAUGUAAAUUAUAUUUUUAUUAAGCAAAACAACAGAACAUAUCUUCAGUUUUUCAAAAUUCGAACAGUUUUCAAAAUCAUAUACGGAAGCAGAACAGAAUAUGUCAGUUACACACCAUCUCCAUCCAACCCUACACACCAAAAAGGUAUGGAAUGCCCAUUCAUCCCUACACACCACAUAGUGACCAUAUGUCAUGUUCAAAAGGUUACAAACUAAAUUCUAGGACAGAAUGUGAAAGUCGCCAAAAUUAGAUACAUUUACGUGGCUUAGCCACCAAUCUUAGUAGAUUAUUUAACUGCCACAACUUCCUCCUUAUUCAAUCCCAACCCCAAUGCAGAUGCAAAGUUACAGAUACAGAUAUAAGCAUAGAUGUUACAGAUUCAGAUUAUACUCAGUUAACACAGAAUACAACUAUUCGCUAGUUUACAAUUCUAUGAUGUAUAUAAAAUAAUAGUUUAUACAGAAACAAAUUACUAGUCAAUGGGUUUUAUAACCCAAAUCGGAUCAUACAAACCCUAAGGUAAGCCUACGUUCGACUGGAACGACGUUUAUAGCCCUAACGAAAAAUUUGAAAUUUUGACCCAUACACUUGUGUGGAUUCACAUGUCUUGGAAGGCUGGCCUAUGUGGCACACGAUCUAUAACAUGGCCUGGCACACGACCAUGUGGCUCAAAAAAAUGAGUUACACAGUCUAGCACAUAGUCAAGCACACGUUCAUGUGACUCAAUUCAUAAAAUUUCCUUCAUAUGGCCUGGACACACGAACGUGUCCUAGCGCGUGUGACUCUAAUCCACAAAUAGUAAGUUACACGACCUAGACACAUGCCCACAUCCUUGGCUUGGUGACCCUAAUACACAAACAGUAAGUUACACGGCUAUAUGAUUAACAACCAUGUGUUCCAGUGUUCGCAAAUCAUAAAAAAAUGCGUUUUCUUUAAACACUUGAUGUAGUUUCGAUGUAGAAGCAACACACAAGAAUUUGGAACCUAAAACGACAAUUAAUUGACCAAUUAAACGACUAAUCAACUCAAAAUUCCAAAAUUAGCACUCAAAACUAACGUACGUCGAAAACUUCGAUGCAACCAACCAAAGCAGAAAUUUUCGCUUAUUGACAAGCGAGCAACAAUAGUUCAGACCUAAUUUCGCAGGAAAACAUUACUUUUGAAACCUUUUCCUAAAAGAAGAUCCAUUAGAACUAUUAACGAGAUUUUACAAUGAUUGGCAGUAAUAUCGAACCUCGACGAAACAGAAAAAGUCUAGCAAAAAAUAGGCAGAAAAAAACAACAGAAAUUACGAAAUAUCCUUGCAAUCAACGUAAAAAACCACACAGAUUUCCCAAUUAAGCACGAUAGCAAACUUACGGAAGCAAUCAAGCAAGAAAGGUGUAAUAGCCCAUUUUUAGUAAAAUCAGAACAGUGGUUUCGGGACCACAAAUCUAGAGUCAAAAAUAUAAUUUUAUUAUUAUUUUAUGGUCUACAUCAUGAUAUUAUUACAGUAUAAAAAUUUUGUUAAGAAAUUUUACCGUUUACAUGUUCAAUUUGAUAAAAAGGACUAAAUCGCGUAAAGUGCAAAAGUAGAGUUUUAAUAGCUAAAGGUAUUAAAUAGCUAUAUAAAUUUAAAUUAGAGGUCCUUAUAUGGUAAUAACCCAUAAAUGUGUUAGUGGAAUGUCAUGGCUUGGUAAACUUGUAAAUUGAAAUAAUUUUAAAGGUCAAAUAAAUAAUUAAGUAAAUAAAGGCAAAAUUUAGUAAAAUAAAGCCAAGUAUAAUCUUUUAUCCUCUUUAUUCAACCGAUUAGCUUAGAAAAAGAAGCCAUUUUUUCUCUUUAUGGUUCGGCAAGCUUGUUUCCAUCAAUUAGGUAUGUGUUUUGUCCCCCCCUUUUUUUAUAAUUUCUAUGUUUCUAGGAUCGUUGUAACUUAAUCUAGCUAGCCUGGGAAUUAAUUUGUGAAAAUGUUAAAGUAUUUGAGUUUUACUAUUGAUGAACAUGUUAGGGUUUUGAAGUUUAAUAGUAUAAAAUAAAUGGUUGUUGUUAGAUAAACAACCUUUUUAAAGGAAUUUUUUAUGAAAUUAUCAAUUAGGGAUUAAAUUAAAAAAUAUGAUAAAUUUGUGGUACAAUUUUGAAUUUGUGAAAUAUAUGGGCAGCUAUAAAUAUGUUUAUAGUUCGGCUAGGCUUGGGUUUGGAUAAAAUCGAAUGAAUUUCAUUUUUCGAGCCUACGGACUAAAUUACAAAGUAUUAAAAGUUACCAUUUUGCCAAAAAUGUAUGCUGGACUAAAUUAAAAAUGAAUUAUAUUGAAUUGAGUUAAAUUAAUUCGUAUAGAUCCGGUUAGACCUCGUAUGGAGUUCUAUUAGGGCAAAGGAAAAAUAUCAGAUUAGUCGCCUUCGUAUCUACGUACACUUGUCGAGGUAAGUUCAUGUAAUUAAAUUGUGUAAUUAUAUGCUUUGAUUGAAUUAGAUGUAUGUUAUUUGCAUUAUCAUCAUAAAUGAAUAUCGAUCGCAUAUCUGAUGACGUACGACGAUUACCGAGCCCCAUUUGAACCUUAAGAAUUAGUAGGAUAUAAAUAACAUGUCAUUAGGGUUAUCGAUUUCAGUUCUUAUGAGCUUACCGAUACUCAGCUCGUAUGAGCUUACUGUUAUUCAGCUCGGAGGAGCUUACUGUUUACAGCUCGUAUAAGCAUACAUGUACAUGAGUUGAUGAAUUACAGUUUAAUACACCUCGUGUGUACUACUACAUAUCCAAUAAUAAUCUAAAUGGUUCAACGUGCACUGUUCUGUUAUGAUAUUACAUGAGUUCAAUACGAACUAAUACAGGUAUUUACAUAAGAUAUAUGAAAAUGAUUUGUACAUGAUAUGUAGAUACAUGAUGUGAAAAUUAUAUGUACAUGGAAAUUUGAUAAUUGUUGAGCUCAUACAUGUUUCUUGAUAUUUAUAUGAAUUACAUGACUAAAAUGGUUGAUCAAGAUAUGUGUUUAGGCUUCUAUCCAAAUUGAGUUUGGAUAUGUUUUGUAUGCUUACCUUAAAUGUGACUAAAUGGUAAGUUAAAUUCUAUGUUAUACGAACUUACUAAGCUUAAAUGCUUACUCUGUGUUAUUUUUCGUGUUUUUAGUGAUUCAGAAGCUCGUUCGGGUUGGAAGCUUGUCGGAGCUAUAUCACACUAUCCAUUGGCUCUUUUGGUACACUCAAUUGUUUAAUUUCAGUUAUAAUGGCAUGUAUAUGUUAAUUUGGCCAAUGUUGGCUUAUAUGUGUUUUGUUGAGAUUAGCCAUUUGUUUGGUUUGUGUUAUAGAAUUUUAGAUAUGUUCAUAUUUUGCUUAUUAUAGUUGACGUGUAGUUUGGUUCAUGAUUGAAUAAAGAGUGGUAAAAAGGUAGCCUAAUGUGCAUUUCAUAUAUGUGUUUUGGAAUGUGAAGAAUUGAUCAUGAAUUAGUGUCUGGAUAUGUAAGGCAUAUAAGUUAAAUAUGUUAGUAUGUGAAAUACAAUUUGGCAUCAAAUGAUGUGUUUUGGAAGGCAAGUAAUUUGGUAAGAAAUGAUGUAAAUCUGCUUAAUAAACUUUGGAUGCAAAUAUGCAUAUAAGUGAGUUAAACAUUUGGAUAUAAUGAAUACAUGAAAAUUCUUAUUAUAAGUUGUCAUUUGAGGUGCCUAAGGGCAUAUUGGUUGUAUGUAAUAAUAUUACAUGUUUUAAGCUUGAUUUUGGCUGGUUUUGGAUGCCUAUUUAUGACUUGGUUAUAUGCAAAAUGUUGUGUUUAGGUUGGUACCAAGUUGGGUGAGAAAUGUGGCUUGGAAAAUGACCUAUUUUCAUACACAUGGGUAGAGACACGGGCGUGUGUCUCAACCGUGUAGGUGAUAUGGCCGUGUGUCCCCUGUAUCUUUUAAAGAAUGCAAGUUAGUAUGCUCACACGGCCUGGCACAUAGGCGUGUGGCUUGGCCGCGUAACCCAAGUCAGUGAGUUACACGGGCAUGGACACAGGCUGGGACACGGUCUUAUGUCCCUAUUUCGAAUACCCACACAACCUAAGACACGGGCGUGUCUUUUGGCCGUGUGAGUCACACAGCCUGGCCACACGGCCAUGUGACCCCUGCAGUUUUGAAAUUUUUAUAAGUUUCUGAAAACUUCUCUGAAUUUUUUAUUUAGUCCCGAAUUAUUUCUAAGGUGUAUUUUGGGUCUCGAGGACUUGUAUUAGGGACAAUAUGCAUUAUUAUGAUUGGUUUCUGACAUGAAUACUAUAUGUUAUGAAAUGUUUGAAUUUUCUGUCCAUUUAAAUUGUAAACUUCGGUAAUACUCCUAACCCUAUUCCAGCGACGGAUUCGAGUUAGGGAUGUUACAAAAGGAGAAAAAGAAAAAAUAAGGAAAAGAAUUGUAAGGAAGGAGAAGAACAAAAAAUAAAAAUAAAAAAACUAAAAAUAAGUUUUAAACAAAAACAAUUAUUAAAAUAAAAUUGAUUUCCCGAUAGCACACCAAAAUAUUUCCUUAUUUCUUAUGCAGAGACUCAAACAUGAGACCUUAGGUAAUAUAAAACUUAAUCAUUAAACCAGAUGACUCAUUCUUGACACAAAUUAAUGUAGACACAAACUUAAGUCAAACAUUCAAGAAUAAGAGUUGAAACAAAAGAAUAAUAAAAUUCUCUAAAAGUACGACUUGAACCCUCGAUCCAAAAACCAACACAUAUAACUUAACCACUGAAGCAGAUACUUGCUUAUAAAUAGACACUAAUAGUAACAAUUCAAAAUUUGGGGCGUUACAGGGGCAGACAAAGAGGAAAGAGUAAAUUUUUGGGGGAAAAGUAAAAAUGUUUGGGGUUUGGGUUUUGAGGUAAAAUGUAAAAUAUUAUAGUUUGGUAUUCGGCUUAAUCGAAUUAUUCGGGUUAUUUGAAUUCAAAAACUCAACUUGACUCGAACUUGAAAUUAAAAAAAAUCUAGUUGAUUUGAUUAAUUCGAUUAGAAUAAUUCAAAAUUCGAGCUUUUUUCAAUUUUUUCGAGUCUAUUCAAAUUUUGCUCACCCUUAAUACUGGGAACCAAUUAGGAUACUAGUUUGGAGAUAGGGCUUGAACCAAUUAACCUGCAAACUGAUACAGAUUUAUUGAGCCGAGCUAAAAAAAAACUAGUUGAACUAGUUUUCUCUAUUUUUUAUUUUUAUCUUUAUGAAUUUUUAAUAAUUGAUUUCAUCAAACUGGAUAAAUUGAUUAAACCAGUAACUAAUGAUCUAGCUAGUUUGAAUAUGGUAAUUUUUAAUUGGUUAUCAUUUUUUAAAUAGACUUAACGAUUUGAGUAAAAUUUAAACUAACAAAUGUAUCAAUUUGAGAAAAAAUAAAUUAAGUACCACAUGUGACAAAAAUGUUUAAGUAUCAAAAUAAAAAAAAUAUAAUUUAAAUACAAAUUUGUAGAUUAAGGUUUCUUUUAACAAACUUAACGGAUUAAGGAAAUUAUCAAUUUGAGAAAAAAAAUAAUUUCGAUAACAGUCGCUGGUGACAAAAAAGGAAUUAACUACCAAAAUGAGAGAAAAGGGAAAAGAUUGAUAUAAUGUGAAUUGAAUGACAUGUGGCUGGUUGUAAUACCCAACAAGCUUUAACAGGUGUCACUGAUUAAAAUUAUAUCAUAUGUAUUCUAUCAAAAAUAUAUUAUGUAAAAUUACAAUUUUUAAAUUUAAUAAAAAAAUAUAUUAAAAAUUUUAACUCCGGCCAAAACGUGAAAUAAAUCGUUUUUUAACAGUGUUUUGGAAAAAAAAAUUAGGGUUAAGUACCGAAAUGAUCACUAGAGUAUUACUUGUGUUUUAUUUUGAUUACUAAAUUUUUAAUUAUUUUUAUUUUAGUCACUAAACUAUAUGAAAUCAAAUAUUUUUGUCACUAAAUGUUAAUGACCGUUUGAAAAUUUUUCGAAAGUGUUGAAAUGUGUUAUUUUUUAUUUGUCUAAUAAAAAAUUUAAUCUUCUUUACACAUUCUAUCAAUUUGAUUCUAAAUAUAAAAAAUCAAUAAAUUUAACACCAAAUGUUUACAAAAUUUGUCACUUUAGUUCAAAUUCUAAAAAACAAAAUUAAUAAAUUUAGCUCUUAACAUUUACAAAAUGAAAAUUUUUAAUUUUUAAAAAUUUUGUAAAUUAAAAAGAAAAACAAGUGUAAUAAUUGUAAAAAUUAUUAACAAUUAAAAAAAUCCAUAAAGCCGUUAGCUACCUCAUAGUCAGUGCCAUUUAAAAACAUGCUUAGCCAUAAUAGUACAAGAAUUAAUGAAAAAGUAGAGUAAAAUUCAAAACAAUCAAUCUUAUCGAUAUACUUUUUCAAGGCUUUUAAUGUAAACUAAAAAUUCUUGUCCCAUCUUGUUCUUCUUCUUUUUUCUACAUUGGUUUAAAUUAUUAUUUGCUAUUAAGACAUUGUCAAUUUCAGUAUUUGUCUCAUUGCUUGAUCUUCACAAGAAAUUCUAGAAACAUAGUAUUGUGUUUUUGAGAAACCGUGAACCUUGUUUUGUUAAUCUAGGUUUACACCAAAUUUCAUUAUUGUACUCUACUUGUGAUUUAUUUGUGAUUCUUUUUUCAAUUUCUUGUAUUUGAAAAUAGAGUAUUAGUGAUUUUUUAGUACUGCUGCUAGUUAUGUAUGAAGUUGCUCAAAUUUAUGUGUUUAGCCAAAGGGUAGGGGAAUCAAUGCAUCCGCUACACUUACUUUCAAUGUUUCGCCUUGUCUUGGGGUUAAACUAAAGUUGAAGUCUCAUUUUAAAGUUGAGAGAUUAGAUCGUGGUGAUGAUAAUUAUUUCUUUUUUUUUUUUAAGUUUAUUUAGGUUUGUGUGUUGAGUUUUUUAAAAAAAAAUUUACAAACUUUUAAAAAUCAAAUCUUGUCAUUUUGUAAAUGUUGAUAGUUAAAUUUAUUGAAUUCUUUUAGAAUUUGAAUUAAAAUGAAAAAUUUUGUAAACAUUGAGGGCUAAUUUUGUUGAAUUUUUUUAUAUUGAAGACCAAAUUGAUAGAAUAUAUAAAUAUUAAAAAACUAAAUUUAUUAUUAGACCAAUAAAAAAAAACCAAUUCCACACUUCUUUUAAAUUUCAAACUGCUCUUAACAUUGAGUGAAGAAAAUAUUUAGUUUUAUAUUAUUACCAAAAUAAAUAAAAAUAAAAAUUCAAUCAACCAAAUAAUCUAUAAAUAGAUUUAGAAUGUUGCAUGAUAUAUAUAUUAAAAAAAAGAAAAAAAAACGAUGCAUGUGCCCUAAUGUUGUGAAGUUUUUUUUUUCAUUGAAAAUAACAAAAUAACUAUUUGUUUAUAUUUUAUAUUAGUUCUAUGGCAUACCGCGUGGAAAAGGAAAAUUCAUGUAAAUAAUAUAUUUAUAAAAAUUUAUAUUAAAACUAAAUGAGAUUUUAGUUGAAAUAGUUAAGUUAAAAAGUGUAAAAUUUAUGAGCUAUAAGUUUAAAUCCUAUUGUAGUGUUAUUUAUAAAAAAAAUGAGAAAAGAUAAAAAUACCUUUAUAUUAAUAUUUGUUAUAUUAUAAAAUAAGGAUAUUUUUAACAAAUUUUCAAUUGAAUAGAUGUUUGGGUGAAUCCUAAUACCAAUUAAAGUAUAUAUACACAAACAAUUAUAAAUCAAAUUACUUUUAAUAAAAUGCUAUCAUUCAAUUCAAUGACAAUAAAUGCAUUUAUAAAUACAUCAAAUGUAAAUCUCAUGUUUAUAAGAAAACACGUAGAAAAAAAGUUAAACCAAUAUUUGAGUCCUAGCUGUGGAGGCAUGAUUGAGUGAAAUCAAAUGGACGCUGGUUUUAAUUCUAUUGAAAGAAACCAAUAAUCACGUAGGUUGGCAGUUGAACAUAAUUGAAUGGUCUCAACUUUUAAUGUGGUGUUAAUGUUUGGAUCGGAUAAUCUCAACUUACCUAAUAGCUAGGAAAGUAAAAUUCAAACAUCACCCGCUACUACUUUUGGCUAUAAAAACCCUCCUACCCUCAAGCCCUAACCACGACAAUCACCAAUAGUACUACUACUCCAAGCAAGUAUUUUCCUUACACGUUUGUUUUUCUUGUGAUUAAUCGAUAUGGCUAGCUCAAUGUCCCUUAAACUUGCAUGUGUGGUGGUGUUGUGCAUGGUAGUGGGUGCACCCCUGGCUCAAGGGGCCGUAACCUGUGGUCAAGUCACAAACUCCCUCGCACCCUGCAUUAAUUACUUGAGAGGGAGUGGUGCUGGUGCCGUUCCCCCAGGUUGCUGCAGCGGCAUCAAAUCUCUCAACUCCGCCGCCCAAACAACACCAGACCGGCAAGCAGCUUGCAGAUGCAUCAAAAGUGCGGCCGCCGGCAUUACUGGCAUCAACUUUGGCCUUGCAAGCGGACUCCCAGGCAAGUGCGGUGUCAACAUCCCUUACAAGAUCAGCCCUAGCACUGACUGCAACAGGUUCGUAUGAGUUGUUUCAUUGCUUAUGCUUAUUAAUUGCUCAACAUUUAAUGUGGUGUUUCAUUUGCAGCGUCAAGUGAAGUUUUGGCAUGGAAAGUUCACCAGCUAGUGGAAGCCAAAAUAACGAUAGCUACAGAAUAAAUAUGGAUGUUAAAAUUCCAGAGUUAUGCGUUGUGUACUAUGCCGCUUUAUGCGACUACGUAAUAUAAUCUUUAUCUACAAAUUAGUAUCACUCAUGUCUCCAUUCCCCUUCUUUCAAGCAUUUUAUAUCAACAUUCACGUGAUCCAUAUUUCAUUCCUUAAAAAAAAAAAUUAAGAAAACAAAAAUUAUGAGAUUCACUCCAUAUAAAAAAAAUUCAAUGUGGCACAUAGGAAGUUUAUCGUUUCAUAAUACGAUACCCAUAAUUAAAAAGUUCAUUUAUAUUUGUAACUAGGGUUGAAAUCAUAAAAUUAUUUUUGUGUAAGUUUGAAUUUAUAUUUUACUAAAAAAUAAUCUUUAUUAAUUGUAAAACUUUAUAAAAGAAAAUAUGAGUUUACCUAACCGUAUAUCCCUAUAUGUUGCAUUGUGGGGUUAAAGUCUUUGCAUGAUAAAUCCAUUAUCUUCAUAUAUCUUGUAUUGUGGGGUUAAAGUCUUCGCACGAUAAAUCCAUUAUCUUAAAAUCUUAGAAGAAAAUGAGUGAAUGUUGGAAGUUUAUUCUUAAUGUAAUUCUAGAAACUAAUUUAAUUAUUAUUAUUAUUAUUAUUACAAAUUUGUGCCUUUGUAAAAUAAAUAUAUACUUCUAUUUUUAUUUUUACAAAAUACAAAUAUUAAAUUUUAAACCUUAUAAACUUUUAACCAUAAAUUUUUAAUCGUUAAACCUAAACCCCACCUCUAAUAUAAAAUCCUUUGUCCACAAACUGUUCCAAUCAUUUGGGAAAGAGAAAAUCAAACUGUAAGCCUACUAAUAAUAUAUCGUUAUGAUUAUUUAACAUUUGUUACUUGAUUUUGAUAUUUUUCUUAUAAUUUCAUACUUAAUUUUUUUUAUCCAAUUUCACACUUAAACCUUUUAAAUAUUAUACAAAUUACCUCAAAAUACUAAUGAUAUUAAUUUUUUUAUGAGGGAAAAGAAACAGCUAACGUAUGGUUGUCAUGUGACAAAUGAUAUGGAAUUUAAUGACAGGGAUGAUUACAUUUAUUUGAAGUUUUCUCUAUUUUUUUAAACAAUAUGUUCACAAUUUACAUUUCAUCAAGCCUGAGAUUACUUUGACAGUUAAUGGCAAGAGUGUUACAAGAGGAACCAUAUGCUUAAAGCAUGACCUAGUUUUCAUAAAGCCCUCAAGUCCCAUAAAAAUAGGAAAAUUAUGUUAAAAAAUUGUACCUACGCUUAAUAGAAUAUUGAAAAAUAAAAAAAUAAUUUUAAAACCCAAAAAUAAAAAGAAAUUCAUUAUUAAAUUAAAAAGGUAAAAUAAAAAAAUUAAUUAAACUAAAAGUAAUUCAACAAUUAAAAUACAAAAAAUCAAUCUCAUGUCAUCCGUCAUAUGUUAAUCAUACAUUGAUUAUAUUUGCACCUCAUAAAUAUAAAAUUAUUAUAUUGGAGUAAUUUGUAAAACCUUUAACAAGUUAGAUACCAAAUUGAAAAAAAGAAGAAGCUUAAGUGCUAAAUUAAAAAAUAUAUAUUAAGUUCGAGAAUUAAAUUGAAAAAAAAAGCAAGGGUACCAAAUAAGCUAAGACCCACACUCAACCCGACUCCUAUUAAAUAUCUCUUCGUCUCACUUCGGCAAGAGACAAAGGAUAUAUAGUUUACACUACUAAAAUUCAACUGUAUAUGUAAUAGGCCAAUUUUGGCCUGGCCUAGUUAAUAAAUAAAACCCAAACAAAUAAAUAAUAAAAGUCUAAAAUUUACAGUCCAUUUUUACAAACAUCAGGGCCCAAUUUACAACAUGCAUAGCCCAAAUAAAAAAAAACUACCCAAACCCAAUUACAAAGCCCAAAACAAAUCAACCCUAGCCCACUCAAAACAUUUCAGCAAAAAAAGUAAACCCUAGUCACAUGCCUUCAGCCGCCGCUUCUCCCACACGUUACCCUCGACCACUGCACGCACGUCUGUCACCGCCCUUCCGCACGUCUGACAUCUCUGACGACCUGCAACACGCAAGCGAAAGAAGCCAAGCAGAAGAACCAAGAAGAAACGACAAAAAAAAAGAGGAAGCAAACAGUUUAUGACACGACUAUAAAAGCCGAAAUAAGUCCUUUGUAAUUUUUUUAAGCAUACUAGAAAUAAAAAAGUAGAACAGAAGUUUCGAAAAGGUGUUAUUUUGAUCCUAUUCUUUUUGUCUCGAUUCAUUUUUCUAGUUUCCUUUUAUUUAUUCUUAACACGAAUCUAUUUUUAAAAUAAAAAAAACAAGGCAAAGAUUUCCAAAGGUGACCCUUUUUUUUAAAAUCUAAAAUUUUUCUACCUUUUUUGUUUUUUUAUUCUCAUUAUUUCUCACGAAAAAUAAAGAGAACAGAAAUGAAGGAUUUACUUGGGCUGUUUCGCACUCUGGUCGCCGAAAACUCCCUCUCCGGCGUCGAAAUCGUCUUAGGAAGAAGGUGACAAGGGCCUUUCUUUCGAUUUUCUGGUUAGGAAGGCUUUGCCUUCGGUUUCAUUUUCUUGAAAAAGGUUAAAAAGGCCGAAUUUAAGGGUAGCUCCGACCACCGUCCACGGCGGGGAGCGGAGGUCCGAUGACGUACGAUGAUGGGUUUUAUAAACCCUAGCAGAGAAAAUAAAUGGGAGGGGGGCUGCUUUCUAUUUUUUUUAAAAGAAAAAGAAGCAUGUAAUAGCCCAAUUUAGACCCUAAUCAGAAUGGUGGUUUCAGGACCACGAAUUCGAGUCAGAAAAAUAUUUAAAUAUUAUUUUUCGUGUUUAUUAUAUGUGAAUUUGCAUGUGUGAAAUUUUCGUGUAAAAAUUUGAUUGUUUGUGUGCUUAAUUUAAUAAAAGGACUUAAUCGCGUAAAUUAAAAACUUGAUAGUGAAAAGCAUAAGGGCCAAAUUGUUAAUGGCUUUGUAAGUUGAAGCAUUUAAGUGGCAAUUUGACCAUAUUUAGUUAGAUGGACGGUUGUGACCAUGCAUUAAAAUGGUUUUAUAUUUUUAUAUCUUAAGGUUAAUUUGGUAAAUUAUGAAUUAAUAAUGUUAUAAUAAAACAUAAAAAUAAAACCACCAUGCAUUUGUUCAUCUUUUUGACUGAAAGUUGUGAAAGAAAGAAAAGAAAAUAAGCUUGGUGAUAUUCAGCCAUUUCUCAAGCUUGAUUCAAGGUUAGUUUGGUUUCGGUUUUUGAUAAUUUUUACGUUUUUGAAAUUGUUACUUCGAAUACUAUCUGACCCAUGCUAGAAUUUUUGAUUUUGAUGAAUGUAUUGAGCUGUGCCAUUGAUGAAUAUUUGUGUUUUGUGAUGUUUGAUGAUGAAAUAUUAAAGAUAUGUUUUAGAUUAAUAUGUUUUGUAUUGGAAUUUUUGAUGAUUUUGAGUAAUUAGAACUAAAUUGUAAAAAUAAUAAAUUAAGGGACUAAAAUGUGAAAUAAACAAAAUUUGAGGACUUGUUUGGGUGUGGGGAGUAUUCGGCCUAAGUAUAACAUGAGAAAAUUAUGCUUGUUUUGUGUUUUAUGCAAAUAGGACUAAUUUGUAAAAGUAUGAAAUAUCAGGGGUAAAAUGGUAAUUUGCCCAUUUAUGUGUUGUUGGAUUAAAUUGAAUGAAAUUGUGUUUGAAUGAGAUAAAUUUGAAAUUUUAUAGAUCAAGAAUAAAAGAAAUCGGACUUGGAUCGAGGAAAAACAAAAAUAGUCGAAUAGUCGAUUUACAUCGUUCGUCGAUAUCCAAGGUAAGUCUUUAAGCAAUUAAACAUCAUUAAUUUUGAAUGUAAUUUAGUUUAAUAUACUGAUUCGGAAUUUAUGGAUUUGUAAUAGAGUUAGACGAAUGUGAAAAAGUAUAUAAAUAAUGUAUUUGAGUUUAACUCGAUUGAGUUAUAACAUUUGAAAGUCCGUAUGAACUAUAUGGAAUAUCUGAAAUGUUUGAUAUAUGAAAUGUUUAUGAGACAACUUUAUAAUAAUGAUAUUCGAGCUUUGAGCCUAGCAAGCCUUGUGUUGGUGAAUUUAAUCGGGCUUGACGCCCAGUAGGCUUAUUACCGUUGUAUAAAAUCAGACUUUGAGUCUAGCAGGCCUUGUGCAGAUGUGAUACAGGCUUAGGUCUAGCAGGUUUUAUACCGGUGAAAUAUUAUAAGUCUAUGCCUAAAAGAUUUUAUGUUGAUGUGAUAAAUGAAUAUGUUGAACGAGCUAAAACGAUCAGGUACGUGAUAGCUAGACUACCUAUUUGAAAACAAGAUGAAUUUAUUCCUUGAUAUGUGAUGAAAAAGAAUUCAUGAAUUUAAUGUAGUACAUGUGCUAAUGUGAGAAAUAUAUUUGAUCUUAUAAUUGUACAUGAAGGUAUUGUUAAACUUUGAGUGAUGAGUAUAUGUCUUAAAAUAUAUAUGUAUAUUCGAUUAUAUAAAUCAAUGUGGUUUCGAAUUUCUCAUAUGUAUAUUCGAUUAUAUAAAUCAAUGUGGUUUCGAAUUUGAGAACAUAUUGGUGCUAUAUACUUGUUUAUUCGGCCAAAAAGAAGUUGCCUUAUGAAAGUAUAUGUUUUAUAUGUGUGGAAUUAAAAGUUUGAAAAUAAAAGUGAUUAAAAAUGCAUAAGUUGAUUUAUUUAAUUGAAAUGAUUAGUAAUUAAAUGUUAUUAUGCUUUAAUUGUUUAAUUUGCUUAAGGAAUACUAAGCUAAGUUAGCUUACUUUGUGUAUAUAUAUAUUUGUCUUUGUUUUAUAGUUUUUGGAGAUCGUUACAUGCUCGGAGAUUGUCAGUAAAGUCAAUCGCACUAUUGUUUAUUCUCGGUACCUUUGAAAGUUUUAAAUUCAAACUUAUGGCAUGUAUAGGCUGAAUGAUGUUUUGUUAUGAUGAACUUUGGCUUUGUAUAAAGCCAUGCGAAAGUGGCUUAUUUAAAUGCUUGAAUUUGGUUUUGGUAUAAUGAUGGUUUGAGUCCAUUUUGGUUAUUAUGCAAUGUGUCAAGGAUGAAUGAUACUUGUGAUAUCUAUUUGAGUGUUGAAGAUGCUUGGUAAAUUUGGAUGUGUGCAUUGGAUUGAUUCGGUUAUGGUAUGGAAGAUUCAUGUUUUGUAUAUAUAUAAAUAUAUCUAUUUGAAGUUAAUGGUUUACUCUUGAGAGAUAUAAAAUGUAAUAUGAGUUGGUUUGAAAAUUAUACAAUGAUGUAUCGUGAAUUUAGAUAUAAGAUAAAGGUAUAUGAGGUGGUUAUGUCUAACUUGUGAUUCGACAAUUGCUUUUAUAAAUAUUCAUGCUUGAUGAAUUGACUUAAUAUGUAUUUCAACUAAAAGUAUACUAUGUAGUAGGUAGGUAAUAUGUAGGAUUAUUUGCGUCUUAGGCAAAGUUUAGAUGACCAAAUUGACGAUAAAUAGGUUAGUUGUAAAUCCGCAUUUUUGGUAUGUGACAUGAGUGCAUUUCAAAUCUUUACUUGCAAUAUAAAAUGGUUAACAAUAAAUAAGUAAUUGAGUUAAAUUUUAGUUUGUGAAUUAAGCUUGAUAAGUUUCGUUAUUAAUGUUCUAUUAUAGUUCAUGUUUAAUAUGGUUAAAAAAUAUAUAAGGUUUAUUUGUUUAAUGAAACAAUUUGAUUAUUUGUGAAGAUAUGAAUGUCGUGUAUGCUGAUGAUUAAAUUGUCAUGUGUUAGAUUUUUAUUUGAUUUAAUAUGUACAUGUUUCGAAAUAUGUUUUAAAAUAUUCGAUGUUUAACAGAUAUCCGAAUUUGACUUGUAUUUGUAUAUUGUAAUGAUAGAAUUUCGAUUAAUAUUUAUUUGGACAUUCGUAUAUACAUAUGAAUAUGACUUGUGUGAGUAUUCAGAGUUGUGUUUUUUUCCAGUAAUGCCUUCGAACCCUAAUUCAGCGACGGAUACGGGUUUGGGGUGUUACAUUUUAUUAGUAUCAGAGCUAUAGUUUAGUCGAUUCUAGGACUAAUGUAGCAUGUGUGAGUUUAGCUAUACAUGCCAUAGUGUUUACUGCGAUAAUGUGAUGACUUCUGACAUUGAAAAUGUGUUUUCGUAUUGUAAAUAAAUCCCGACAGAGCUGUAGUUGAUGAUGUCGAGAGUGUAGCACAUGCUCCUGCGCAUGAGACAGCACCAGUUGAAUCUCGGCUGAUCUCGAGUAGCCGUGAAGGGGAGGCUAAACAAGCCUUCUAUCAACUAACGAAUGAUUGGUUUACUCAAUAUAUUUGAACUAACCCGGCUACACAACAACCUCCAUCCCCGAAUAAUUCAUCUUCGAUACCUGUGGUUCCUCCUAUGAUUGAUUCGAUGAGAUUUAAUAAGCCUUCCGUUGAUAAAAUUAGAAAACACGGGGCUGAAGAAUUCAGAGCUACUGAUGAUGAUGAUGCUAAGCUAGCUAAAUUCUGGCUUGAUAAUACUAUCCGUGUGCUUGAUGAGUUAUCUUGUACCCCGGAUGAGUGCUUAAAAUGUGCUAUAUCCUUGCUACGAGACACCGCAUACCACUAGUGGAAUAUACUAGUAUCGGUGGUUCCGAAGGAGCGAGUGACUUGGGACUUCUUUUAGACUGAGUUUCGUAAGAAAUAUCUCAGUUAGAGAUUCAUUGACCAGAAGCACAAGGAAUUUCUCUAAUUAAAAUAGGGUCGCAUGACUGUGAUAGAAUAUGAGCGAAAAUUUGUGAGACUCAGUUGAUAUGCUCGUGAGUGUGUUUCAACUGAAGCUAUCAUGUGUAAAAGAUUUGAAAACGGUUUGAACGAAGACAUUAAAUUUCUGGUUGAUAGACUUGAAAUUAAAGAGUUCGUGGUACUUGUUGAGCGAGCUUGCAAAGCUGAAGAGCUCGGGAAAGAAAAAAGAAAAGCUGAUUUUGAAGCUAGAGAUUUUCGCAAAAGAUCAUUGGGUAAGACUUUUCAAUUAGCAUCGAAGAAGUUCUGAGAUGAUUCUAGUCAAUCUAAAGAUACUGCGAGCUUUUCUAGACGAGAUUGAGACUGACCCCCUGUGAGUUUGCGAGCCACUUCGAUAGUUAGUGUUGGCAAUGUUCGACAGAAUAGAGUCGAGUGCAAGCAUUGUGGUAAAUGGUAUUCUGGAGAUUGCAGAUUGCAUGACCGGUCUUGUUUUAAAUGUGGAUCGAUGGAUUAUUUUAUCCGAGAUUGCCCAAUGUUAGCGAGCAAAACACUGUUCAGAAUGCAAGACCGAGUAAUAUGUCAGUGCGAGGCAGACCACCUAGGCAUUCGGGUAAUGUAGGUGGCAGUCAGAUAGGGAUGAAAGAUACAGCAGUUCGAUCUGAGGCUCGUGCACCUACCAGAGCAUAUGCUAUACGUGCUCGUGAGGAGGCUUCUUCCCCAAAUGUUAUUACCGGUACUUUUACUCUUUAUGAUACUAGUGUUAUUACAUUGAUUGAUCCUGGUUCGACUCAUUCUUAUGUGUGUGAAACAUUAGUAUCCAGUAAGACUUUGCCUGUUGAGUCUACUGAGUUUGUGAUUCGAGUAUCGAACCCCCUAGGCCGGUGUGUUCUGGUUGAUAAAGUAUGUAAGAAUUGUCCAUUGAUGAUUUGAGAUUCAUGCUUUCCAGCCGAUUUGAUGUUAUUUCCUUUCGAUGAGUUCGAUAUAAUUUUGCGUCUGGACUGGCUGACUUUGCACGAUGCUGUUGUUAAUUACAAAAGAAAGACCAUUGAUUUGAGAUGUCAGAACAACGAGAUUACUCAGAUUGAAUCUAAUGAUCUGAAUGGUUUACUAGCAGUAAUAUCUUCGAUGUUAGCUCGGAAGUACGUGAGAAAAGGUUGUACAGCUUACUUUACUUAUGUGCUUGAUAGUAAAGUGAUUGAAAAAAAGAUUGAAUCUGUACUAGUUGUGUGCGAGUAUCCGGAUGUGUUUCCUAAAAAAUUACCAGGUUUGCCACCUGUCUGAGAGGUAGAUUUUAGUAUUGAGUUAGUACCGAGGACGUCUCCAAUUCCAAUAGCUCCGUAUCGGAUGGCACCUACUAAAUUAAAAAGAAUUGAAAGCUCAGUUACAAUAGUUAACAAAUAGAGGUUUUGGACGACCGAGUUUUUCUCCUUGGGGUGCACCAGUUUUAUUUGUGAAAAAGAAAGACGAAACUAUGAGAAUGUGCAUUGAUUAUAGACAGCUCAAUAAGGUGACUAUAAAGAAUAAGUAUCCGUUACCACGGAUUGAUGACUUGUUUAAUCAACUAAAAGGGGCUAAACUGUUUUCAAAGAUAGAUUUGAGGUCCGGCUACUAUCAGUUGCGAGUUUAAGACUCUGAUGUGCCGAAAACUGCCUUCCGAACGAGGUACGGACGUUAUGAAUUUCUGGUUAUGCCUUUUGGACUUACUAAUGCACCUACUAUUUUUAUGGAUUUGAUGAAUCAAAUUUUUAGACAUUAAUUGGAUCGGUUUGUGGUUGUGUUCAUUGAUGAUAUAUUGAUCUACUCCUGUGGUGAAACUGAACAUGCCGAACAUUUGAGACUUGUGUUACAGAAUUUGCAAGAAAAACAGUUGUAUGCGAAGUUCAGUAAAUGUGAGUUCUAGUUACAUGAAGUUAUUUUUUUGGGACAUGUUGUUUCAGCAUCAGGUAUUCGGGUUGAUCCAAGUAAAAUUUCAGCAAUACUUGACUGGAAACCUCCGAGAAACGUUUCUGAAGUCUGAAGUUUUUUGGGACUUACGGGUUACUAUAGGCGAUUUGUGAAAGAUUUCUCUAUGAUUGCAACCUCGAUGACGAAGCUAUUACAGAAAUAUGUUAAAUUUGAGUGGUCUGAAAAGUGCCAGAAAAGUUUUGAUCAGUUGAAAUUCCUUUUGACCGAAACUCCAGUGCUAGUUCAGCCAGAAUCGGGUAAAGAAUUUGUUAUCUAUAGUGAUGCAUCUUUAGAUGGUUUGGGUUGUGUACUGAUGCAAGAAGGCAAAGUUAUAGCUUAUGCCUUGAGACAGUUAAAGCUACAUGAAAAGAACUAUCUGACACACGACCUAGAGUUGGCAGCUAUUGUAUUUGCGUUGAAAAUUUGGCGUCACUAUCUGUUUGGUGAAAAAUGUCAUGUUUAUUCUGAUCACAAAAGCUUGAAGUACUUGAUGACUCAGAAAGAUCUGAAUUUGAGACAACACCGAUGGUUAGAAUUGCUAAAAGACUAUGAACUGGUGAUUGACUAUCACCCAGGAAAUUGACUAUCACCCGGGAAAGGCUAAUGUUGUUGCUAAUGCUCUAAAUCAAAAAUCCCUGUUUUCUUUGCGUGCAAUGAAUGCACAUAUGGUCAUGUCAAAUGAUGGUACGAUAAUAGCCGAGUUAAAAGUAAGACUGUUAUUUAUUCAGCAGAUUUACGAAGCUUAGAAGGUCGAUAAUGAUUUGAUAGUAAAGCGGGCUCAAUGUGAUUUGAACGUUGAUUCAGAAUUUCUAGUGGAUUCUGAGGGAUGUUUGCAAUUCAGAAACCGAAUAUGUGUUCUGAGAAAUACAGAGUUGAUUCAGAUGAUUUUGAAUGAAGCUCAUAACAGUCGGUUAUCUGUUCACUCGGGUAGUACGAAGAUGUGUAAUGAUCUGAAACAGCACUAUUAGUGGCAAGGUAUGAAACGAGACAUUUUUGACUUUGUAUCGAAAUGUUUAAUCUGUCAGAAAGUAAAAGCCGAGCGUCAGGUACCUUCUGGAUUGCUACAGCUGAUCAUGAUACCUGAAUGGAAAUGAGAUAGAGUCACGAUGGAUUUUGUAUCCGGUUUACCGAUGACAUUGAGCAAGAAAGAUGCAAUCUGGUUUAUUGUGGAUAGAUUGACUAAAUCAUCUCACUUUGUUUCAGUUUGUACAGAUUAUUCACUCGAUAAACUUGCUGAGUUAUAUGUUUCUCAGAUUGUGAGACUACACAGAGUACCUAUUUCUAUUGUGUCUGAUAGAGAUCUGAGGUUUACAUCGCGGUUUUGGAAGAGACUGCAAGAUGCAUUAGGUACUAAACUACAUUUUAGCACUACUUUUCAUCCCCAGAUAGAUGGUCAGUCUGAGCGAAUCAUUCAGAUACUUGAGGAUAUGUUGAGAUGUUGCAUUCUCGAGUUUGAAGGUACGUGGGAACAAUACCUACCUCUGAUUGAAUUUACGUACAAUAAUAGCUUUCAAUCGAGUAUCAAAAUGGCACCUUUCGAGGCUUUGUACAGUCAUAAAUGUCGUACACCAUUGUAUUGGACUGAGCUCAGUGAAAAUAAGAUAUCCAGGGUUGAUUUGGUCAGAGAAACUGAACAGAAAGUGAAAGUGAUUCAUGAAAGUUUAAAAGCAGCAUCAGAUCAUCAGAAAUCAUAUGCGGACUUGAAACGUAAAGAUAUAGAGUUUCAAAUCGGGGAUAGAGUAUUUUUGAAAGUCUCACCAUGGAAGAAAAUACUCAGAUUCAGUCAUAAAGGCAAGUUCAAUUAGAGAUUCAAUGGACCGUAUGAGAUUAUAGAGCGGAUUGGGCCGGUUGCGUAUAGACUAUUGUUGCCACCUGAGCUAGAAAUGAUCCACAAUGUAUUCCAUGUUUCAAUGCUUCGUAGAUAUCGAUCUGAUCCUUCACAUGUGAUUAGUCCAUCUGAGAUUGAGAUCAAGCCCGAUUUAAAGUAUGAAGAAGAACCGAUUCGUAUUCUAGCUCGUGAAAUUAAAGAGUUGCGAAAUAAUAAAAUUUCGUUAGUUAAAGUACUGUGGCAUAAACAUGGAGUUGAGGAAGCAACGUGGGAACCAGAAGAUGUAAAGAGAGAACGCUAUCCAAACCUAUUCACCGUUAAGAUUUUCGGGGACGAAAAUCCGUAAGAGGGGAGAGUUGUAACAACCCAAUUUAGACCCUAAUCAGAAUGGUGGUUUCAGGACCACGAAUUCGAGUCAGAAAAAUAUAUAAAUAUUAUUUUUCAUGUUUAUUAUAUGUGAAUUUGCAUGUGUGAAAGUUUCGUAUGAAAAUUUGAUUGUUUGUGUGCUUAAUUUAAUAAAAGGACUUAAUCGCGUAAAUUAAAAACUUGAUAGUGAAAAGCAUAAGGGCCAAAUUGUUAAUGGCUUUGUAAGUUGAAGCAUUUAAGUGGCAAUUUGACCAUAUUUAGUUAGAUGGACGGUUGUGACCAUGCAUUAAAAUGGUUUUAUAUUUUUUAUCUUAAGGUUAAUUUGGUAAAUUAUGAAUUAAUAAUGUUAUAAUAAAACAUAAAAAUAAAACCACCAUGCAUUUGUUCAUCUUUUUGACUGAAAGUUGUGAAAGAAAGAAAAGAAAAUAAGCUAGGUGAUAUUCAGCCAUUUCUCAAGCUUGAUUCAAGGUUAGUUUGGUUUCGGUUUUUGAUAAUUUUUACGUUUUUGAAAUUGUUACUUCGAAUACUAUCUGACCCAUGCUAGAAUUUUUGAUUUUGAUGAAUGUAUUGAGCUGUGCCAUUGAUGAAUAUUUGUGUUUUGUGAUGUUUGAUGAUGAAAUAUUAAAGAUAUGUUUUAGAUUAACAUGCUUUGUAUUGGAGUUUUUGAUGAUUUUGAGUAAUUAGGACUAAAUUGUAAAAAUAAUAAAUUAAGGGACUAAAAUGUGAAAUAAAUGAAAUGUGAGGACUUGUUUGGGUGUGGGGAGUAUUCAGCUUAAGUAUAGCAUGAGCAAAUUAUGCUUGUUUUGUGUUUUAUGCAAAUAGGACUAAUUUGUAAAAGUAUGAAAUAUUAGGGGUAAAAUGGUAAUUUUUCCAUUUAUGUGUUGUUGGAUUAAAUUGAAUGAAAUUGUUUUGAAAUUUUAUAGAUCAAGAACAAAAGAAAUCGGACUUGGAUCGAGGAAAAACAAAAAUAGUCGAAUAGUCGAUUUACAUCGUUCGUCGAUAUCCGAGGUAAGUCUUUAAGCAAUUAAACAUCGUUAAUUUUGAAUGUAAUUUAGUUUAAUAUGCUGAUUUGGAAUUUAUGGAUUUGUAAUAGAGUUAGCCGAAUGUGAUAAAGUAUUUAAAUAAUGUAUUUGAGUUUAACUCGAUUGAGUUAUAACAUUUGAAAGUCCGUAUGAACUAUAUGGAAUAUCUGAAAUGUUUGAUAUAUGAAUUGUUUAUGAGACAACUUUAUAAUAAUGAUAUUCGGGCUUUGAGCCUAGCAAUCCUUGUGCUGGUGAAUUUAAUCGGGCUUGAUGCCUAGCAGGCUUAUUACCGGUGUAUAAAAUCAGACUUUGAGUCUAGCAGGCCUUGUGCCAGUUGUGAUACAGGCUUAGGCCUAGUAGGUUUUAUGUCGAUGAAAUAUUUUAAGUCUAUACCUAAAAGAUUUUAUGUUGAUGUGAUAAAUGAAUAUGUUGAACGAGCUAAAACGAUCAGGUACGUGAUAGUUGGACUACCUAUUUGAAAACAGGAUGAAUUGAUUUCUUGAUAUGUGAUGAAAAAGAAUUCAUGAAUUUAAUGUAGUACAUGUGCUAACGUGAGAAAUAUAUUUGAUCUUAUAAUUGUACAUGAAGGUAUUGUUAAACUUUGAGUGAUGAGUAUAUGUCUUAAAAUAUAUAUGUAAAUUCGAUUAUAUAAAUCAAUGUGGUUUCGAAAUUUGAGAACAUAUUGGUGCUAUAUACUUGUUUAUUCGGCCAAAAAGAAGUUUCCUUAUGAAAGUAUAUGUUUUAUAUGUGUGGAAUUAAAAGUUUGAAAAUAAAGGUGAUUAAAAAUGCAUAAGUUGAUUUAUUUAAUUGAAAUGAUUAGUAAUUAAAUGUUAUUAUGCUUGAAUUGUUUAAUUUGCUUAAGGAAUACUAAGCUAAGUUAGCUUACUUUGUGUAUAUAUAUAUAUUUGUCUUUGUUUUAUAGAUUUUGGAGAUCGUUACAUGCUUGGGGAUCGUCAGUAAAGUCAAUCGUACUAUCGUUUAUUCUCGAUCCCUUUGAAAGUUUUAAAUUCAAACUUAUGGCAUGUAUAGGCUGAAUGAUGUUUUGUUAUGAUGAACUUUGGCUUUGUAUAAAGCCAUGCGAAAAUGGCUUAUUUAAAUUCUUGAAUUUGGUUUUGGUAUAAUGAUGGUUUGAGUCAAUUUUAGUUAUUAUGCAAUGUGUCAAGGAUGAAUGAUACUUGUGAUAUCUAUUUGAGUGUUGAAGAUGCUUGGUAAAUUUGGAUGUGUGCAUUGGAUUGAUUCGGUUAUGGUAUGGAAGAUUCAUGUUUUGUAUAUAUAUAAAUAUAUCUAUUUGAAGUUAAUGGUUUACUCUUGAGAGAUAUAAAAUGUAAUAUGAGUUGGUUUGAAAAUUAUACAAUGAUGUAUCGUGAAUUCAGAUAUAAGAUAAAGGUAUAUGAGGUGGUUAUGUCUAACUUGUGAUUCGGCAAUUGCUUUUAUAAAUAUUCAUGCUUGAUGAAUUGACUUAAUAUGUAUUUCAACUAAAAGUAUACUAUGUAAUAGGUAGGUAAUAUGUAAGAUUAUUUUCGUUUUAGGCAAAGUUUAGAUGACCAAAUUGACGAUAAAUAGGUUAGUUGUAUAUCCGCAUUUUUGGUAAGUGACAUGAGUGCAUUUCAAAUCUUUACUUGCAAUAUAAAAUGGUUAACAAUAAAUAAAUGAUUGAGUUAAAUUUUAGUUUGUGAAUUAAGCUUGAUAAGUUUCGUUAUUAAUGUUCUAUUAUAGUUCAUGUUUAAUAUGGUUAAAAUAUAUAUAAGGUUUAUUUGUUUAAUGAAACAAAUUUGAUUAUUUGUGAAGAUAUGAAUGCCGUGUAUGCUGAUGAUUAAAUUGUCAUGUGUUAGAUUUUUAUUUGAUUUAAUAUGUACAUGUUUUGAAAUAUGUCUUAAAAUAUUUGAUGUUUAACAGAUAUCUGAAUUUGACUUGCAUUUGUAUAUUGUAAUGAUAGAAUUUCGAUUAAUAUUUGUUUGAAAAUUUGUAUAUACAUAUGAAUAUGACUUGUGUGAGUACUUAGAGUUGUGUUUUUGUCCAGUAAUGCCUCUUGACCCUAAUUCGUCGACGGAUACGGGCUAGGGGUCUUACAAAGUAAAUGGCAAAAAAUAAAAAAAUAAAAAACUGGUUUAAAUAGCAAGGCAAAACAGUGCUGUUUUGCACCUAAAGCCCUAACACCAAAACGGCGUCGUAUAUGCCUUGACCCGCGCGAUCCGACCUGCUCCAAGGGGGUUUUGCGCGUUUUUGAGUUAAGGACUACUUGCGCUCGUAGUCCCUUCGAUUUUGGGUUUGUUAUGUUUGGCCCUUUUAUUAUUUUUAUUUUUUUUAUAGAUUUAAUUGCUUAAUUUUAUUUGGUUUUCGAUUGAGUCCUUGGCUCUCUAAUGCUUUGAAAACGGACAUGCAUCCUUAGAGUUAGGGAAUAAUUACAUAUUUAACCCCUGUUCUUUCGCGCGUGUCUUAUCUUAGGCCUUGCUUCCUUUUUUUUGUUUUUUUUAGAUGUGGCCCUUAAUUUUAAUCUUUUUUUUAGUUCGACCCUUAACCCUAUAACAUUAAACUUUUUUUUUAUAUUUUACUUAUUAUAUUUUUUUCAUUUAUUUAUUUUAAACAGUUUUAUAUGUUAUUUAUUUUAGAUUUUUAUAUAUUAAUUCUUUAAACUGUCUUAUGUAUUAUGUAUUUAAAAUUGCUUUACAAAAUUUUUUUAUUUUAAACUUACUUAUUUUAUUUAUUUUUUAAUGCUUUCAUAUAUCGUUUAUUAACCUUUUAUACAUUAUUUACUUUAGAUAUUUUUAUAUAAAUUAUUUAUUUUAAACUAUUAUAUAUUUUAAAUUUUCAUUUAAACUAUUAUAUAUUUUAAAUUUUCAUGUAUAAUAUUCAAUUCAAACUAUUUUAUAGGUUAUUCAUUUAAAAUUUUUGUAUUACUUAUUUUAAGUUGUUUUAUUAUUAUAUAUUUUAAAUUUUUCUUUUUUUAUACAUUAUUUAUUCGAAACUGUUUAUAUAUUAAUUACUUUAAGUCGUUUCAUUUAUUAUACAUUUUAAACCUUUUUUUAUAUAUUAUUUAUUUAAAACUGUCUUAUUAUUUAUUUUAAAUUAUUUUAUAUUAUUUAUUUCAUUUUUCUUUGAUUAUUAAUGUUGGUUUUCUAAAUAAUGUAUGUUAUCUGAUUAUUACCAUUGUGUGAAUACUGUCAUCAUAUGCUUUAGGAAUUAUUUAUUAAUAUUUUCAUGUUGUUGACAUUCAUUGACAUAGCAUUUAAUUCAUGUAUUAUUAUUUCAUGCUCUAUAUUCCCUUUUAUUUCAUUUUGUUUAAAUCAUAUCGCGUAUUAACCUCAAAUGUAUUUAUCCAAAUAUGGACCAUUUUAUUCCAAACAAAAUAAACGCCCAUUGCUAAGUGUUGCUCUUGUUAUUAUUCAAAAAGGAAAAUCUUCAAAAUAAGAUAAUAUUUCGCGUUUCGGGAAUUCAAGAAAUUGUACCCUAACUUACGGGGUUUCGAUUUUCUUGGUAAACCUAAAAAGCUAAAUAUCCUUUUUAGAUUUCAAAAUACGCAAAGUUCUCAAUAAAAAUUAAAUGCAAACUUAUUCCCGAGGAUUAAAACGUCGCAUCUUAACUUACGGGAUGUGACAUUUUGUUAUAUCGGGAUGAGAGGGCCUUUGAUGCUCAUUUUAACUUAAUUCAAGCAUUUUUCAAAACAAACAUUAAUAAAAAUGGAUUGUAUUUUAAUUCUUUUCAAGUUUGCAACAUUUGACAUUAGGACAUUAAUCAAUCAAUUAGGUACCAAAUUUGGGCAUUACGAGGGUGCUAAUCAUUCUUUGUACGUAACCGACUCCCGAACCCGUUAUCUCAAAUUUCUUAGACCAAAAAAUAUUAUUUUAAUAAAUCAAAACUGUUUAUUAAAAACAACCAUUUUACGAGGUGACUUGAUCACACCUCAUCAAAAAAAGAUUGGUGGCGACUCUAUUUUCGUUUUUUUUAAAAAGUUGACUCUUUUUCGAAAAAUGAUUUCAACCGCUUGGCGACUCCACUGGGGACUUUUGAGAGUCAAGCCAUAAAUUGAUUAAUUAUUGUCUUUUGUCAAAAAAUUGAAAAUCCGUUUUAAACUUACAAUCCUUUCAUUGCAUUUCAUUUUUGGGGUUUUCGUCGUUUUGUAUGAUUGGCUUUUGGUUCGAGUCUUAGUAUAAUUUUGCGCAUCAUAUUGCAUAAUUGGUCAAUUUUACCCUUUUAAGUAGGAGUGAGAAACUAUUCCUUCGUGAGGUCUUCACCUCCGUAUAGGAUAGUAGAUUGCUUUUGGGAUACAUCCGUACUUGCACCUUCGUGAGAUUUUUAUCUCCGUAUAGCCGUAGGGAAAUGUAUUCCCCUGAACUGAACUCGGUCCGUAUGAGCCUAUAAUGGGUGAGGAUCGAGGAAUCUUCUGAUUCAGGUACCUUUACUUUUGAACUAAACCACAUGUAAUGAGCCCUAAGAGCCUAUCCUAGGUAGAACCACGCUAAACCCUAGCGGUUACCCGAAUAGGUGCUUGAUUAUUUCCUAUUUGCUUUGAAUUUUAUUUUUUGUAUAUAAUACUGACUUGUUGUGUUUUUCUGUUAUUGCAUGGCAUUACAUUAUAAAAAGGUGUUGAUUCAAAAAGCUUAGCAUUGAAAAGGGGUUUCUUGAUAGAGUGGAGGAUAAUGCGGUCGUCCGAAUAUGGUCCGAGAGGAUGCAGCAAGAGAAAUGUGAUAGUUUGACCGAGGGAUAUGAAUCAGAGUUGUCAAAUUUCACCCGCAUUAGUGUGACUUAGAAUAACCUACAAGAAUUAAAGAAGAUAUGACACCAAUGGAGUGACGAGAUUAAGCAGCUAUUUUACUAUAACUACGGCGACUUGCCCUAUCUACUCGAUAUAAAGGUGGACAAGCAUUUAUUCCAAGCCCUUGCCCAGUUUUGGAAUCCCGCCUACAGUUGCUUCACUUUUGGGAGAGUUGAUUUGGUACCAACCGUGGAGGAGUACAUGGCCUUACUUCGUUGCCUGAGGAUUAAAGCUGACAAAGCUUAUUCCAGAGCUGCUAACGUCCCUACCUUUGUAAAGAAUUGAUGAAUAUCAUGAGGAUGAGUGAGCAGUGGGUUGCAGCUUGGAUUAAGCAAAAAUGAGACAGUAAAUGUAUUCCUUGGAAGAACUUGAGAGAUCUAAUUCUAGCACAUCCGGAUAUGAAGAAGAGGGUUGACGUUUUCGCUUUGAGCAUCUAAGGUUUGGUCAUCUUUCCCAAGGCAUUAGGAAAUGUAGAUGAAGCAGUCUCAGACCUAUUCGAUCGACUUGAUAAAAAGGUCACACCCAUCCCUGCGAUCUUAGACGAAACUUUCAAAUCAUUGAAUGCUUGCCGGAGAGCAGGUGAGGGGAGGUUCAUAGGAUGUGCGCAGCUUUUGCUAUCAUGGUUUCAUAUCCACUUUUGGAGGGUAGAAAAAGUCUCAUAUCGAGUUUUUUUCGAAACUACUCUCCAUUGAAGGAACUAGUGGCUACGCUAAGGCGAGAUGACUUUUCCAAAGAGAAAUGGAUAGCGAUUCUCUAGAAUGUACAAGUUGAAGACGGCGAAUGGAGGGCGCCAUGGAUGAUCCCUGAUGAGAUCUUGUAUCGGUGUGGUGAAUUUGACUGGGUCCCUCUACUUGGGAUAUGGGGAGCUACUGGAUACGGUCUACUACUUGUGCUAAGAUAGUAUCGAUCAAGGCAGUUCAUACCUAUGACACAAGGGUUGGCUCAGUGCAAGUUUUCAUAUAAGAGCGAUAAUUAUAAGAAGAGAGUUCGUGAGAUAUCGAAUGCGUGGAACCAAACCCGUAGACUGAAGGACUCAGGCGAGACCAAUGACGACCCCCGAGUAUGAUUGGUGGUGGGGUAAAAGAAUCAACGACAAUAUCCCAAUGCCAAGUCAAAAAAAUGCUCGACCAAUAGAGGAGCACUUACGAGUAGUCCCGUUUGAAUUAGAAAUCAUCAAGCAAGAUUUUGAGAAAAGGAGUCAAAAAUUGGGCAAGAAAAUAAAGCAGUUAGAGGAGGAAAAGAUGUGGCUAGGACUAGACAUCGACAUCCAUAAGCUAGAGGCUGAGAAACUAAGGAAAGGAAAGAACAAGGCCAAAGAAGAUUUGGACAGUUGGAAAACGUAUUACAAGAAGUUACGUUUGUCAAAAAGAACUGCUGGUUUGGGCAAGACAUUAGAGCAAUGGCAAUAAGAAAUUAAAAAAGAAAAAACUAGAGCCGAUAGUGGGAGAAGAAGUUUCAAGAUGCUCAAACACGGGAUGGUGCUCUAAAAAGGAGUUUGCUAGAUAGCCAAAGUGAAAAGGAGAAGUUAAGAGCUCGGGCGGCAAAGUUAGAAAAGUAAUUACAUCAACAUCGUAGUCGCAACUCCAUCAUCGAAUUAAGGGCCAGCCUAAACAAGAUUGAGGAGUUGAAAGGAAGGAUAGAAGAGCUCGAGAAUGCACUGCGAAAUGGUAAACUUCGAGUUGAACUUCUUGAAGCAAGUAAUGAACAUUGUAAAGAACAACUCCACCGCUCUUAAGAUCAAAUCAGAGAUAGGGAUUAUGUCAUGGGUGAAGCUGUGGCUCAAGUACGAGAAGUGCUGACCAUCUACAAAACCUGGCGGUUCAGGCUAAUGUACUAAGUGUAAAGUAUGAGUUAGAAUCAGGUCAGGGCCGAGAGUUAGCUUGGCUUCUUAGGAAGGUUAAGGCUUUGGGCAUUAGGGCAAAGUCGUAUAUGUAAUCUAUCUUAUGUAAAGAAAUUUGUUUUCUAGCAAAGUUGUUCUAAUAAAAUUGAAUCAGAAUCAACGUCUCUUUUUGUUUUCAUUUCUUUAAUUUGCAUUACAUUUCAUCAUAUGCAUUAAGUUUCAUAAAAAGACCCUAAUUAAACAAAAUUAUUUCAGUUAAUCUGGAAACCAAAAAGUGUCAACCAGCCGAAUAUCGUUACAAUACCCGUCGCAAAACCAAAGCAAAGUAUCAGAGAUUAGAAAGAUUGGAACAAAUGCAAAGAGAUAUACAAUAGCAAUUGCAAACACAGAUGCAAGAGCAAUUGGCUAGAAUCGAACAAGACAUGAGGGAACAAAUGCAAGAAUCCCAGAAUAAUAUGAUAAGUCAAUUGGCACAGUUGCUGGUUAGAGAACGCGAAAAAGGGAAGGGUAUUGCAGUUAACUCGGGGAACGAUAAUGAAAACCUUGCCUAUCCCUCGGGUUUUGCUCCAGUCAAUUGCCAACCACAACCAGAGGCGUACCCACGGGGGGUACCACUCAUUAUCAAGCCCCAGUAAUAUCAGGCUGGUGCCUCGACACCGAUGAACUUUCCAACAGGCUCGGGCUCCAAUCCAAGGGAUAAUCCAACUAAUCCAGUUGUUUCUAACCUUGAUGAUGUAGCAGAAAUAGAAAAAGUAAGAGUAGAUCUACCAAAACAACUCGAGGACUGUUGCAAAUGGCUUGAAGAGAAAUUCAAAGCAAUGGAGACUGUUGACUACCAUUGCGGGGUUGAUGCCAAAGAUUUGAGCUUGGUCCUAGAUUUGAUCCUCCCACCAAAAUUUAAAACUCUAGAGUUUGAAAAAUACAACGAGACUAGCUGCCCCGAAGCCCACAUCACAUUAUUCUGUCAAAGGAUGACAGGAUACAUUAAUAAUGAUCAGUUAUUAAUUCACUACUUCCAGGAUAGUCUGGUUGGGUCUGCGGCCAAAUGGUACAACCAGCUAAGCCGUACCCAAAUUAAUUCAUGGAAAGACUUGGCACAAGCUUUCAUGAAGCAAUACGGCCACGUAACAGACAUAGCACCUAACCAAAUCACGUUACAAAAUAUGGAAAAGAAACCAAAUGAGAGCUUCAGGUAGUAUGCCUAAAGAUAGAGAGAGAUAGCGAUGCAAAUCCAACCACCUUUCUUAGAGAAGGAAACGACCAUGCUUUUUAUCAAUACUUUGAAGGCUCCAUUCAUUAACCAUAUGCUAGGAAGCGCUGCUAAUAGCUUUUCAAAUAUAGUGAUGUCUAGAGAGAUGAUAAAAAAUGCGCUAAGAUGUGGGAAGAUAGACGUGGGUUAGAGUACCAAGAGAUCAGCCCCGAAAAAGAAGGAAAACGAGAUAAAUAAUGCGAGCACAUACAACAAGGGUUAUUCAAAACCCAUUACUGUAAGCCAGCUAAGGACGGUGACUACUAGCCAUCAAGGCCCUCCAAGGCAAGAAUCCAACCCGAGGCCAAAUAUAGAGAGGCUCCAGUUUACGCAUAUUUCGAUGUCAUAUAGGGAGUUGUAUCAGAUUCUAUUCGAUGCUCAUGUAGUGUUCCCUUUCUACUUGAAGCCUAUGCAACCUCUGUUCCCAAAAUGGUAUGAUGCAAAUGCCCAAUGUGAGUACCAUGCAGGGAUAAUCGGGCACUCGAUCAAGAACUGGACUAUGUUUAAAAAUUUGAUAGAAAGAUUUAUCAAAAUGGGUAUCGUAAAGUUUGACACCUAUCAGGACCCAACGUAGCAAGAAAUCCAUUGCCCGAUCAUGUUAAUAAAGGGAUAAAUGUGAUAGUCGAGAGCGGGGGCAAAAGAAUCAAGGCCAAUGUGGCAGAAGUAAAAACCCCACUGAGUUGGGUUCGGAAAUAAAUGGUCGAUAGAGGUUUGAUCAUACAACAUUCAGGGGAAAGACCUAGAGAGGCGAGAAAAUAUGUGAGUUUCAUGCCGAUGAGGGUCAUGACAUCCAAGAGUGCAAUGAGUUCAGGUCUAUAGUCCAAAAUCUAAUGGACAAUAAAGAGAUGGAAUUUUAUGAGAAAACCAAAGGAUUAGAAGAAUGAGAGGUUUACACCUCAGAGGAGGGAUCAGCAGAAAGGGUCCAAAAAGUUAAUCACCCAGUGGUGAUCAUUUUGCGACCAAGGAACAAUUAAGCAGGAAUACAAAUGGCACCAAGAGUCAUAAUCCAAAAACCUGUAUCCUUUCCCUACAAGGAUAGCAAAAGGGUUCCUUGGAACUAUGACUACAACGUGACAAUCCCGGGAGAGGUGAACCCAACUAAAGCUUCAGAGGAAAGCCAAGAUAUAGGUUUUUAUACACGUAGUGGGAGGCUUUAUGAUCCUGUGGGUACAAGAAUCAGAACUGUAGGAAAGACCCCAAUAGUAGAGCAAAAGAAGGAGAAGACGAUCAGGCUCGAAUCGCCAGUUAACGAGCCAAUAACUGAGAAUGAAGCUAGGGAAUUCCUGAAAUUUUUAAAGCAUAGCGAGUAUAGCAUUGUAGAAUAGCUGCAUAAGCAACCGGCUCACAUCUCAGUGCUAGCUUUACUCUUAAGUUUGGAGACACAUCGUAGCACGCUAAUGAAAGUGUUAAAUGAAACUUAUGUCGCUGACGAUAUCUCUGUAAACAAACUGGACCGUCUAGUCAACAAUAUAAGUGGUAACAACUUCAUCUUCUUCAAUGAUGAUAAGAUACCUCCUGGGGGUAUGGGAUCUACAAAGGCUCUACAUAUCACCACCUGUUGUAAAGGAUAUACAUUUCUGGGUGUGUUAAUUGAUAAUGGAUCGGCAUUGAAUGUCUUGCCCUUAUCCAUGCUGAAUAGGUUGCUUGUGGAUAGCUCUCACAGGAAGACAUGCCAAAACAUAGUAAGGGAAUUUGAUGGCACCGAAAGGAGAGUAAUGGGAAGAAUUGAGAUACCCCUUCUGAUUGGCUCGAACAUGUACAAGGUGGACUUCUUGGUAAUAGACAUUAAGCCCUCUUACAAUUGCUUGUUGAGGAGGCAUUGGAUUCACUCAGCGGGAGCAGUACCGUCGUCAUUACACCAAAAGUUAAAGUUGGUAACUGAGGGUAGACUGGUAACGAUAAACGCGGAGGAAGAUAUUAUUGCAUCCGUUACCAGCGACGCACCAUACAUAGGGACGGACGACGAGGCGUUAGAAUGUUCAUUUUGAUUGUUAGAAUUUGUCAAUGCAACAUUCAUUAUCGAAGGGAAUAGGAUCCCAAUGCCCAAAAUAUCCAAUACUACAAGAAUAGGCCUGGGAUUGAUGAUUGGAAAGGGAGCCUUACCGGGAAGAGAACUCGGAAGAUAUCUCCAAGGAAGGGUCGAGGCAUCGAUGUUGAAAGGUAAACGAGACUGCUUUGGCUUAGGAUUUAAGCCAGAUGCAAGGCAAAAGAAAAAAGGAGCAAGAGAAGAAACAAGAAAGGAGAAGAGCACAUUUAAGCGGGGGAGAGGUCAAAUGGGAGCCAAUGACCUUUCCUCAUAGAUCUAGAAUGUUUGUGUCAGGAGGAACAAUCUACCCCGAAUAGAAGAUGACAAGAAAAGGUGUGUGCUGAAGAAAUGUUAGAAAAUUUGAGCAUUAAUGCCAUAUCCGAGGAAGGAACAGGAGAAGGAAAUAUAUCAGGCAUUUGCCCAUACGUGCCGAUGAGCGUUUUGAACAAUUGGACCAAGGAGCAGAUCCCUAUAACUUUUAAAAUUAAUUCAGAGUAAUGUCCAAAACAAGCUUAUUGCUCUUAGCCUAGGGCAAUAAGAGUCCUUUUGUGAAAUAGGCUCUUGUCCAGUAUCGUUAUUUUAACAAAAAUGCAUUUUUGCGUAUCAUCUUGAGCAUAUAUCCUUUUAUUCUUUCUAUUUCAUUCAUAAUCAUACCACACAAAUAAAUAUUCUUAGAAUUUUUUGUUCUUUGGAUUUUUUUCAUCCUUAUAACAGGUUUCCAGAUAUUAAUGGUAUGAGAAACGUAGCUACUAACUCAGAGUCUCCUUUUGAGCAAGAUAUGUGUAUGAAAGAUUCUCAGGAUUUUGAAGAUGACCAAAACUGUAACCUAUCUCCUGAUUUGUUAAGGAUGGUAGAGCAAGAUGAGAAACAAAUCCUGCCUCACAAGGAGUCAGUGGGAAUUGUGAGCUUAGGAGAGGAAAAAGAGGUGAAGAUUGGAGCUUGUAUCGUUGCAGAGACAAAAUGAGACCUUAUUGAGUUACUUCGAGAAUUCAAGGAUGUCUUUGCAUGGUCAUAUCAGGACAUGCCCGGGUUGAAUACUGACAUCGUGGUACACCGACUCCCUAUAAAAGAAGAGUGCAAGCCAGUUCAAUAGAAACUCCGAAGGAUGAGACUCAAUAUUCUGUUGAAGAUAAAAGAAAAGGUCAAAAAGUAAUUCGAUGCCAGUUUCUUACAAGUGGUUAAAUACUCAAAAUGGGUAGCCAAUAUAGUCCUUGUUCCUAAGAAAGAUGAGAAAGUGUGAAUGUUCAUGAACUACAGGGAUUUGAACAAGGCCAGCCCAAAAGACAAUUUCCCGUUGCCUCACAACGAUACUUUAGUGGAUAACACAAUAGGUUACUUGCUUUUCUCCUUCAUGGACGGCUUCUCGGGAUACAACCAGAUAAAAAUGCAUCCUGAACACAUGGAAAAGACCACAUUCGUAACCAUGUGAGGAACUUUUUGUUAUAAGGUGAUGCCAUUUGGACUAAAAAACGCAGGAGCGACAUACCAGAAAGCCAUGGUAACUCUAUUCCAUGAUAUGAUGCACAAGGAGAUCGAAGUUUACGUCGACGAUAUGAUUACAAAAUCUAAAAUAGAAAAAAAAGCAUGUGCAAAUCCUGAGGAAACUAUUCUUAAGGUUAAGAAAGUUCCAGCUAAAGCUCAAUCCCGCAAAAUGUACGUUCGAGGCUAGGUUAGGAAAGCUGUUAGGAUUCGUAGUCAGUGAAAAGGGGAUAGAGAUUGACCCAGACAAAGUCAAGGCUAUACAAGAAUUGCCUCCACCUCGCACUAAAAAAGAAGUUCGAGGUUUCCUAGCAAGACUAAAUUACAUCACCCGGUUCAUUUCACAACUAACAAAGAAAUGCGACCCCAUAUUCCGUCUCCUUAGGAAACACAACCCAGGUGUAUGGGAUGAGGAGUGCCAGAAAACUUUUGAUAAUGUCAAACAUUACUUGUCCAAUGCCCUAGUACUAAUGCCACUUUGCUCAGAUAAGCCGUUGAUACUAUACUUGGCAGUAUUUGAAAAUUCCAUGAGAUGCGUGCUAGGCCAACAUGAUGAGUCGGGAAGAAAAGAAAAAGUGAUAUACUAUCUCAGUAAGAAGUUCACUGAAUGUAAGACAAGGUAUUCGCCAAUUGAGAAGUUGUGUUGCGCCUUGAUUUGGACACUUAGAGACUAAGACAGUACAUGUUGUACCACACAACUUGGCUCAUCUCAAAACUAGUCCCUCUGAAGUACAUGAUGGAGUCGACUGCUUUGAAUGGAAGAAUGGCUCGAUGGAAAAUUUUACUUUCUGAAUUUGACAUAGUCUACGUGAACCAGAAAGCUGUAAAAGGGAGUGCAAUAGUGGAUUUUCUAGCCAGUAGAGCUCUAGAAGAUUACGAGCCUUUGAAUUUUAAUUUCCCAAAUGAAGAUCUGAUGUAUAUUGCAACCACUGAAGAUGUUGCUCAAGAGGAACAUCCUUAGAAACUAAACUUCGAUGGGGCCUCUAAUGCUGUGGGAAACGGAAUCGGGGCAGUCUUGGUAGCCCCAAAUAGAGAUCAUUAUCCCUUUACUAGUAAAUUUGAUUUUGAUUGCAUAAAUAACAUGGUGGAGUACGAAGCAUGCAUCAUGGGUAUCCGUGCAGCCAUUGAACAUAAAAUCAAGGUGUUAGAAGUAUAUAGGGAUUUUGCACUAGUAAUCUAUUAGCUCAAGGGCGAAUGGGAAACAAGAGACCCCAAAUUGAUUAGUUACCAGCUAGUUUUAGAGUUAAUUGAGGAGUAUGACUACAUCACUUUCUGUUAUCUCCCACAAGAUGAGAACUAGAUGACCGAUGCCUUUGCUACUUUAGCUUCUAUGAUCAGAGUAAACAAGCAAAAAGAUGUGAAGCCUAUCCGAAUGAGUAUUUAUGAGGCUUUGGCUUAUUGCUACAAUAUUGACGAAGAAGAAAAAUAAAGAUGAUCACUCUUGGUAUCACGAUAUAUUGCGAUAUGUGAGGAAUCGUGAAUACCAAACCAAGCAACUGAGAAUGAUAAAAGGACAUUGAGAAGGCUGGCCAGUGACUAUGUCCUAGACGAAGAAAUCUUAUAUAAAAGAAAGAAGGAUCAAGUGCUGUUAAGAUGUGUGGAUGCUGUUGAGGCUAAGCAAAUCUUGGAAGAGGUCCAUGAGGGUGCCUGUGGAACACAUGAUAAUGGUUUUACAAUGGCCAAAAAAAUUAUGAGAUUCAGAUAUUAUUGGUCUACUAUGGAAGGGGAUUGCAUCAGCUAUGCCAAGAAGUGCCAUAAAUACCAAAUUUAUGGAGAUAAAAUUCAUGUACCUCUUUCACCACUUCAUGUCAUGAAUUUACCAUGGCCUUUCUCUAUAUGGGGCAUGGAUGUUAUUGGGCCAAUCUCACCGAAAGCGUCUAAUGGGCAUUGAUUCAUCUUCGUAGUUAUUGAUUACUUUACCAAGUGGGUAGAAACCACCUCUUAUGCCAAUGUCACAAAAUCGACAGUCAGAAAAUUCUUAAAAAAGGAGAUCAUAUGUCGAUAUGGAAUGCCCGAAAGGAUCAUAUCUGACAACGCAUUGAACUUGAAAAAUAGCACAAUAGCAGAGGUCUGUAGCCAAUUCAAGAUCAAACACCAUAACUCGUCACCAUAUCGCCCAAAAUUGAAUGGUGCGGUGGAAGCGACCAAUAAGAAUAUCAAGAAGAUCGUGGCGAAAAUGACUGAGACUUAUAAAGAUUGGUAUGAGAAGUUACCAUUUGCCCUUUAUGCUUAUCGAACGUCUGUUAGGACCUCCACCGGGAUAAUGCUUUUCUCUUUGGUUUAUGGAAUAGAGGUGGUUCAGCCGAUUGAGGUUGAGAUUCCCUCUCUACGAGUUCUGUCAGAACUAAAGUUAGAUGAAGCAGAAUGAAUCUAGUCUCGAUAAGAAAAGAGGCUAAAAGUUAUCCGUCAUGGUCAAAUGUACCAAAAGCGAAUGAUGCGGGCUUAUAACAAGAAGGUUCACCCUAGGGAAUUCCAUGAAGGGGACCUAGUUUUGAAAAAGAUCCUCCCCAUAUAAAAGGACUUCAGAGGAAAAUGGAUGCCAAAUUGGGAGGGACCAUAUGUGGUGAAGAAGGCCUUCUCUGGAGGAGCUUUGAUUUUGACCGAGAUGGAUGGAAAAAGUCUGCCUAAUCCCUUGAAUUCAGAUUCGGUCAAGAGGUAUUUUACCUAAAAAAAAGAAGAGGAGAGGCCAAUGUAAAAACCCGCAAAAGGGCACUUUGAGACCAAAGGGGUUUUGAGUUGAAAACCCAAGAAUGAGCAAUUCAAAUUUUGAUCAAAGAUGGGGCAUGCGAUAGUCUUGUCUUUUAUUAAUUAACAAGAAGGAGGGAUGCUACAUCUUGGGGCAUCAACAAAGUACUCUAGGUCUUCUAAACACAUAUCAAGUUCAAAGGGUCCUCAAGAAGUUUUGUGCAAAGAAGCUCAUGCUACGAUAUCUGAGGCACCUAUUUUCAUUUUUUUCAUUUUGUAUUUUAGCAAAAUUUACUAUCUUGAUCAAAUUAUUCAUUCUAAGCUUCGUUCUCAAUAAGAUUCUUUUGGUCUAUUGCGAUAAUCUUUUUCAAGUGUUUUUCGUGGAAAUAACGAUUAGUGGACUAAUAAUAUUCAAAGGAAAAGGAGUUUUGCAUAUUACUCUAAAAUGCUUCUAAAUAAUACAAGAACCUAAAACGGGACCACUAGUUAGAACCAACUAAAUUCGAGAGUUGAAAAUGUUGGGGAAAGAAUGAUCCAAAUUAAGAUUAUCCUUCAGGUUCUUUGCCAGAGAUACCAGCUGAAGAAAAAGGAUAGAUAAUACGUUAAUGAUAAAACCUCGAUGAACAAUGAGCAAUGCCAACACAAGCAUUAAAAGAAGAUCAUGCUAAAAAUGACAUUUUUUCUUUGUAUUCAUGAAAACAUCAUUCAUAUACAUCUAGUUAUGAGCAUUUGAUUCACCCUGAUCAUAACAUCCUAGUCACUUGGCAUAAAGAUAGGCCUAUGAAAUCAAUUUUAAAGGUCAUGUUCCCCGAAGAACGGUGCAACAGAUCAGUGAAACCACAAGUUCUAUACCCCCGAAGUUACAAUGGGACGAAUUUAAGUCAUCAUGGUGAAUCUUAUCUCUCUAAAGUUGCAGUGAAGCAGAUUAAAACCACAAACCUUAUCUCCCUGAAGUUGCAGUGGAGCAGGUUGAAGUCACGAAUCUCAUUUCCUUGAAGUUGCAGUGGAGCAGAUUGAAGUUACAAGUUUUAUGUCCCUGAAGUUGUAGUGGAGCAAACUGAAGAUAGAAAAUCAUAUCCCUUUUGAAGUUGCAGUGGAGCGGAUUAAAGCUAUAAAUCCUAUACCUUUGAAGCUGCAGUAGGUCGGAUCAAAUCCAUCAUGGUAAAUCUUAUCUCCUUAAAGUUGCAGUGGAGUAGAUUGAAGACACAAACAUUAUCUCCCUAAAGUUGCAGUGGAGCAGGUUGAAGUUAUGAGUAUUAUCUCCCUGAAGUUAUAGUGGAAUAAACUAAAGCUACAGAUUACAAAUAUUAUCUUGCUGAAGUCAUAGUGGAGUGGAUCAAAGCAACAAUUCCUAUACCUCUGAAGAUGCAAUGGGAUGGAAUGAGGCUACUCGAAGAAGAGAAAUACUAGAAAAGUCAAGAUUCGAUAAGACUAGGCAAAACUGGCCUUUUUCGAAGUCUUUUCUCCAUUCACGUUACAUGUCAACGAGCAAAGAGGGGCAGUUGUAAUAGGCCAAUUUUGACCUGUCCUAGUUAAUAAAUAAAACCCAAACAAAUAAAUAAUAAAAGUCUAAAAUUUGCAGUCCAUUUUUACAAACAUCAUGGCCCAAUUUACAACAUGCAUAGCCCAAAUAAAAAAAAACUACCCAAACCCAAUUACAAAGCCCAAAACAAAUCAACCCUAGCCCACUUAAAACAUUUCAGCAAAAAAGUAAACCCUAGCCACAUGCCUUCAGCCGCCGCUCCUCCCACACGUUACCCUAGGCCGCUGCACGCACGUCUGUCACCACCCUUCCGCACAUCUGAUGUCUUUGACAACCACCUGCAACACGCAAGCGAAAGAAUCCAAGCAGAAGAACCAAACAGAAACAACAAAAAAAAAAAUGGAAGCAAACAGUUUAUGACUUGGCUAUAAAAGUUGAAAUAAGUCCCUUGUAAUUUAUUUUUACGCAUACUAGAAAUAAAAAAGUAGAAUAGAAGUUUCAAAAAUGUGUUAUUUUGAUCUUAUUCUUUUUGUUUUGAUUCAUUUUUCUAGUUUUCUUUUAUUUAUUCUUAACACGAAUCUAUUUUUAAACUAAAAAAACAAGGCAAAGAUUUCCAAAGGUGACCCUUUUUUUUUAAAUCUGAAAAUUUUCUACCUUUUUUUUUAUUCUCAUUAUUUCUCAUGAAAAAAUAAAGAGAAAAGAAAGGAAGGAUUUACCUGGGCCGUUCCACGCUCUGCUCGCCAAAAGCUCCCUCUCUGGCAUCGAAAUUGUCCGAGGGAGAGGGCUACAAUGGCCUUUCUUUAGGUUUUCUGGUUAGGAAGCCUUUGCCUUCGGUUUCAUUUUCUUGAAAAAGGUUAAAAAUGCCGAAUUUAAGGGUAGCUCUGACCAUCGUCCAUGGCGGGGAGCGGCGGUCCGACGACGUGAGAUGAUGGGUUUUAUAAACCCUAGUAGAGAAAAUAAAUGAGAAGGGGGCUGCUCUCCGAUUUUUUUAAAAGAAAAGGAAGCAAAUGGCAAAAAGAAAAAACUGGUUUAAAUAGCAAGGCAAAAUAGUGCCGUUUUGUACCAGAAGCCCCAGUACCAAAACGGCAUCGUAUAGGCCUUGACCCGCGCUAUCUGACCCACUCUAAGGGGGAUCUGCGCAUUUCUGAGUUGAGGACUAUUUGCGCCCAUAGUCCCUUCGGUUUUGGGUUUAUUAUUUUAGGCCCUUUUAUUAUUUUUUUUAUAGAUUUAACAACUUAAUUUUAUUUGGUUUUCGAUUGAGUCCUUGGCUCUCUGAUGCUUUGAAAAUAGACAUGCAUCCUUGGAGUUGGGGAAUAAUUUCAUAUUUAACCCUUGUUCUUUUGCGCGUGUCUUAUCUUAGGCCUUGCUUCCUGUUUUUGUUUUUUUUAGAUGUGGCCCUUAAUUUUAAUCUCUUUUUUAAUUCUACCCUUAACCCUAUAAAAUUAAACUGUUUUUUAUAUUUUACUUAUUAUAUUUUUUUUCAUUUAUUUAUUUUAAACAGUUUUAUAUGUUAUUUAUUUUAGAUUUUUAUAUAUUAAUUCUUUAAACUGUCUUAUGUAUUAUGUAUUUAAAAUUGCUUUACAAAAUUUUUUUAUUUUAAAUUUACUUAUUUUAUUUAUUUUUUAAUGCUUUCAUAUAUCGUUUAUUAACCUUUUCUACAUUAUUUACUUUAGAUAUUUUUAUAUAAAUUAUUUAUUUUAAACUAUUAUAUAUUUUAAAUUUUCAUGUAUAAUAUUCAGUUCAAACUAUUUUAUAGGUUAUUCAUUUUAAAAUUUUUGUAUUACUUAUUUUAAGAUGUUUUAUUAUUAUAUAUUUUAAGUUUUUCUUUUUUUAUACAUUAUUUAUUUGAAAUUGUUUUUAUAUUAGUUACUUUAAGUCGUUUUAUUUAUUAUCCAUUUUAAACCCUUUUUUUAUAUAUUAUUUAUUUAAAAUUGUCUUAUUAUUUAUUUUAAAUUGUUUUAUAUUAUUUAUUUCAUUUUUCUUUAAUUAUUAAUGUUGGUUUUCUAAAUGAUGUAUGUUAUGUGAUUAUUGCCAUUGUGUGAACACUGUCAUUAUAUGCUUUAGGAAUUAUUUAUUAAUAUUUUCAUGUUGUUGACAUUCAUUGACAUAGCAUUUAAUUCAUGUAUUAUUAUUUCAUGCUCUAUAUUCCCUUUUAUUUCAUUUCGUUUAAAUCAUAUCUUGCAUUAACCUCAAAUCUAUUUAUCCAAAUAUGGACCGUUUUAUUCCGAACAAAAUAAACGCCCAUUACUAAGUGUUGCCCUCGUUAUUAUUCAAAAAUGAAAAUCUUCAAAAUAGGGUAAUAUUUCGCGUUUCGGGAAUUUAAGAAAUCGUACCCUAACUUACGGGGUUUCGAUUUUCUUGUUAAACCUAAAUAGGUAAAUAUCCCUUUUAGAUUUCAAAAUACGCAAAGUUCUUGAUAAAAAUUAAAGGCAAACUUAUUCCCGAUGAUUCAAACGUCGCAUCUUAACUUACGGGAUGUGACAUUUUGUUAUAUCGAGAUGAGAGGGCCUUUGAUGCUCAUUUCAACUUAAUUCAAGUAUUUUUCAAAACAAACAUUAAUAAAAAUGGAUCGUAUUUUAAUUCUUUUCAAGUUUGCAACAUUUGACAUUAGGACAUUAAUCAAUCAAUUAGGUACCAAUUUUGGGCGUUACGAGGGUGCAAAUCCUUCUUCGUACGUAACUGACUUCCGAACCCGCUUUCUCGAAUUUCGUAGACCAAAAAGCAUUGUUUUACUAAAUCAAAACUGUUUAUUAAAAACAACCAUUUUACGAGGUGACCCGAUCACACCUAAUCAAAAAAAAUUGACGGCGACUCUAUUUUCGUUUUUUUUAAAAGUUGACCCUUUUUCAAAAAACGGUUUCGAUAGCAUCAUCUAUGAUGUAAAUUGCCCAUUCUAGAGGCUCUUCACACCCCUUAUGGUGUGAACCACAUUCAUUGUAUUAUUCAACAUUUUGCAUAACAUUAAAUGUUUUAACAAUAAUAUUAAUAAAUCAAAAGCUAGAAAUGCUCAAUUUGAGGUCUAACCUUUUGGGUAGCUCGUAUAAGGAUCAAAUAUUUCAAAAUUGUCAUAUAAGGCCUAACCUUUACAAAAGUGUUCAAAAGAAGGCUCAACUUUUCAAAAUGUUCAAAUAAUGGCCGAACCUUUUCGAAAGUGCUUAAAUAAUAGCUAAACCAUUUCAAAACUACAAAAAUAAUGACUUCUUAGAUAUCGUAUAUUGGGUUUCAAAUUAUGUUAAUAUUAUUUUCUUUUCUUUUCAAAUAAUAUUUGAUUUAGUUUUUAUUUAUUUUAUUCUAAAAUGUUAUCAUUCAACUAAUUUUUGCUAUGAACUUGACUGAAGAGUAUGAAAAACUCUUAUUUAAAUACGUAUAUAAAAGUAAGGCUCAUGUGAUAAUUUUGAAAGGUAAAAUCAUUAAAUAAGCAAUCCAUAAAAAGUUGAAUCCUAAUUUAAUUGUUUAAGGGUGUUAUUAUAUAUAUUUAAUAAAAUGAUAGAGGAUAAUUUAAAUUUGUAUAGGGUGAAUAAAAUAAAUAUACAUCUAUAAUAUUAAAACAAAAUGUAAAAUAACAUAAUUCAGUCCUAGUUAAGGAGCAAAGAAGUUGGGGGCAUGAUUUUCAGUUCAGAUUGGGGUGAAUGAAUGAAUUGAAUUGAAACGAAAUGAAAUGAAAGUAAACAAAAAUUGAAGCAGGCGAGGGUUUCCCACAAAUGAAGUAGGGGGUGAUUUGGCACAAGCCUUGUGGUUGUGGCCAUAUUAAUUAAUUAUGAAACAGAUGAAUAUCGUACCAUUAAUCGCUGGCCUUACGCGUCAGCCCUUGGCAUUAUUUUUCAAAGUGUAAAUGCAUGGGACGUCCUACAACUAAAGGACAAUAAUUUUGUCAUUUUCUGAUUACGUGUUUUCUGUAGAUUGAUAUUACACAACAACUGCCGACUAUGUCACUCAUUAUCUUGCCAACUCCUAGGCCUACGAUGAAUUCAGAAGCACAACCCUGUAAAAUGUGGGUUUUCCAAAACCCACUUAAAAAAAUUCAUUAUUUAUGAAAAUAAUAUAGAUAUAAAAUUUUUUAUGAAAAUGAAUUGUUUUUUUUAUAGUAUAUGUUAGUGUUGGUUAUCUCAUCAUCAGCACCAUCUUCCAUCAUCCAUUAAUCAUUGUCCGAUGAUUGCCUGGUCAAUAAAAAGCCACAAUAUUGAAUAAGUCAAUGAUGAUCACUUUAAGAACAAGAAGCAGGCAGUAGAGAGUGUCCUGUGAUGAUAGCAGGAAGCAAAGGAAGAAGAGGAAGAAGACAUUGGCAGUGGAGGACAUGCAGUUAGCGGCAACAAAUAUGACAACGCCGUAGUCUUCUGUCAAUGAUAAAACGUCUGUCUUUUUUUAAAAAACAAUCACCGGUCCUAGUAACUAGAGCACACAGGAAAAAAAAAUCAAAACCACACCGAUGCCGACAAUGAGAACGUCAAUACCAACACUGAAAAACUUUUUUUUUUUAAUUUGAACCGGUGUUGGCAACAUGAACACCGACAUGUAUUAAAAUAUUAUUAUUAGUUUUUGAUCUUGGAAUACAGUAUUUUUUAAGUGUAUAUGAAAAAUGAAACAUAUUGGUGUCGACAAACAUAGUGCCAUCACAAAAAAAUUUAUUUUUUAUUUGACCGGACAAUCAUCGGGCAAUGAUUAAGAGAUCAUAGAGGGUAGUGUCAACGGUAAGGUGGCUGGCACCAUCAUGCACUAUAGAAUCAGGUCAUUUCCAUCAAAUAUUUUGCACCUAGGUCAUUUCCAUAAAUAAUUUAUUUUUUGGAUCAAUUUUGAAAAAAAAAAGCACCAGAUUUUAGUUUAGUUAAUUCAUUGGAUCACGCUUAAAAUUAAAAAAAAAUCUUUUUAUUAAGAGUAAAAUUGAAUUAAUAAAUUAAUUCUUAUGUAUUGGAUUAAAAAGUAAAUUAGUUCUUUCUAUUAAAAAUUUUCCAUUUCUAUUGAUAAAAACUGAUUUGAUUGAUAGAAUAAUUAGAAAAUUACAUAUGGUAUGUCACGUGUACCUCUAAUAUAAAAAGACUAAUUUACUUUUUUUAAGUAAAAAGAGAAAAAUGUAAUCUACUCUUAAAAUAAGAGCCUUUAUCAUACUUUUACCAUUUAAAAUAUUAUAUUUGUAGUGAUUUUAUCAGCUUCUUUACCCAACUAACCAAAAAAAAAAUUUAUUUGCGACAUUGACCCAGGUUGAAAAUCUAUAACGAAAAUGACUUGAAAUCUACAGUGUCGGGCAGUGUCGACACUCUGAUGGCCGUCAUCAAUGUCAAUCAUCGUAUAAUGAUUGCUUGUUGAUUGAGUUAGGGUUUAAAAAAUAAUUUUUUUGUUGCCGGCACUACAAUGACUGACACCUGUAUGUAUUUUUGUGUACUUUUUUGAAAAAAUGGGUAUUUUCCGGUUCAAAAGUUUUUUUAUUAGCUGUCAGCUUCUAGGUGGUUGGCAUCGGGAAAAAAUCAAAUUUUAUUUUUCGGUAUUUUUUGGUGCUGACACCCGUGUUGGAUUAAUUUUUUUUUAGUACCAGCCUUCUCUCCACCAGCACCGGUGUGGUUUUUUGGCAUGCUCUGGUUGCAAUGACCAGUGACCAUUUGGUUCUUUUUAAAGCUUUGGCAAUGUGACUCCUAAGCCUUCAAUUGUAUGAGAAGAGAGAUUUGAAGAAAAUAACAUAAUACCAGGAGAGAAGAAGCACUGAAUAUUUGAGAAGAAAAAGAAAAAGAUUUUGAGUUCAAUUUACUGAUUACAGUACUUAGUAGGCAAAGGAAACAAGAGAAGAAAAUGAAAAAAAAUGAAGAGUUGUAUUAAAAAAAAGAAGAGUGAAAGAGAAGAAGGCAAGACAAAUUUAAAUUAGACAUCUAUGGUUUCAACGGGAAAAACAGUUGUAUAUGAAUUUGCAUUAAUAAAUUUAAUUAAUUGUUUUUUAUGGUUUCAAGGCAAGAAAAAAUUUAAUGCAAUUUUAUUGUUUCAAUAGGAAAAAAAGUUGUAGAUGGAAAAAGAAUUCCCCCCCACUCUUCAUUAUCACCUUUCUUAGAGUGCGUUAAUUAACUUUUAAUCAUGUGCAACUUUUCCGACUAAAUUACCUAAAAAGGCUCAUUUCCAACUAUAUUUACGGAAAUGGACUGAAUAUACAAUUAAGUAUCGAAAAUGGCCACUUUUUGCAAUAUGCACCUACGUGGCUACGUUUAAAGGGGAAAUUGCCAGCAAAGCGCGCCCUUGGGAAAACGUCAACGCGCUUUGCUGACGUGGCAAAAAAAGCUCCCCUAGGGGUGCGCAUUGCUGGCAAAUUUUCAAUCCCAAUGGCUAAUUUUUUUGAUCGUUGGGGGGUCCAACGGUAAAAAGAAAAAGUAUAAAAUCCCCCUCCUAUUAUUUCACACAUAAGUUCUUACAAUUUAGCAAAAAAUCUCUACAAUUUCUCCAUAAAGUUCUCUAAUUUCUCAUUAAAUUUCUCAAAGCUCUUUAUAAUUAGUUAUUUACUUUAAUUUUUCUAAAUUAGUAUUAUUUUUUUAUAAUUUCAAAAAUAUUUGAUCGUGUUAGCAAUGGCUUGGGGAUUAAUUCGUCUGAAUCAUAAACAUAUCUCCGUCGAACAAAUGAAAAUGAUAAUGGUUUGUUUUAAAUUUUAAAUAUUAUUUAAUAUUUUUUCAUUUAUUUUAAAUUUCAAAUAUUAUUUAAUAUUUUUUGCAUUUAUGUAAUUUUAAUUAAUUUGCAUUUUAUAAUUUUUUAUAACAGUCUGUAGAUCGGGUGUUAUAAUGUUAUAUUCGUAAUAUGGCUGGUCCGUCAUCACCGUUGAUAGAAAAUUACUUGAGGGAAGCGGGCUUUUGGCACACGACGACUAUAGGCCGGGGGUGCAAGUUAGACUCGAAACUCAUUAACGCAUUAAUAGAGAGGUGGAGACUGGAGACACAUACAUUCCAUCUUCCAUACGGAGAGUGUACUAUUAAAUUGGAGGACGUCUAGUUACAAUUAGGAUUGCCAGUGGAUGGGGUCGCACUCACCAGGUCCGUUCAAUCUGCUGAUUGGGGUGCCAUAUACUACAAUCUUUUGGGUGCGAUUUCGGAUAAUAUUUACGGAGGUUGGAUCGAGAUGGGCUGGUUACAAGACACAUUCUUGGAGCCAGGGAAUGAUUCGACUGAAGUAUAAAGAAGACGAUAUGCACAGGCAUACAUCCUUGAGAUGAUUGGAGGUUAUCUGAUGCUGGACUUGUCACGAAACCUCGUACAUCUGAGGUGGCUGCUGAAGCUUGUUGAUUUUAGAGCAACUGGCAAAAUUAGUUGGGGGUCUACCAUGUUGGCAACAUUGUACCAGGAGAUGUGCGGGACGACGCCACCAAAUAUAACCAAAAUUGGAGGUUGCCUAUCACUACUACAAUCAUGGGCUCGGUUUUGCGUUCCAUUUUUACAUCCUCGAGUGAACCACCCAUAUACAUUCCCACUCAUUACAAGGUAAAAUUUUUAUUUGAUUUUACAAUUAUUCAAUAGAUUUAAAAUAAAAUUGUAUGCUGAAAAUUUAUUUAAUUAGGUGGAACCAUUCGAUGAGUUAUGUUGGAAUACCUACCGCUCUUAAAGAUAUACGGCUUCUAUUAGACCAAUGGUCGGAAGCGUAACUAAGUAUUAAAUAAAAUAUAUAUACAUAAAAUAGUCGUUUCAUAUUUAGUAUUUAGUAUUUAGUAUUAUGUAUAUAACUAAUAUUUUUAUCCCGUUCAUAUAGUUUCAAUGGACACCAUACGAGGAUUCGGCAAUACAGGCUGUAAUUCCGAAAGAAUUCUUUUAAAGUCUAAACAUUUGGCAUGUUAAGGUCUCAUUGGUAAACUAUGCUACUGUCGAGAUGCAUCUGACAGAUAGAGUGCUGUAAUAAUUUGGAUUCCGACAAUUGAUUCUUGAGGAACCUGAGGUGCUCGAUGACCAGCACAUAAUCGACUUAUGGAAAAUGAAUACGAAUUGGCCAGUAUUCUGGUCAGAAUAUAUCAAAAUUUGGGAAAACAAGUAUUAUCAUAUACCUGAUCGCGAAUCGAUCAUCGUCCCAGAGUUAGCGGGCACCCCGAAUUACAUGCCAUGGUUUAGGAUCCAUGUCAAGCUAUAUUUGCUUUCAGAAGAGCAGAGGCGUCGACAAAUCUGUGUGGAAAGGGAACGAUGGGGCCUUUUAAAUCCAAGGAGAAGGGAUGAAGCACCCACACAAUCAUCAGGCCCAUCAAUAACACCCACACAAUCACCAGCCCAAUGCUUCAACCGAUGACACCCACAUCACAACCUUUUCAGAUUAUACCAAGUGCGUAUCCUAGCCUUUAUAUGUAUCCUAACCCUUAUAUGUUUCCUUUUCCUAGUCCUAUGCCAGGUUGGAAUGCAUGGUCCGGUGCAUCUCCUUUCUUGAUGACUCCAACUCAACCGAUGAUAUAUAGGCCAUCGUCACUUCAGGGAUCACACGAGGCACAGUCGGCGAGCUUAUCUCAUUACCAUUUCCCAUCGCCUUUUAGGAUUCAAACACCUCCGUCGCGGGUGAUGAAAACACCUCCACAUUUUUUUAUUCUACCAAUGUGAGUAAUCCUCCCAACACCCACAACCUGAACAACCACAACCCCCGCCGAAGCAACUAAGGAGGAAUCUGGUGCUUAAUCAUCGUCGACCACCAUGUGGUAGUGAUUUCAACCAACAUAUACAUUAAUUUUUUAAUAUAUUUAUAGAAGUUGUUUCUAUAUUGUUUCAUUUAAUAAAAAAUAAGUUGUUUUAAAUAUUUUAAUAGUAAAUUAAUUUUAUAUUUUGAAUAAAAUAAGUUCUUUUGAAUAAGGCUGAAUAGAAAUAAUACAACAUCGUUUCAUAACAACAAUUAUCAACUAUUUCGGUUUGGAAAUGAUUGAAUUGUAUGACCUGGGUUCCUACACCAUCCACACAAUUUCUAUUGGUUUUUCUGUGACAGCCCUAAAUUGACCCUAGUCAGAAAGUGGUUUCGGGACCGCUAAACCGAGUCACCGAAGUAUUUGAGUAUAAUAUUUAUUGUCUAAAAUAUGUGAAUAUGAGUGUGUGAAAGUUUUGAGCUUCGAUUUGGUCAAUUGCAUGUGAAUUUAGUUAAUAGAACUUAUGUGUGACACUUUUGAAAUGUGAUGGGUUAAUCUAUAAGGAUCUAUUAGUGCAUGUUAUGAAAAUAAUGGGUUUGCAUGUCAAAUUUCCACCUAUGACAAGUAGUGGCCGGCCAUGCUAUGGGUUAAAAUGUAUUAUAAACAUUUUAUGUUAGUGUUUUAUGUUAGAAAUAAUAAAAUAAAGAACAUGGGUAAUAAAAUAAUAGUGGUUCGUAGGAGGAGAAACAAAAAAAAAAUAGCUAGGUUGCUCCUUCAUUGCCGUAACUAGAGGAAGAAGAAGAGGGGAAGUUCGGCCAAGGUGGUUCUUUAGAUUAAGGUAUGUUCAAUGUUGCUUUUGGGGGUUUACACAUCCUUUGGAGGGUUAGCCUACUUCUAUUUAUCUCAUGGAUGAAAUUGGGGUUGUUGGAGAGUUAGGAUUCGGCUAAGAGGCUUCAAAAUUCUAGUUGAUGCCUUGAUACUACUAGCAUGUUAGCUAUAUGGAUGUGUUAAGUUACUUGAGAUGUUAGAUAAAUUUGAACUCCCUACCAAAUUCUUUAGGCAACCCAUGUUAGAAAUUUCGGUAUUGAGAUGUCUAGAUCUUUCGGCCAUUGUAGCUAUGGAGGAAUAAAGUUUUGUUUCUUGUUAAAUUGGAUGAAUCUUGUUGUAUGAGUGCUUGAACAAACUACGAUUAAAUGGAUGCAUAGAUUCAAAGUGGGAAGAAUUGGCUAUUAUAUUUGAUGCUAAUACCGAAUAUGAAGAUGUUGAACUUGAAUAAAUAAUAUUCAGCUAGCAUGAUAAGUUAUGAAAUAUUAAGUAGAUGAUAUAAUUGAUUGGUGAAGUGGCUAAUAGGGAUUUUUAAUGAAAUUAUGCCAAGGCCGAAUGUAUCAUGAAGUAAAUAAAAAUGCUAAAUGUGCAUUAUGUGCUUAUAUGUGUAUUCGACCAAGGAAGUUUGAUAUGAAGCUUUGAUAGGUUUGAGAGAUGAAUGAGCCAUAGGUUAUGUAUGGAUGAAUUUUAUUCAUAUGUGUGUGUGUGGCAUUAGUAGUUAAUGGCAUUCGGCAUUGUUUAAUUAAAAUUAGAAAUGAAUGCUUGAAAGUUAAAUAGGUCGCUCUAAUAACCAAAUAUGCUAAAAACUAAUAUAUGGACAAAUGAUACGAAUGAAUUGGUUUUUGAAAUGUAUAUGGUUGCCGUAUGUAUGUGUUUGAUUGAGAAGUAAAUUUGUUUGAUUUAGCUCAAGAGCUUAGAGGAUCAAAGUUGGAUAAGGGAAAGGAAAAAGUGAUCGAAUAGCCGUUGAAAUCGUUCGACAACAUCCGAGGUAAGUCUUUGAGUAAUGAAAUUUAGCUUACGAUUUAAUAAGGCAAUUAUUUGUCUAUGAGCAUAAUAAUUAACUCGUGACUUGACGAUUCUACUUGAAUUACUUGAUAAAAUAAAUAAGUAAGGUAUUUACUUGGAGCCGAAUGGUUAUAGAAAUCUUGUGGGAUUAAUGAACCGAAUGACGUAUGGUUAGUAAACAUGCUGUUAUUGUAUUCGAGUAUCAGGAAUGAUAUCCAGAUGUGAUAUGAUAUAUAUAUAUGCAUAUAUGCAUGAAUGCUAAUCGGGGUCUAAAUCUGAGCUUGGUCUCGAAGGGCUUUUGAGCCAGUGCUAAUAACCGAACUUAGUUUCAAAGGGCUUUUUAGAGCCAGUGACAUAACCGGACUUAAUUCCGAAGGGCCUUCGAGCCAGUAGUCUAAUCCGAGCUUGGUCUCGAAGGGCUUUUGAGCCGGUGCUAAGAGUCGGACUUUAUUCUGAAGGAUGUUGCACCAGCAUAAUAUUUGAGGGUGAAAACCCGUAAGUGUUCUUACGAGAAAUCAUAUAAUACAUGCUGGAAUAAUUUUAAUCACAUGCGCUACUUACUGUAAGACAACCAGGUAAGUAAUUCACCCUUGUUGAGAAUGUGAAUAUACUUCAAUUAUGAAUUUGAAAUUUGAUGGGAAUGCUUAGCACAUUAUUUAAAUCAUCCGAACGUUUAUGAUCGGAUUAUGAUGUAUGAGUUCCGAAUAUGAGAGUUCAAUGUCAUAGUUAUGAAAUGUGUGUGCAUAUGCAUGAAAUGGACAUGGAAAUUUGAGAUGAGAGCAUUCGGUUGUGGAUUGGAGUUGGCCGGAUAAAUUGGUUUCACCUUUGUGAUAUUAAUGAUAAAAGUGAUAUCACGGUUCUGUUUCUAUUCGGCCAAGGGAUGAAACAAACAAACUUGAUAUUUUUAUGCCAUCCUUUUAAAUGAUUUCAUUACUUAAAACUUACUAAGCAUCGAAAUGCUUAUUCUCUGCUUUAAUUCUCUGUUUGUAGAUUUUGUUCGUCAGCUAUCAGACUCGGGAUUGUCAAAGUCGAAGUCAUCCACACUAUCUAAACCACUUUUUGGUACUCUUUUAGUUCAAUUUGAAAUGGCAUGUAUAGGGCUGACCCUUGUUGUUAAUUGAGUACCCUUUUGUAAUGUAUAUUCGUAUAGCAAUGCGAAAAUGGCUCGUAUAUUUUGAAGUAUAACAUUAUGGUCUUAUGGUAUGGUUAUUAAGUGGUGUGGAAAUGUUUGGUAAUGACUAGCCAUUGGAAUGGCCAAUCAUGGUCCUAUUGGUGCUACGUAUGUCAUGGCUAAUCGGGAUUACCCUUGAUAAUAAUGUAUGCCAAUUUGCUAGUUGAUUCAUGGAAAACUAGGAAAUAGGUGAAAUCUGCCUUAAAAUAGAUGCUGAUGGCAGCAGUGAUGUGAGUGUUAAAAAUCACUAAAAAUAGUAUAAAUGUAAUUAAAUAAUGAAUAAAUUAUGUAAAUGAACCUUGAUGAGUCUAUUUUCAUAUGGAAGAAGCGAAAAAACCAUAUGAGCCGUAUUUUAUGAGAUGUUUAAGUUUUCGUGAAACAGGGCCAGAGCAAUUACUGGAUCCCCUGUUCUGACUUUGAAAAUUUACCAUAAAUUAACCAGAGACAAUUGGAAGUCAUGCUUCAUAUUUAUAGAUUCCAUUUUGAGUCUAGUUUCAUUAGAAACAAACGGCAUAAGUAUUGAAGCUCUGUACAGGGAGAUAUCUAAGUCGUAAUGCAUGAAGGUCAGAGUAGUCGAACCUUGAAACAGGAGAGACUUUAACUAAUAAACUGUACUAAUUGGCUUGACCAAAAAUUCUAGAAAAAAAUUUGUAGAUGGAAAUAUGAGUGUAGUUUCAGGGAAAAUUUACGGAAUCAGUUUUCGAGUUAAGGGAACUUGAGAUAUGAUUUUUAAGGUGGCAGUAACACAGUUAGCCAGCUUGUCUGGAAAUUUUAAAAAUGAACUGUAUAAAUAAAUGAAUUAAGUCCGUUAACACCUCGUGUCCGACUCCGGAAACGGUCUCGGGUACGGGGCGUUACAAUUUUAUUGGUAUCAGAGCUACGGUUUAGUCGAUUCUAGGACUACCGUACUACGUUCGGGUCUAGCUAUACAUGCCAUUGUGUGUUUAUUUGAUAGUGGCGAUUUCUGACAGUUAAAAAUGUGUUUAUUUAUAGUAAUGGAUCCCGAUCCCAACCGACUGGUAGCUGAUGAUCUUGAGAGUGUAGCUCCUGCUCCCGCACAAGGGACAGUGCCGGUGGACUCUCAACCUAUUGCUAGUAAUCAGAAUGAUGAAGCUAGACAAGCUUUUUAUAGCGUGAUGAAUGAUUGGUUCAACCAAUACAUUCGAACUAAUACGGCUGUUCCACAACCCCCAUUCCCGACCAAUACAACCCCUGCACCUGCGAUACCCCCGGUAACCGACCAAAUAAGGUUAAAUAAGCCCCCAGUUGACAGAAUCCGAAAACACGGGGCUACUGAAUUUAAAGCUACAGACAGCGACGAUGCCGAGCAAGCUGAAUUUUGGUUGGACAACACUAUUCGGGUACUUGAUGAACUAUCUUGCACAUCCGAUGAAUGCCUUAAGUGAACUAUCUCCUUGCUACGUGAUUCUGCCUACUAUUGGUGGAAUACGUUGAUUUCGGUUGUGCCCAGAGAGCAAGUAACUUGGGAGUUUUUCCAAACCGAGUUUCGAAAAAAGUAUAUCAGCCAGAGAUUCAUUGAUCAAAAACAAAAAGAAUUUCUUGAACUUAAACAAGGUUCCAUGUCGGUUACUGACUAUGAACGAAAGUUUGUAAGACUUAACCGGUACGCUCGGGAAUGCAUUUCCUCAGAAGCUGUAAUGUACAAACGUUUCGAGGACGGACUGAACGAUGAUAUAAAACUGUAUGUUGGCAUUUUAGAAAUCAGAGAAUUUGUGGUACUUGUCGAGCGAGCGUGAAAAGCCGAAGAGCUCAGUAAGGAGAAAAGAAAAGCUGAUAUGGGAGCAAAGGAGUUUUGUAAGAGAUCUUCGGGAAAGCCCUUUCAAUAGUUAUCGAAGAAAUUUAGAGAUGGUUUAGGCCGAUCUAGAGACACUUCAGGCUUUUCUAGACGAGAUCGUGAUCGACCCCCUGUGAGUACACGAGUCACUUCGGUGGCCAGUGUUGGAAAUGAUCGUCGAGACAGGACAGAGUGCCAGUAUUGUGGUAAAUGGCAUUCGGGAAGUUGUAGAUUCCAUGACCGCUCCUGUUAUAAGUGCGGAUCGGCUGACCACUUUAUCAAGGAUUGCCCGAGACUGUCUGAACAAAAUGUAAAUCAGAGUGGGAAACCGGGUGCUACUACUGCUUGAGGUAGACCAUCUAGAAAUACGGGAAAUCCUAGUGGCGGUCAGAGAGGAUCUAGAGACGCUACAACCAGAUCUGAGGCUCGUGCUCCUGCCAGAGCUUAUGCUAUACGUGCACGCGAGGAUGCUUCUUCGCCUGAUGUUAUUACCGGUACAUUCACUCUCUUUGAUACCAAUGUGAUUGCAUUGAUUGACCCUGGUUCUACUCAUUCUUAUAUAUGUGAGACUUUAGCAUCCAGUAAGACUUUACCUGUUGAGUCUACUGAGUUCGUUAUUAGAGUGUCGAACCCCUUGGGUCAUUGUGUGCUUGUUUAUAAGGUGUGUAAGAAAUGUCCCCUAGUAAUUCGAGGUUCCUGUUUUCCGGUGGACUUGAUGCUUUUACCGUUUGAUGAAUUUGAUGUUAUUCUCGGUUUGGACUGGUUGACCGUGCAUGAUGCGGUUGUGAAUUGCAAGACUAUGACUAUUGAUUUGAGGUGUGCAAAUAAUGAGAUAAUCCGAGUUGAGUCUACUGUUUUGACUGGAUUGCCAACAAUAAUAUCCUCGAUGUUAGCUCGAAAAUAUGUGAGAAAGGGGUGUGAAGCGUACCUUGCAUACGUACUUGAUAAUAAAGAGUCAUAAAAGAAACUUGAAUCGGUGCCAGUGGUUUGUGAUAUUCGGAUGUUUUCCCCGAAGAAUUUCUAGGGUUACCACCUGUUCGGGAGGUAGAGUUUGGCAUCGAACUUGUACCUGGGACUACACCGAUUUCGAUAGCUCCGUAUCGUAUGGCACCAACGGAAUUAAAGGAAUUGAAAGCUCAGUUGCAAGAGUUGACGGAUAGAGGUUUCGCUCGACCAAGUUUCUCACCUUGGGGUGCACCAGUAUUGUUUGUGAAAAAGAAGGACAGAACCAUGAGGUUGUGCAUCGACUAUCGUCAGCUGAAUAAAGUGACAAUAAACAAUAAAUAUCCGUUACCGCGUAUUGAUGAUUUGUUUGAUCAACUAAAGGGAGCCUCAGUGUUUUCAAAGAUAGAUUUGAGAUCGGGUUAUUAUCAGUUGCGAAUUCGAGAUUCGGAUAUACCCAAAACUGCUUUCAGAACGAGAUAUGGUCACUACGAGUUCUUAGUGAUGCCGUUUGGGCUCACUAAUGCCCCUGCGGUAUUUAUGGAUUUGAUGAAUCGAAUCUUCAGACCGUAUUUGGAUCGGUUUGUAGUUGUGUUUAUCGAUGAUAUUUUGGUCUAUUCGAGAAAUGAAACCGAUCAUGCUGAACACCUGGGAUUAGUGUUGCAAAUUUUACGGGAUAAGCAGUUAUAUGCUAAGUUCAGUAAGUGUGAGUUCUGGUUAAGAGAGGUUAGCUUCUUGGGACAUGUGGUAUCUGCAUUGGGUAUUCGAGUUGAUCCGAGCAAAAUUUCAGCCAUACUUAACUGGAAGCCUCCGAGAAAUAUUACUGAAGUUCGGAGCUUUUUGGGACUUGCCGGUUACUACAGACGCUUUGUAAAGGGUUUCUCGAUGAUAGCCACACCAAUAACGAAACUACUUCAGAAAGAUGUUAAGUUUGAAUGGACAGAAAAAUGUCAGAAAAGUUUCGAUCCAUUGAAAACUUAUUUGACUGAAGCUCCAGUACUAGUGCAGCCCGAAUCAGGCAAGGAGUUUGUCAUCUACAGUGAUGCAUCCUUACUUGGGUUGGGUUGUGUAUUGAUGCAAGAAGGUCGAGUUGUGGCCUAUGCGUCGAGACAAUUGAAGCCACAUGAGAAAAAUUAUCCGACCCAUGAUCUCGAACUAGCUGCCAUCGUAUUCGCUUUGAAAAUAUGGCGACAUUACUUAUUUGGUGAGAAGUGCCAUGUAUAUUCAGAUCACAGAAGUCUCAAAUAUUUGAUGACUCAAAGAGACUUGAAUCUGCGACAAAGACGUUGGCUCGAGUUGUUAAAAGAUUAUGAGCUUGUCAUUGACUAUCACCCGGGAAAGGCUAAUGUGGUUGCAGAUGCUUUAAGUCGUAAAUCACUAUUUACUUUACGAGCGAUGAAUGUACACUUGUCUGUUCUAUCCGACAAUGUGUUAGUAGUAGAAUUAAAGGCCAAACCAUUGUUGAUUCAUCAAAUUCGUGAAGCUCAAAAAGUCGAUGAUGAAUUGGUUGCAAAACGGGCUGAAUGUGUCUCGAACAUGGAAUCAGAGUUUCAAAUUGACGAUGACGAUUGUUUGAGGUUCAGAAGUCGUUUGUGUGUCCCAAGAAAUUCAAAACUUAUUUCGACGAUUCUGAACGAAGCUCAUUGUAGCCGAAUGUCAAUUCACCCGGGGAGCACGAAAAUGUACAACGACCUGAGACGUCAAUUUUGGUGGCAUGGCAUGAAACGAGACAUUUCCGAUUUUGUUUCGAAGUGUUUAAUAUGUCAACAGGUGAAAGCGGAACAUCAAGUGCCUACAGGUUUACUUCAGCCGAUCAUGAUACCUGAAUGGAAAUGGGAUCGAGUCACGAUGGAUUUUGUAUCUGGGUUGCUGUUGUCGGCAACUAAGAAAGAUGCGAUUUGGGUUGUUGUUGAUAGACUGACUAAGUUGGCUCAUUUUAUUCCCGUACGUACGGAUUAUUCAUUGGAUAAACUAGCUGAAUUGUAUGUUUCUCAGAUUGUAAGGUUACAGGGGGUACCUAUUUCUAUUGUGUCGGAUAGAGAUCCGAGGUUCACCUCGCGAUUUUGGAAGAAACUGCAAGAAGCCUUGGGUACUAAGUUGCAUUUUAGCACCGCUUUUCAUCCACAGACUGAUGGUCAAUCCGAGCGGAUAAUUCAGAUACUCGAGGAUAUGUUGAGAUGUUGCAUCCUUGAGUUUAGUGGUUCAUGAGAGCGGUAUUUACCUUUGAUUGAAUUCGUUUACAACAAUAGUUUUCAAUCAAGCAUUAAGAUGGCACCUUACGAGGCUUUGUACGGUCGUAAAUGCCGUACACCGUUGUUUUGGACCGAACUCGGUGAAAGUAAAAUUUUCGGAGUUGACUUGAUUAAAGAUGCUGAGCAGAAAGUAAAAAUAAUUCGUGAAAGUCUAAAGGCAGCAUCAGAUCGUCAGAAGUCGUACGCGGAUUUAAAACGAAGAGAUAUUGAGUAUCAGGUGGGAGACAAAGUGUUUCUUAAGGUUUCACCUUGGAAAAAGAUACUCAGAUUUGGCCGUAAGGGCAAACUGAGUCCGAGGUUCAUUGGGCCGUAUGAAAUCUCCGAACGAGUUGGUCCAGUUGCAUAUAAGUUGCUUUUACCCCCUGAACUUGAAAGGAUUCACAACGUUUUUCACGUUUCGAUGCUUCGACGUUACAGAUCUGAUCCUUCGUACAUAAUUAAUCCCUCCGAGGUUGAAAUUCAAUCCGAUAUGAGUUAUGAAGAAGAACCGAUACGUAUCCUAGCUCGUGAAGUGAAAGAGUUGCGAAACAAAAGGGUUCUGUUAGUGAAGGUGUUAUGGCUCAAACACAGGAUCGAAGAAGCUACUUGGGAAACCGAGAACUCUAUGAAAGAACGUUACCCAAACCUAUUUACCAGUAAGAUUUUCGGGGACGAAAAUUUCUUAAAUGGGGGAGAGUUAUGACAGCCCUAAAUUGACCCUAGUCGGAAAGUGGUUUCGGGACCGCUAAACCGAGUCACCGAAGUAUUUGAGUAUAAUAUUUAUUGUCUAAAAUAUGUGAAUAUGAGUGUGUGAAAGUUUUGAGCUUCGAUUUGGUCAAUUGCAUGUGAAUUUAGUUAAUAGGACUUAUGUGUGACACUUUUGAAAUGUGAUGGGUUAAUCUAUAAGGAUCUAUUAGUGCAUGUUAUGAAAAUAAUGGGUUUGCAUGUCAAAUUUCCACCUAUGACAAGUAGUGGCCGGCCAUGCUAUGGGUUAAAAUGUAUUAUAAACAUUUUAUGUUAGUGUUUUAUGUUAGAAAUAAUAAAAUAAAGAACAUGGGUAAUAAAAUAAUAGUGGUUAGUAGGAGGAGAAACAAAAAAAAAUUAGCUAGGUUGCUCUUUCAUUGCCGUAACUAGAGGAAGAAGAAGAGGGGAAGUUCGGCCAAGGUGGUUCUUUAGAUUAAGGUAUGUUCAAUGUUGCUUUUGGGGGUUUACACAUCCUUUGGAGGGUUAGCCUACUUCUAUUUAUCUCAUGGAUGAAAUUGGGGUUGUUGGAGAGUUAGGAUUCGGCUAAGAGGCUUCAAAAUUCUAGUUGAUGCCUUGAUACUACUAGCAUGUUAGCUAUAUGGAUGUGUUAAGUUACUUGAGAUGUUAGAUAAAUUUGAACUCCCUACCAAAUUCUUUAGGCAACCCAUGUUAGAAAUUUCGGUAUUGAGAUGUCUAGAUCUUUCGGCCAUUGUAGCUAUGGAGGAAUAAAGUUUUGUUUCUUGUUAAAUUGGAUGAAUCUUGUUGUAUGAGUGCUUGAACAAACUAUGAUUAAAUGGAUGCAUAGAUUCAAAGUGGGAAGAAUUGGCUAUUAUAUUUGAUGCUAAUGCCGAAUAUGAAGAUGUUGAACUUGAAUAAAUAAUAUUCAGCUAGCAUGAUAAGUUAUGAAAUAUUAAGUAGAUGAUAUAAUUGAUUGGUGAAGUGGCUAAUAGGGAUUUUUAAUGAAAUUAUGCCAAGGCCGAAUGUAUCAUGAAGUAAAUAAAAAUGCUAAAUGUGCAUUAUGUGCUUAUAUGUGUAUUCGGCCAAGGAAGUUUGAUAUGAAGCUUUGAUAGGUUUGAGAGAUGAAUGAGCCAUAGGUUAUGUAUGGAUGAAUUUUAUUCAUAUGUGUGUGUGUGGCAUUAGUAGUUAAUGGCAUUCGGCAUUGUUUAAUUAAAAUUAGAAAUGAAUGCUUGAAAGUUAAAUAGGUCGCUCUAAUAACCAAAUAUGCUAAAAACUAAUAUAUGGACAAAUGAUACGAAUGAAUUGGUUUUUGAAAUGUAUAUGGUUGCCGUAUGUAUGUGUUUGAUUGAGAAGUAAAUUUGUUUGAUUUAGCUUAAGAGCUUAGAUGAUCAAAGUUGGAUAAGGGAAAGGAAAAAGUGAUCGAAUAGCCGUUGAAAUCGUUCGACAACAUCCGAGGUAAGUCUUUGAGUAAUGAAAUUUAGCUUACGAUUUAAUAAGGCAAUUAUUUGUCUAUGAGCAUAAUAAUUAACUCGUGACUUGACGAUUCUAUUUGAAUUACUUGAUAAAAUAAAUAAGUAAGGUAUUUACUUGUAGCCGAAUGGUUAUAGAAAUCUUGUGGGAUUAAUGAACCGAAUGACGUAUGGUUAGUAAACAUGCUGUAAUUGUAUUCGAGUAUCAGGAAUGAUAUCCAGAUGUGAUAUGAUAUAUAUAUGCAUAUAUGUGUGAAUGCUAAUCUGGGUCUAAAUCCGAGCUUGGUCUCGAAGGGCUUUUGAGCCAGUGCUAAUAACCGAACUUAGUUUCGAAGGGCUUUUUAGAGCCAGUGACAUAACCGGACUUAAUUCCGAAGGGCUUUCGAGCUAGUAGUCUAAUCCGAGCUUGGUCUCGAAGGGCUUUUGAGCCGGUGCUAAGAGUCGGACUUUAUUCCGAAGGAUGUUGCACCAGCAUAAUAUUUGAGGGUGAAAACCCGUAAGUGUUCUUACGAGAAAUCAUAUAAUACAUGCUGGAAUAAUUUUAAUCACAUGCGCUACUUACUGUAAGACAACCAGGUAAGUAAUUUACCCUUGUUGAGAAUGUGAAUAUACUUCAAUUAUGGAUUUGAAAUUUGAUGGGAAUGCUUAGCACAUUAUUUAAAUCAUCCGAACAUUUAUGAUCGGAUUAUGAUGUAUGAGUUCUGAAUAUGAGAGUUCAAUGUCAUAGUUAUGAAAUGUGUGUGCAUAUGCAUGAAAUGGACAUGGACAUUUGAGAUGAGAGCAUUCGGUUGUGGAUUGGAGUUGGCCAGAUAAAUUGGUUUCACCUUUGUGAUAUUAAUGAUAAAAGUGAUAUCACGGUUAUGUUUCUAUUCGGCCAAGGGAUGAAACAAACAAACUUGAUAUUUUUAUGCCAUCCUUUUAAAUGAUUUCAUUACUUAAAACUUACUAAUUAUCAAAAUGCUUAUUCUCUGCUUUAAUUCUCUGUUUGUAGAUUUUGUUCGUCAGCUAUCGGACUCGGGAUUGUCAAAGUCGAAGUCGUCCACACUAUCUAAACCACUUUUUGGUACUCUUUUAGUUCAAUUUGAAAUGGCAUGUAUAGGGCUGACCCUUGUUGUUAAUUGAGUACCCUUUUGUAAUGUAUAUUCGUAUAGCCAUGCGAAAAUGGCUCGUAUAUUUUGAAGUAUAACAUCAUGGUCUUAUGGUAUGGUUAUUAAGUGGUGUGGAAAUGUUUGGUAAUGACUAGCUAUUGGAAUGGCCAAUCAUGGUCCUAUUGGUGCUACGUACGUCAUGGCUAAUCGGGAUUACGCUUGAUAAUAAUGUAUGUCAAUUUGCUAGUUGAUUCAUGGAAAACUAGGAAAUAGGUGAAAUCUGCCUUAAAAUAGAUGCUGACAGCAGCAGUGAUGUGAGUUUGAAAAAUCACUAAAAAUAGUAUAAAUGUAAUUAAAUAAUGAAUAAAUUAUUUAAACGAACCUUGAUGAGUCUGUUUUCAUAUGGAAUAAUCGAAACGACCAUAUGAGCCGUAUUUUAUGAUAUGUUUAAGUUUUCGUGAAACAGGGCCAGAGCAAUUACUGGAUCCCCUGUUCUGACUUCGAAAAUUUACCAUAAAUUAACCAGAGACAAUUAGAAGUCAUGCUUCAUAUGUAUAGAUUCAUUUUUGAGUCUAGUUUCAUUAUAAAUAAACGGCAUAAGUAUUGAAGCUCUGUACAGGGAGAUAUCUAAGUCGUAAUGCAUGAAGGUCAGAGUAGUCGAACCCUGAAACAGGAGAGACUUUAAAUAAUAAACUGUACUAAUUGGCUCAACCAAAAAUUCUAGAAAAAAAUUUUUAGAUGGAAAUAUGAGUCUAGUUUCAGGGAAAAUUUACGGAAUUAGUUUUCGAGUUUUUUAACUUGAUAUAUGAUUUUUAAGGUGACAGUGACGCAGUUAGCCAGCUUGUCUGAAAAUUUUAAAAAUGAACUGUAUAAAUAAAUGAAUUAAGUCUGUUAACACCUCGUGUCCGACUCCGGCAACGGUCUCGGGUACGGGGCGUUACAUUUUCUUUCCUGAAUAUCAAUAUUAUUACGUAUUUUACUCGAGCGAGGUCGACCUUUUGGUUUGCAAUGCAAUUCUGUGUUUGGUAACAAGUUAAACGGAGUAAGUGAUACAGACGGCCACUUAUGUUCAUCUGAGAUUAGUAGGAAUACGUGUGUCCACACAUCAUACAUGUAUUCUAUUUUGUACACUUCAUUGACAAAUCUCAUGGGAUCCAAAUGAAGAUUUUGACAAGCUGCAAUUGCAUGGGCACUUGGAUAACGAAGUGCGUCAAACGUCCCACAGUCGCAAGUCCUAUUUAUCAAGCGUACAUGAUAUUGCCCACCGGUAAUACAUUGGCUCGGUCUGUCAAACUCCGUCAUAAGAAACCAUAGGUUGUUGCCAUCGUGACACACAGUAUGCAUUGUGUUGGCCCGCGCUUUCGCCGUGUUAAUUUCUACCAAUACCUUCCAUAACCAUAUAUGGUCUCCCUACAUUUGGCCUU